rnacentral:lncRNA from 1 species
UCAAAUUUGCUAACUCCAAACUGCAAAUAAGUCUCUCUGAGAUGGAAAAUUUAAAGACCAGCUUUGUUGCCCUUCUGACCCAACGUGCUGAGAAGGCCGAAGCGGCCCUUGAAGAGAUUUCAACAGAGUUGAACGGGUUAAAGGGCUGGGUGUCCCAAAUGGUGGCUGUCAUCUUUGGUAAGUCGUCCGACUUUAACUUUGUGUGCUUUUUACUGAACCGGAGUAUAAGCCGCCAGCUGACUUUGUGUAUAAAAUAUGUGCAGGCCCUCGAAGCAAAAAUCUGAGCCAAGACCCUUUGAUUAAACUGAAGGCAGUGUGUACUUUGGUAGAACAACUGUAUAUUGGUGCACAGCGGGCUCUUGCCGCCAUCUCUCCUGCCAAUCAAGGACCCAGUCGGCUCAGCGACGUCCUGAAGAAACUGUCAAUCCCGCUUGCCAGGUUUCAAGAAGUGAAACGCUCCUGUGCACAAGCCGGGGCUUUGAUUGCCCUGAGCCGCUCCAAGGCUUGGGUGCCAGACCUAGACCCGGCAGACAUGGCCAGAGGCUAUCCCACUGUGAAGGAAGACGGAUCUCCCUUUGAGCAGGAUGACUUCAUGGCUUCUGUGCGUGGAGUCCGGCCUCAGGCAACUAACCUUGGAGAUGAUACCAAUAUUGACAAAUAUCAGCCGGGUUUUGAUAGUGAGAAUAAGAAGAUGGCCACUCCCUCGUACAAGGUAACAGAUUUGAUUCCAUCAGUAAGAGAAGACACAUUUGCCCCGGAAGUUGACCCGAUCGGUCUGAUCGAUGACGAAGCCGAAUUUGUCGCCGUGAAUGGUUUUGAUUGGUCAAAACCCAACUUCCAGUCAACAGAAGGUGGUGAACCGGCGAGGGAGGAAUAAUGAUCAUCUUCGUGGGCUUAUAAAGCCUUGUAAUAGCUUAGCUGUGAAAAACACUAUAUGCUUUGCUUAUGCCAUCACGCAUAAAACACUUCUAUGUGAUUUUGUGUUUCCUGAUGCCAAUGUAUGCAUCGUAUUUAAUGUUUGUUUCUACAACAUUUGAACUAUGUUCCUGUAGAUACAAAGAAAAGACUGGCUUGGCGGCUUAGAACCAAACGGGUUAAAACACCCAGUUUAUAGCCAAUAUGUUUACCACAACAAGAACUAGAAACAGAUAUAAACAAAGGACAAGGGUUGAGACUAACUCUUUUAGUUAAUGCAGCAGGUAAUUGUGUAUAAAUAAUAACCAUACCUUGUACCUUUUGAUCCUUAGACUACCGGCUUGAAUAACCCGGGUGAUGAAAUUGAUAAUUCAAACUUUAUGAGAAGUCAAUGCUUUUGAAUACUCAAUGAUCAUUAUACCUUGGUAGCUGUGUUAUCAAAUAGUCGAGCCAGUGAAGAAGACCAGGCUAAUUAUUUGUAAUAUUGAGACAACAAAAAACUAAAAGGCAAACAACAGAUAAUAAGCAUAAUUUAACCUUGUAUUCAAAAGGUUGGGGGCUUCUGAUUCGAAUACGAUCAGUAAAUCGGACCAAAGGGGUUAAGCUAAGGUUCGAAUACGACCAUAUAGCCUCGGUGGUUUUGGCGUUGCGCCGAUCAACAGGGUACCGAUAGCUAUGUUCUCUUUGGUUCGAAUAAGACCUAUGUUUGAACAGGAAGCCCCCAAGUGACCAUCAGAUUUGCAGCUAGAUUCGGAUACGAUCAUAAGCUGGACCAAAAAAGGUUAAACUUGAUUCAAAUAUGAUCAGCUCCUUAAUAGUCAUUUGAAAAUAAGAAAUAACAAAGAUGCAUAAUCUUUGAAAAGAAAAGAGACCGAUGGUCUUACUUUAUUACUUAUCAUGGUAUAUACAAUGUCAAAGUAUGUACAUGAUGAGAGCCAGUGGCUCAGGUGUAGUAUGGCCGAAGUUGAGCAAUGUUCCACGGCCGGCGGGUCUCCUCCUCCGACUUACGUGAGUCUUUGUGCUCUUGAACAUCAAUGAGGUAAUAUGACCCGUUGUUUAAGUUCUUACUGACCACAAAGGGUCCUUCCCAAGGUGGGGGUAACUUGUGUGCAUCUGACAGAUCCUGGAUGAGCCGGAGCACCAAGUCGCCUUCCUAAAAAGUCCUGGACUUAACCCGGCGUCUGUGAUAACGGCGCAGGUCAUGUUGAUAAAUUGUUGACGGGGCCGCUGCUAAGUCUCUUUCUUCAUCCAAUAAGUCAAGUGCAUCCUAUCUGUCUUGUUCAUUAUUAGCUUCAACAUAAGCCGCCACACGGGGCGAGUCAUGGCGGAUGUCACUAGGCAACACUGCUUCUGCUCCAUAAACCAUGAAGAAAGGUGUGUAACUCGUAGACCUGUUAGGCGUGGUGUUGAUACUCCACAACACCGAGGGUAAUUCCUCUACCCAACAACCCAGCGUUCGCUGUAAGGGAACCAUAAGCCGGGGUUUGAGACCUUUUAAAAUUUCCUGAUUGGCUCUCUCAGCUUGACCAUUGGGUUGAGGAUGAGCUACAGAAGAAACAUCAAGUCGGAUGUGCUCACGUUGACAAAACUCCUCCAUAGCCCCUUGGGACAGAUUAGUGCCAUUGUCAAUGAUAACGUUGUGUGGAAAACCAAAGCGGAAGAUCACCUUUUUCAUGAACUGAACCGCCGUGGCCGCAUCACACUUACUCAUAGGCUCCGCCCCAACCCACUUAGUGAAUUUAUCAACUGCCACCAAGAGAUGUGUCUUUUUAUCCUUAGACCUUUUGAAAGGUCCCACCAUGUCAAACCCCCAGACCACAAACGGCCAAGUGAUUGGAAUCAUCCGGAGCUCCUGAGCCGGCACAUGCGCCCGUCGUGCAAACUUUUGACAUCCAUCGCAUCUACUGACCAGAUCUUCUGCAUCAGCGUGAGCCGUCAACCAGUAAAAACCGUGACGAAAAGCCUUGGCCACCAGAGAUUUUGACCCGGCGUGAUGACCACAAUCGCCUUCAUGGAUCUCGCGAAGGAUUUCUUGACCUUCUUUGGGGGAAACACACCGCUGAAACGCUCCAGAAAUGAUGCGAUGGUAUAAUUCUCCAUCCGAAAUCGUCAUUGACUUAGACCGCUGGGUUACCUGUCGAGCCAGGGUCUCAUCCGUUGGUAACUCUCCCCGGGUCAUGUAGGCCAAGAACGGCACUGUCCAAUCUGGGAUGACAUGAAGAGCCGCCACCAACUGCGCCUCCGGGUCAGGAACAGCUAAAUCUUCUUCUAUGGGCAACUUGACAGAGGGGUUAUGCAAAACAUCCAAAAAAGGUGUUAGGUGGUACCGGCUUACGCUGAGACCCCAACCGGCUUAAGGCAUCAGCCGCUUUGUUCUUUCGACAGUCAAUGUGCUCCACCUGAUAACCUUUAAAAUGCCUCGCAACAGCAUCGACCUCCCGGCGAUAAGCCACCAUGAGAGGGUCCUUGGAAUCCCACUUGCCUGAUACUUGUUGAGCCACUAGAUCUGAGUCGCCAAGACAUCUAACCCAGCUCAAACUCAUCUCUUUUGCCACUCGAAGACCAUGGAGCAAGGCUUCAUACUCUGCUGCGUUGUUAGUGCAAGGAAACAUCAACUAUAACACAUAACAAAAUUUGUCACCUCGCGGAGAGGUUAACACAACUCCAGCCCCCGAGCCUUCCAACUGUCUAGACCCAUCAAAAUGAAUAGUCCAAUACGUGUUGUCUGGUUUCUCUUCUGGCAUCUGCAUCUCUGUCCAGUCAUUAAUGAAGUCAACUAGUGCUUGAGAUUUGAUCGCAGUACGUGGCACAUACUUCAACCCAUGAGACCCAAGCUUAAUUGCCCACUUGGCGACUCGCCCAGUGGCUUCUCUGUUUUGAAUGAUGUCUCCCAAGGGAGCAGAGCUAACCAUGGUGAUUGGAUGUCCCUGAAAAUAAUGUUUAAGCUUCUGGCUUGCCAUGAACACCCCAUAGACGAGCUUCUGCCAAUGUGAAUAUCGUUGCUUGGAUUAAAUUAGCACCUCACUGACGUAAUAAACCAACCGUUGAACCGGAUGCUCCUUGCCAGCCUCCUUGCGCUCCACCACAAUAGCCACACUAAUAGCUCGUGAGUUGGCGGCCACAUAUAAUAGUAGCAGCUCUUUCUCAAGUGGAGCAGCCAGGACCGGUGGCUCAGCAAGCUGUGUCUUCAGAUCUUCAAAAGCAGAGUUUGCAGCAUCGCUCCAAACAAAAUCAUUUGCUUUCUUCAUCAUCUGAUACAGAGGCAUUGCCUUUUCCCCUAAUCGGCUUAUGAACCGGCUCAAAGCAGCAACACGGCCCGCCAGUCGUUGAACGUCAUUGAUGCAUGUUGGUUUGGCCAGGGAUGUGAUUGCCUUGAUUUUCUCCGGGUUAGCCUCAAUACCUCGGUUAGACACCAAAAAGCCCAAGAGCUUGCCGGCUGGGACUCCAAAAACACACUUGGCUGGGUUAAGAAUCAUUUUGUAGACCUGGAGAUUAUCGAAAGUCUCUUUCAGAUCUGUGACCAAGGUUUCUUCUUUCCUGGAUUUUACCACUAUAUCAUCCACAUAAGCAUGAACAUUACGCCCAAUUUGAUCGUGAAGACAAUUCUGCACACACCGUUGGUAAGUCGCAUGGGCACUCUUAAGCCCAAAAGGCAUAGACACAUAGCAGAAAGCCCCAAAAGGAGUGAUAAAAGCCAUCUUCUCCUGAUCCUUAACCGCCAUCUUGAUCUGAUAAUAGCCAGAAUAAGCAUCCAAGAAACUCAAACGUGUGCAACCCGUCGUAGCAUCAAUAAUCUGAUCGAUAUGGGGGAGGGCAAAAGGAUCAGCCGAACAAGCCUUGUUCAGAUCAGUGUAAUCCACACACAUACGCCAGGUGCUAUUCUUUUUUAGUACAAGCACCGGGUUGGCUAACCACUCUGGGUGAAAGACUUCUACAAUGAACCCAGCUGCCAAAAGCCAGGCCACCUCUUCUCCAAUGGCCUUGCGCCUUCCUUCAUUGAACUGUCAGAGAAAUUGUCUGACAGGUUUAAACUUUGGAUCAAUAUUCAGAGUGUGCUCAGCGAGUUCCCUCGGGACACCCGGCAUGUCUGAAGGUUUCCAUGCGAAGAUGUCCCGGUUCUCACGGAUGAACUCGAUGAGCGGGCUUUCCUAUUUUGGAUCCAAGUUAGCACUGAUGAUGAACUGCUUGGAUGAGUCACCAGGCACAAAGUCAACCAUCUUGGUGUCAUCAGCUGAUUUGAGCUUCAACACCGGCUCAUGCUUUGUUGUUGGUUUCUUUAAUGAUGUCAUGUCUGCCGGGUCAACAUGGUCUUCGUAAAAUUUUAACUCCUCUGUUGCACAGACGGAUUCAGCAUAGGCAGCAUCACCUUCUUCACACUCCAAGGCUAUUUUCCGGCUCCUGUGUACUGUGAUGGUGCCCUUAUAACCUGGCAUCUUAAGCUACAAAUACACAUAACACGGUCGAGCCAUGAAUUUGGCAUAAGCCGACCGUCCAAACAGCGCAUGAUACGAGCUUUUGAUCUUAACCACCUCAAAGGUUAAUUUUUCUGCUCUGGAGUCAUACUCAUCCCCAAAGGCUACUUCCAGUUCAAUCUUGCCCACUGGGUAUGCCGACUUGCCAGGAACCACACCGUGAAAAACAGUGUUGGAUUGUUUAAGACUCUUAUCAGUCAAUCCCAUCCGGCGGAACGUCUCAUAGUAGAGGAUGUUGACGCCGAUGCCCCCAUCCAUGAGUACCUUAGUGAAUUUGUAUCCACCAACCCGAGGCGCCACCACCAAAGCCAAGUGACCCAGGUUAUCGACCUGGGGUAGGUGAUCCUCUCUGAUCCACACAAUAGGCUGCUUUGACCAACAUAAGUAACAUGGAACCGCCGGCUCAAUGCCAUUGACGGCCCUCUUGUGAAGUUUCUGGUCUCUCUUACAUAAGCUAGUGGUGAAUACAUGGUAUUGCCCACUAUUCAGCUGCUUCGGGUUGCUCUGAUAUCCGGACUGCUGCUGCUGAUUACUUUAGCCAGGUUGCGGAUUAUACCCUCCUUGAUUACCAGGAUGGCCCUGACCGUGGAAUCCUCCUCCACCUAAGCCGGCGCCCGGGCCUUGGAAAUCGCCUCCACCUGAGCCGCCACCUGGGCCGUGACCUCCAUCAAACGCGUUUGAAUUUUUAAACGCCUUCAUGAUCAUACAAUCUUUCCACAGGUGGGUGGCUGGCUUCUCCCGGGUGUCGUGUUUUGGACAAGGCUCAUUCAAUAAUUGCUCAAGGGUGGGACCUGACCCGCCCGACCAAGGGGGUUGUCUGCCCUUGCGCUAUUGAUUUCCGCCCUGUGCAUUGGUGUUAGCAACAAACUCAUCAGCCUUACGUUUAUUACCUCCUUGAUUUGCCGGAUUAUGCUGGUGACCCUUGCCGUUGCCGUUCUUCUUUCCCUUCGUUGUCUUUUCUUUGUCAGACACUGGGUCCUUGGUAGUAUCAGAAUCAGCAUACUUGACGAGAGCCGCCAUUAACGUUCCCAUGUCAUUACAGUCAUGCUUGAGAUGCCCCAGCUUCUGCUUUAGAGGUUCAAAACGGCAAUUUUUCUCCAACAUCAAGACCGCUGAGCCGGCAUCCAUCUUAUCAGAUGAAUGUAUUAUCUCCUUGACCCGGCGCACCCAAUGGGUUGUGGAUUCACCAUCCUCUUGCUUGCAAUUGGUCAGGUCCACAAUCGACAUAGGCUGCUUACACGUGUCUUUAAAGUUCUGGAUGAACCGGGCCUUCAACUCCGUCCAUGAGCCGAUAGAAUUGGGUGGCAAUCCCUUCAACCAAGUACGAGUUGUUCCAUCUAACAUCAUAGUGAAAUACUUGGCCAUUGCUGCAUCGCUGACCUCCAAUAACUCCAUAGCCAUCUCGUAACUCUCAAUCCAAGCCCCGGGCUAUAAGUCAGCUGUGUAAUUAGGUACCUUACGAGGCCCCUUAAAGUCCUUUGGCAAACGCUCAUUACGUAUGGCCGGCACCAAGCAAGGAACACCUCCGGUUCUUAUGGCCACUCCUGCCUCGACCGAGGUUGCUGGAUAAGCCGGAAAAGUUUGAUGAGCCGCCUGGUCUGCUGCCAUUUGAACUGCUUGUUGCGCCUCUUGACGAAUCCUCUCCUGAUCCACCAAGUUAAGGGCUCCAACCCGCACCGGCUCAUGCCUGUAUGGCCGGUUGGGGCAUUGAGCAUUGCUUGAAACCUUUGUGGAUUCCAUAUGCCUACUGUAACUUGGGCUCCGGCUUGGGCGAGGAGUUGAAUGGAUCCUGUCUCAACUGUAGGAGUAUGCAUCCUGUUGCGCCAGAGCUGUUUGAAGAAGUUCUCUUACCCUUCGUGUUUCAAUUGCCGUCGGUGAGUCAUCUUCCAUCGGAAGAGCCGCCAGACGAGCCGAUGUUGCGAUGAGGUUUUCCAAAGGGUUGGAGAAGUGACCCAGCAGUGUUGGGACGUAAUGAGGUGGAGCGGUAAUUAUGCAAGGCGGAUCCAUGGCACGCGGCUGGACCGGUGCGCCGGGUGUUGUAAUCCGAGGCGCCUCCGGCGGGUUACUUCCCCCGGCUCCGGGUGUGUGAAAAAGAUUCCUAGGAUCGAGCGUCAAAGGCAGACAUGAUUGGGUUUUCUGAUGCCUCCUCCUAAUAACCUCGUUCAACGCGUUCAGAUCCACCGAGAGCCGGAAGGUCUCCGCUUGAAGUUGUUGAGCACGAACGUCCAAAGCCGCCCGCUCUACUGCCAUCAUGACUUCCUCUGUGGCUAGAUUUUCUUUAGCUUGCACCAUCUCUUCACGUACGCGUGCCACCUCUGCAUCAUGCUGGACUUUAUCUGCCGGCUCUACCAUGGCAGUCAACAGAGUCGUCAGUUUAUCCAUGAGGUCCAUCAAGAUCUGAGCUGGGGGGCGCAUGGGGUCUCCUGACCCGGCUGCGGCCGACCUGGUAGCUGUUGCCGCCACUGCUAUAGAGUUCUGCCCGGGUUGUGUCCCUGCCAUGAAGACUCUGGCCCAAUUCGGUGGCUUAAGAGGGUCCGGAAUACUGCUGCCAUCGGAACAGCCCCCGAGCAUGCCGUCCUGCAGUUGGUACAAAGAGUCUGUCUCGCCCAUUGAUGAAGCAGUAUCAGAACAGAUGGCCGUCUCACCGCCCUCCACCGAUCCUUCAGAGUAUUCACCGUCAUGGAUGCAGCCUAUGAAGGCAUGCUUCACGGUAGAUUGAACACGGGCGGUCUUCAUGCGCCGAGCCGUUUCGAUGAGGUUGGUGUGGACGUCCGGCUUGGGAACUAACUCGCCGAUCCAGCCUAUGAAGACGUGAAUUCCGCCGAAGGGGACCCGGUAUCCAUACUCAAUUGAGCCGGCCUCCGGGCCCUAGCCUUCGUCGUCGAUGUAGAGCUUGCUGCGACGACUCUUGGUCAUCCGGCCCACAGCGUAUCCCUUGAGCCCUUCGAAGUUUCCCUUCAAGAACUCAAAUCCACCGUACACUGGCCCCACCAUGGGCGCCAACUGUCGUGGAAUUGUCACGGCAGAUGUCCUAGAGCAAGGACUUAGUCGUAGGGCCAUCGCACUAGGAAGCUUAAAGGGGUUAAUCGGGAGAAAGGACACGAGAGGGUUUUAUACUAGUUCGGCCCCUUACGAUGAAGGUAAAAGCCUAUGUCUAGUUGGGAUUGGUAUUGCUGGGGUUUCGAUUACCAAGAGGCUCAACUCGCCGGCUUGGUUAUCGACUUCUUGUUUCUUGCCCUAAGCCGCCACCGGGUCAUCCCCUUAUAUACAUGGGUUGAUGCUUGGUGGCCUACAGAGUCCCGGCCGGCUCAUAGUCGUGUCUGGCUCGGUGACUUCCUUUACAUGCCUUUCUUUACAAGUCUUUCCUUACAUAUGGCGGUUCACAAUAUCAGGCCUUAAACCACCUUCAGGCCUUUGGGCCUUCUAUAAGAUUUAAUAAACUAUAAUCUUGAAUGUUUACUGGGCUUCUUGUGUAACCCGCCAUUGGGGCUGACCCGGCCCCUCCUGGGUGGGUCAUAACUGAUAGUAAUAUCCCCAACACUUCCGCUUAGCGAUCUUCAAGGGUAUGAAGAUGCAGUCCCUCUCUCUCGUUGCUAGCAUCUCCUAGAUUGAUCUUGGUGACACGUAGGAAUUUUUUUGAAUUAUUACUAUGUUACCCUACAGUGGCAUCAUGAGCUAGGUCUAUGCAUAGAUUCUAUGCACGAGUAGAACACAAGUAGUUGUGGGCAAUGAUUUGGUCAAUUUGCUUGCCGUUACUAGUCCUAUCUUGAUUCGGCAGCAUUGUGGGAUGAACCGGCCCGGACCGACCUUACACGUACGCUUACGUGAGACAGGUUCCACCGACUGAAUGCACUUGUUGCAUAAGGUGGCUAGCAGGUGUCUAUCUCUCCCACUUUAGUCGGAUCGGAUUCGAUGAAGAGGGACCUUAUGAAGGGUAGAUAGCAAUUGGCAUAUCACCGUUGUGGCUUUUGUGUAGGUAAGAAACGUUCUUGCAAGAAACCCAUAGCAUCCACGUAAAACAUGCAACAAUAAUUAGAGGACGCCUAACUUGUUUUUGCAGGGUAUGCUAUGUGAUGUGAUAUGGCCAAAAGGAUGUGAUGAAUUAUAUAUGUGAUGUAUGAGAUUGACCAUAUUCUUGUAAUAGGAAUCACGACUUGCAUGUCGAUGAGCAUGACAAUCGGCAGGAGCCAUAGGAGUUGCCUUAAUUUAUUGUACGACCUAUGAGUCAAUAAAAUGCCAUGUAAUUACUUUACUUUAUUGCUAACUGUUAGCCAUAGUAGUAGAGGUAAUGAUUGGCAAGACAACUUCAUGAAGACACGAUGAUGGAGAUCAUGGUGUCAUGCCGGUGAUGAUGGUGAUCAUGUCGCGCCUAGAAGAUGGAGAUCAAAGGCGCAAGAUGGUAUUGGCCAUAUCAUGUCACUUUAUGAUUUGCAUGUGAUGUUUAUCAUGUUUAUCAUGUUUAUAUCUUAUUUGCUUAGAACGACGAUAGCAUAAAUAAGAUGAUCCCUCACUAAAAUUUCAAGAAAUAUGUUCCCCCUAAGUGUGCACGGUGAAGAAGGUUUGUUGUUUCGAAGCACCACGUGAUGAUCGGGUGUGAUAGACUCAAACGUUCGCAUACAACGGGUAAGCCAGAUUUACACAUGCAAAACACUUAGGUUGACUUGACGAGCCUAGCAUGUGUAGACAUGGCCUCGGAACACGAGAUACUGAAAGGUCGAACAUAACUCAUAUAGUAGAUGUGAUCAACAUGGAGAUGUUCACCGUUGAUGACUAGUUCGUCUCACGUGAUGAUCGGACACGGCCUAGUCGAUUCGGAUCAUGUAUCACUUACAUGACUAGAGGGAUGUCUAUCUAAGUGGGAGUUCAUUAAAUAAUUUGAUUAGAUGAACUUAAUUAUCAUGAACAUAGUCUAAAAUUGUCUUUACAAUCUAUCUUGUAGAUCCAAUGGCCCACGCUAAUGUUGACCUCAACUUCAACGCGUUCCUAGAGAAAACCAAGCUGAAAGAUGAUGGAAGCAACUAUAAGGACUGGGUCCAUAACUUGAGGAUCAUCCUCAUAGCUUCCAAGAAAGCAUAUGUCCUUGAAGCACCGCUAGGUGACGCACCCAUUUUCCUGGCAACUCAAGACGUUAUGAACGCCUGGCAGUCGCGUAGUGAUGAUUACUCCCUGGUUCAGUGCGGCAUGCUUUACAGCUUAGAACCGGGGCUCCAAAAGCGUUUUGAGCAACACAGAGCAUAUGAGAUGUUCCAAGAGCUAAGAAUGGUUUUCCAAGCUCAUGCCCGGGUCGAGAGAUAUGAAGUCUCCGACAAGUUCUUUAGUUGCAAGAUGGAGGAAAACAGUUCUGUCAGCGAGCAUAUACUCAAAAUGUCUGGGUUGCACAACCGCUUGUCUCAGCUGGGAGUUAAUCUUCCAGAUGACUCGGUCAUUGACAGAACCCUCCAGUCACUUCCACCUAGCUACAAGAGCUUUGUGAUGAACUACAAUAUGCAAGGGAUGGAGAAGUCCAUUCCUGAGUUAUAUUCGAUGUUGAAAUCAGUGGAAGUGGAGAAAAAAAAAGGAACAUCAAGUGUUGAUGGUGGAUAAGACCACUAGUUUCAACAAAGGCAAGGGUAAGAAGAACUUCAAGAAGGAUGGCAAGGGAGUUGUUGCGCCUGGUAAGUCAGUUGUUGGGAAAAAGCCAAAGAAUGGACCCAAGCCUGAGACUGAGUGCUUUUAUUGCAAGAGAAAUGGUCACUGGAAGCGGAAAUGCCCCAAGUACUUAGCGGAUAAGAAGGCCGGCAACGCCAAAGGUAUAUAUGAUAUACAUGUUAUUGAUGUGUACCUUACCAGUGCUCGUAGUAGCUCCUGGGUAUUUGAUACCGGUGUGGUUGCUCACAUUUGUAACUCAAAACAGGAGCUGCGGAAUAAGCGGAGACUGGCAAAGGACGAGGUGACGAUGCGCGUCGGGAAUGGUUCCAAGGUCGAUGUGAUCGCCGUCGGCACGCUACCUCUACAUCUACCUUCGGGAUUAGUUUUAAACCUCAACAAUUGUUAUUUAGUACCAGCUCUGAGCAUGAACAUUGUAUCUGGAACUCGUUUGAUGCGAGAUGGCUACUCAUUUAAAUCCGAGAAUAAUGGUUGUUCUAUUUAUAUGAGAGAUAUGUUUUAUGAUCAUGCCCCGCUGGUCAAUGGUCAUUUUUAUUGAACCUCGAACGUGAUGUUACACAUAUUCAUAGUGUGAAUGCCAAAAGAUGUAAGGUUGAUGAUGAUAGUCCCACAUACUUGUGGCACUGCCGCCUUGGUCAUAUUGGUGUCAAACGCAUGAAGAAACUCCAUGCAUAUGGACUUUCGGAGUCUCUUGAUUAUGAAUCAUUUGACACGCGCGAACCAUGCCUCCUGGGCAAGAUGACCAAGACUCCGUUCUCCGGAACAAUGGUGUGAACAACUAACUUGUUGGAAAUAAUAGAUACUGAUGUAUGCGGACCAAUGAGCGUUGAGGCUCGUGGUGGCUAUCACUAUGUUCUCACACUCACUGAUGACUUAAGUAGAUAUGGGUACGUCUACUUAAUGAAACACAAGUCUGAGACCUUUGAAAAGUUCAAGGAAUUUCAGAGCGAGGUAGAGAAUCGACAUGACAGGAAAAUAAAGUUCUUACAAUCCGAUUGUGGAGGAGAAUACUUGAGUCACGAGUUUGGCAUGCACUUAAGGAAAUGUGGAAUUGUUUCACAACUCAUGCCGCCUGGAACACCUCAGUGUAAUGGUGUGUCCGAACGUCGUAAUCGCACUCUAUUCGAUAUGGUGCGAUCUAUGAUGUCUCUUACCGAUCUACCGCUGUCAUUUUGGGGUUAUGCUUUAGAGACCGCCGCAUUCACUUUAAAUAGGGCACCGUCUAAAUCCGUUGAGAUGACACCGUAUGAAUUAUGGUUUGGGAAGAAACCUAAGCUAUCAUUUCUGAAAGUUUGGGGAUGUGAUGCUUAUGUCAAGAAACUUCAACCUGAAAAGCUCGAACCCAAAAUCGGAAAAGUGCGUCUUCAUAGGAUACCCCAAGGAAACUAUUGGGUAUACCUUCUACCUCAGAUCCGAAGGCUAGAUAUUUGUUGCCAAGAAUGGAUCCUUUCUGGAGAAAGAGUUUCUCUCGAAAAAAGUAAGUAGGAGGAAAGUAGAACUUGAUGAGGUACCCCCUCUUGAACCGGAGAGUAACACAGCACAGAAAGAUGUUUUUGUGGUGCCUGCACCGACUAGAGAGGAAGUUAAUGAUGAUGAUCAUGAAACUUCGGAUCAAGUUGCUACUGAACUUCGUAGGUCCACGAGGACAUGUUCCGGACUAGAAUGGUACGGCAACCUGUCCUGGAAAUCAUGUUGUUAGAAAACGGUGACCUUCGAACUAUGAAGAAGCGAUGGCAGGCCCGGAUUUCAACAAAUGGCUUGAAGCCAUGAAAUCCGAGAUAGGAUCCACGUAUGAGAACAAAGAUGGACUUUGGUGGACUUGCCCUAUGAUCGUCGAGCCAUAGAGAAUAAGUGGAUCUUUAAGAAUAAGACUGACAUGGAUGGUAAUGUGACCGUCUAUAAGGCUCGACUUGUCGCUAAGGGUUAUCGACAAGUUCAAGGAGUUGACUAUGAUGAGACUUUCUCACCCAUAGCGAAGCUAAAGUCUGUCUGAAUCAUGUUAGCAAUUGUUGCAUUCUAUGAUUAUGAUAUCUGGCAAAUGGACGUCAAAACAUCAUUCCUUAAUGGUUUCCUUAAGGAAGAAUUGUAUAUGAUGCAAUCGGAAGGUUUUGUCGAUCCUAAGAAUGCUGACAAGGUAUGCAAGCUCCAGCGCUCCAUCUAUGGGCUGGUGCAAGCAUCUUGGAGUUGUAACAUUCGCUUUGAUGAAAUGAUCAAAGCAUUUGGGUCUAUACAUACUUAUGGAGAAGUCUGUAUUUACAAGAAAGUGAGUGGGAUCUCUAUAGCAUUUCUCAUAUUAUAUGUGGAUGACAUACUGUUGAUGGGAAAUGAUAUAGAACUUUUGGAAAGCAUGAAUGCCUACUUGAAUAAGUGUUUUUCAAUGAAGGGCCUUGGAGAAGCUGCUUACAUAUUAGGCAUCAAGAUCUAUAGAGAUAGAUCGAGACACCUCAUUGGUCUUUCACAAAGCACAUACCUUGACAAGAUAUUGAAGAAGUUCAAUAUGGAUCAGUCCAAGAAGGGGUUCUUGCCUGUAUUGCAAGGUGUGGGAUUGAGCGAAACUCAAUGCCCGACCUCGGCAGAAGAUAGAGAAAUGAUGAGUGUCAUCCUCUAUGCCUCAUCCGUAGGCUCUAUUAUGUAUGCCAUGUUGUGUACCAAACCUGAUGUGAACCUUGCCAUAAGUUUGGUAGGGAGGUACCAAAGUGAUCCCGGAAUGGAACACUGGACUGUUGGAAAUAUGCCCUAGAGGCAAUAAUAAAAGUAUUAUUAUAUUUCAAUGUUCAUGAUAAAUGUCUUUUAUUCAUGCUAUAACUGUAUUAUCCGGAAAUCGUAAUACACGUGUGAAUACUUAGACCACAAUAUGUCCCUGGUGAGCCUCUAGUUGACUAGCUCGUUGUGAUCAACAGAUAGUCAUGGUUUCCUGACUAUGGACAUUGGAUGUCGUUGAUAACGGGAUCACAUCAUUAGGAGAAUGAUGUGAUGGACAAGACCCAAUCCUAAGCAUAGCAUAAAAGAUCGUGUAGUUCGUUUUGCUAGAGCUUUGUCAGUGUCAAGUAUCUCUUCCUUCGACCAUGAGAUCGUGUAACUCCCGGAUACCGUAAGAGUGCUUUGGGUGUAUCAAACGUCACAACGUAACUGGGUGACUAUAAAGGUGCAUUACAGGCAUCUCCGAAAGUAGCUGUUGGGUUGACACGGAUCGAGACUGGGAUUUGUCACUCCGUAUGACAGAGAGGUAUCUCUGGGCCCACUCGGUAAUGCAUCAUCAUAAUGAGCUCAAUGUGACCAAGGUGUUGGACACGGGAUCAUGCAUUACGGUACGAGUAAAGUGACUUGCCGGUAACGAGACUGAACAAGGUAUUGGGAUACCGACGAUCGAGUCUCGGGCAAGUAACGUACCGAUUGACAAAGGGAAUUGCAUACAGGGUUUGAUCGAAUCCUCGACAUUGUGGUUCAUCCGAUGACAACAUCGAGGAGCAUGUGGGAGCCAUCAUGGGUAUCCAGAUCCCGCUGUUGGUUAUUGACCUGAGAGCGUCUAGGUCAUGUCUGCAUGUCUCCCGAACCCAUAGGGUCUACACACUUAAGGUUCGGUGACGCUAGGGUUAUUAGGAAGACUAGUAUGUGACUACCGAAUAUUGUUCGGAGUCCCGGAUGGGAUCCUGGACGUCACGAGGAGAUCCGGAAGGGUCCGGAGGUAAAGAUUUAUAUAUGGGAAGUUGUCAAACGGACACCGGGAAGUUUCGGGGUCAUACCGGUAUUGUACCGGGGCCACCGGAAGGGUUCCGGGGGUCCACCGGGAGGGGCCACCCCUCCCGGGGGGCCACAUGGGCUGCGUGGGGCAGGGAGCCAGCCCCUGGUGGGCUGGCCGCACCCCCUCCCUUGGGCCCAUGCGCCUAGGGUUGAGGGGGGAACCCUAGAGGGGGCGCCCCCUUGGCUUGGGGGGCAAGCCACCCUCUCCCCUCUCCCCUAGGCCGCCGCACCCCCCCCUAGAUGGGUUCUAGGGGGCCGGCCCCCUUCUCCCUUCCCCCUAUAAAUAGAGGGGUGAGGGGAGGGCAGCCGUACCACCCUCCAAGGCGCAGCCCUCCCCUCCCCAACACCUCUCCUCCUCCGUUGUGUGCUUGGCGAAGCCCUGUCGGAGUACUGCCUCUCCACCAUCACCACGCCGUCAUGCUGCCGGUGGAGCUGUCUUCCUCAACCUCUCCUUCCCCCUUGCUGGAUCAAGAAGGAGGAGACAUCUCCCGUCCCGUACGUGUGUUGAACGCGGAGGUGCUGUCCGUUCAGCACUUGGUCAUCGGUGAUUCGAAUCACGUCGAGUACGACUACAUCAUCACCUUGCAAGCUUCCGCACGCGAUCUACAAGUGGUAUGUAGAUGCAAACUCUCUCCCUUGACUCGUUGCUUAGAUGAACUCAUAGAUGGAUCUUGGUGAAACCGUAGGAAAAAUUUUAAUUUUCUGCAACGUUCCCCAACAGUGGCAUCAUGAGCUAGGUCUAUGCGUAGUUCUCUUUGCACGAGUAGAACACAAUUUUAUUGUGGGCGUGGAUUUUGUCAUCUUACUUGCCUCUACUAGUCUUUUCUUGCUCAACGGUAUUGUGGGAUGAAGCGGCCCGGACCAACCUUACACGUACGCUUACGUGAGACCGGUUCCACCGACUGACAUGCACUAGUUGCAUAAGGUGGCUGGCGGGUGUCUGUCUCUCCCACUUUAGUUGGAGUGGAAUCGAUGAACAGGGCCCUUAUGAAGGGUAAAUAGAAGUUGACAAAAUCACGUUGUGGUGAUUCGUAGGUAAGAAAACGUUCUUGCUAGAACCCAAUUGCAGCCACGUAAAAGAUGCAACAACAAUUAGAGGACGUCUAACUUGUUUUUGCAGCGAUUGAUCAUGUGAUGUGAUAUGGCCAGAAGUUGUGAUGAAUGAUGAAUUGUGAUGUAUGAGAUCAUGUUCUUUGUAAUAGGAUUCACGACUUGCAUGUCGAUGAGUAUGACAACCGGCAGGAGCCAUAGGAGUUGUCUUUAUUUUUUGUAUGACCUGCGUGUCAUUGAAUAACGCCAUGUAAACUACUUUACUUUAUUGCUAAAUGUUAGUCAUAGAAGUAGAAGUAGUCGUUGGCGUGACAACUUCAUGAAGACACGAUGAUGGAGAUCAUGAUGAUGGAGAUCAUGGUGUCAAGCCGGUGACAAGAUGAUCAUGGAGCCCCGAAGAUGGAGAUCAAUGGAGCUAUAUGAUAUUGGCCAUAUCAUGUCACAACUAUAUAAUUGCAUGUGAUGUUUAUUAUGUUUAUGCAUCUUGUUUACUUAGGACGACGGUAGUAAAUAAGAUGAUCCCUUACAAAAAUUUCAAGAAGUGUUCUCCCCUAACUGUGCACCGUUGCUACAGUUCGUCGCUUCUAAGCACCACGUGAUGAUCGGGUGUGAUGGAUUCUUACGUUCACAUACAACGGGUGUAAGACAGUUUUACACAGCGAAAACACUUAGGGUUAACUUGACGAGCCUAGCAUGUGCAGACAUGGCCUCGGAACACGGAGACCGAAAGGUCGAACACGAGUCGUAUGGAAGAUACGAUCAACAUGAGAAUGUUCACCGACGAUGACUAGUCCGUCUCACGUGAUGAUCGGACACGGGCUAGUCGACUCGGAUCGUGUAACACUUAGAUGACUAGAGGGAUGUCUAAUCUAAGUGGGAGAUCAUAAUUUGAUUAGAACUUUAUUAUCAUGAACUUAGUCUAAAACCUUUGCAAAUAUGUCUUGUAGAUCAAUGGCCAACGCUAAUGUCAACAUGAACUUCAAUGCGUUCCUAGAGAAAACCAAGCUGAAAGAUGAUGGCAGCAACUAUACGGACUGGGUCCGGAACCUGAGGAUCAUCCUCAUAGCUGCCAGGAAACAAUAUGUCCUAGAAGGACCGCUAGGUGACGCUCCCGUCCUAGAGAACCAAGACAUUAUGAAUGCUUGGCAGUCUCGUGCUGAUGAUUACUCCCUCGUUCAGUGCGGCAUGCUUUACAGCUUAGAACCGGGGCUCCAAAAGCGUUUUGAGCACCACGGAGCAUAUGAGAUGUUCGAAGAGCUGAAACUAGUUUUUCAAGCUCAUGCCCGGGUCGAGAGAUAUGAUGUCUCCGACAAGUUCUACUGUUGUAAGAUGGAGGAAAACAGUUCUGUCAGUGAGCACAUCCUGAAGAUGUCUGGGUUGCACAACCGUAUGACCCAGCUGAACAUUAACCUCCCAGAUGAGGUGGUCAUUGACAGAAUCCUCCAGUCGCUCCCACCAAGCUACAAGAGCUUUGUGAUGAACUACAACAUGCAGGGGAUGGAAAAGACCAUUCCUGAAGUGUUCUCGAUGCUGAAGUCAGCAGAGGCUGAAAUCAAGAAAGAACAUCAAGUGUUGAUGGUCAAUAAGACCACUAAGUUCAAGAAGGGCAAGGGUAAGAAGAACUUCAAGAAGGACGGCAAAGAUGUUGCCGCGCCUGGUAAGCCAGUUACCGGGAAGAAGUCAAAGAAUGGACCCAAGCCUGAGACUGAGUGCUUUUAUUGCAAGGGGGAAGGGUCACUGGAAGCGGAACUGCCCCAAAUACUUAGCGGAUAAGAAGGCCGGCAACACCAAAGGUAUAUUUGAUAUACAUGUGAUUGAUGUGUACCUUACCAGUACUCGUAGUAACUCCUGGGUAUUUGAUACCGGUGUCGUUGCUCAUAUUUGUAACUCACAGCAGGAGCUGCGGAACAACGGAGACUGGCGAAGGACGAGGUGACGAUGCGCGUCGGGAAUGGUUCCAGAGUCGAUGUGAUCGACGUCGGCACGCUGCCUCUACAUUUACCUACGGGAUUAGUUUUGAACCUUAAUAAUUGUUAUUUAGUGCCAAGUUUGAGCAUGAACAUUGUAUCUGGAUCUCGUUUAAUACGAGAUGGCUACUCGUUUAAGUCUGAGAAUAAUGGUUGUUCGAUUUAUAUGAGAGAUAUGUUUUAUGGUCAUGCUCCGAUGGUCAAUGGUUUAUUCUUAAUGAAUCUCGAGCGUAAUAUUACACAUGUUCAUAGUGUAGAUGCCAAAAGAUUUAAAGUUGAUAACGAUAGUCCCACAUACUUGUGGCACUGCCGCCUUGGUCACAUUGGUGUCAAGCGCAUGAAGAAGCUCCAUGCCGAUGGACUUUUAGAGUCUCUUGAUUAUGAAUCGUUUGACACGUGCGAACCAUGCCUUUUGGGCAAAAUGACCAAGACUCCGUUCUCCGGAACAACGGAGCGAGCAACCAACUUGUUGGAAAUCAUACAUACCGAUGUGUGCGGUCCAAUGAGCGUUGAGGCUCGCGGAGGAUAUCGUUAUGUUCUCACUCUCAUAGAUGACUUGAGUAGAUAUGGGUAUGUCUACUUAAUGAAACACAAGUCUGAGACCUUUGAAAAGUUCAAGGAAUUUCAGAAUGAGGUAGAGAAUCAACGUGACCGAAAGAUAAAAUUCUUACGAUCAGAUCGUGGAGGAGAAUACUUAAGUCACGAAUUUGGUACACACUUAAGGAAAUGUGGAAUCGUUUCACAGCUCAUGGCGCCUGGAACACCUCAGCGAAACGGUGUGUCCGAACGUCGUAAUCGCACCCUAUUGGAUAUGGUGCGGUCUAUGAUGUCUCUUACCGAUUUACCGCUAUCAUUUUGGGGAUACGCUCUAGAGACAGCUACAUUCACUUUAAAUAGGGCACCGUCUAAAUCCGUUGAGACGACACCGUAUGAAUUAUGGUUUGGAAAGAAACCUAAGUUGUCGUUUCUAAAAGUUUGGGGAUGCGAUGCUUAUGUCAAGAAACUUCAACCUGAAAAGCUCGAACCCAAGUCGGAAAAAUGCGUAUUCAUAGGAUACCCUAAGGAAACUGUCGGGUAUACCUUCUACUUAAGAUCCGAAGGCAAGAUCUUUGUUGCCAAGAACGGAUGCUUUCUGGAAAAAGAGUUUCUCUCGAAAGAAGUAAGUGGGAGGAAAGUAGAACUCGAUGAAGUACUACCUCUUGAGCGGGAAAGUGGCGCAGCAGGAAACCGUUCCUGUGAUGCCCACACCAACUGAAGAGGAAAACAAUGAUGAUGAUCAAGGUACUUCGGAUCAAGUUACUGCUGAACUUCGUAGGUCCACUAGGACACGUUCCGCACCAGAGUGGUACGGCAACCCUGUCCUGGAAAUCAUGUUGUUAGACAACAAUGAACCUUCGAACUAUGAAGAAGCGAUGGCGGGCCCGGAUUCCAACAAAUGGCUUGAAGCCAUGAAAUUCGAGAUAGAAUCCAUGUAUGAAAACAAAGUAUGGACUUUGACAGACUUGCCCGAUGAUCGGCGAGCGAUAGAAAACAAAUGGAUUUUUAAGAAGAAGACGGACGCGGAUGGAAAUGUUACCAUCUAUAAGGCUCGACUUGUCGCUAAGGGUUAUCGACAAGUUCAAGGGAUUGACUACGACGAGACUUUCUCUCCCGUAGCGAAGCUGAAAUCCGUCCGAAUCAUGUUAGCGAUUGCCGCAUACUAUGAUUAUGAGAUAUGGCAAAUGGACGUCAAAACGGCAUUCCUUAACGGGCAUCUUAAGGAAGAACUGUAUAUGAUGCAGCCGGAAGGUUUUGUCGAUCCUCGGAACGCUAACAAAGUAUGCUAGCUCCAGCGAUCCAUUUAUGGACUGGUGCAAGCAUCUCGGAGUUGGAACAUUCGCUUUGAUGAGAUGAUCAAAGCGUUUGGGUUUAUGCAGACUUAUGGAGAAGCCUGCGUUUAUAAGAAAGUGAGUGGGAGCUCUGUAGCAUUUCUCAUAUUAUAUGUAGAUGACAUACUCUUGAUGGGAAAUAAUAUAGAAUUUCUGGACAGCAUUAAGGCCUACUUGAAUAAGUGUUUUUCAAUGAAGGACCUUGGAGAAGCUGCUUAUAUAUUAGGCAUCAAGAUCUAUAGAGAUAGAUCGAGACGCCUCAUAGGUCUUUCACAAAGCACAUACCUUGAUAAGAUUUUGAAGAGGUUCAAAAUGGAUCAGUCCAAGAAGGGGUUCUUGCCUAUGUUACAAGGUGUGAGAUUGAGCUCGGCUCAGUCACCGACCACGGCAAAAGAUAAAGAAGAGAUGAGUGUCAUCCCCUAUGCUUCAGCCAUAGGAUCUAUUAUGUAUGCCAUGCUGUGUACCAGACCCGAUGUAAACCUUGCCGUAAGUUUGGUAGCAAGANNNNNNNNNNNNNNNNNNNNNNNNNNNNNNNNNNNNNNNNNNNNNNNNNNNNNNNNNNNNNNNNNNNNNNNNNNNNNNNNNNNNNNNNNNNNNNNNNNNNNNNNNNNNNNNNNNNNNNNNNNNNNNNNNNNNNNNNNNNNNNNNNNNNNNNNNNNNNNNNNNNNNNNNNNNNNNNNNNNNNNNNNNNNNNNNNNNNNNNNNNNNNNNNNNNNNNNNNNNNNNNNNNNNNNNNNNNNNNNNNNNNNNNNNNNNNNNNNNNNNNNNNNNNNNNNNNNNNNNNNNNNNNNNNNNNNNNNNNNNNNNNNNNNNNNNNNNNNNNNNNNNNNNNNNNNNNNNNNNNNNNNNNNNNNNNNNNNNNNNNNNNNNNNNNNNNNNNNNNNNNNNNNNNNNNNNNNNNNNNNNNNNNNNNNNNNNNNNNNNNNNNNNNNNNNNNNNNNNNNNNNNNNNNNNNNNNNNNNNNNNNNNNNNNNNNNNNNNNNNNNNNNNNNNNNNNNNNNNNNNNNNNNNNNNNNNNNNNNNNNNNNNNNNNNNNNNNNNNNNNNNNNNNNNNNNNNNNNNNNNNNNNNNNNNNNNNNNNNNNNNNNNNNNNNNNNNNNNNNNNNNNNNNNNNNNNNNNNNNNNNNNNNNNNNNNNNNNNNNNNNNNNNNNNNNNNNNNNNNNNNNNNNNNNNNNNNNNNNNNNNNNNNNNNNNNNNNNNNNNNNNNNNNNNNNNNNNNNNNNNNNNNNNNNNNNNNNNNNNNNNNNNNNNNNNNNNNNNNNNNNNNNNNNNNNNNNNNNNNNNNNNNNNNNNNNNNNNNNNNNNNNNNNNNNNNNNNNNNNNNNNNNNNNNNNNNNNNNNNNNNNNNNNNNNNNNNNNNNNNNNNNNNNNNNNNNNNNNNNNNNNNNNNNNNNNNNNNNNNNNNNNNNNNNNNNNNNNNNNNNNNNNNNNNNNNNNNNNNNNNNNNNNNNNNNNNNNNNNNNNNNNNNNNNNNNNNNNNNNNNNNNNNNNNNNNNNNNNNNNNNNNNNNNNNNNNNNNNNNNNNNNNNNNNNNNNNNNNNNNNNNNNNNNNNNNNNNNNNNNNNNNNNNNNNNNNNNNNNNNNNNNNNNNNNNNNNNNNNNNNNNNNNNNNNNNNNNNNNNNNNNNNNNNNNNNNNNNNNNNNNNNNNNNNNNNNNNNNNNNNNNNNNNNNNNNNNNNNNNNNNNNNNNNNNNNNNNNNNNNNNNNNNNNNNNNNNNNNNNNNNNNNNNNNNNNNNNNNNNNNNNNNNNNNNNNNNNNNNNNNNNNNNNNNNNNNNNNNNNNNNNNNNNNNNNNNNNNNNNNNNNNNNNNNNNNNNNNNNNNNNNNNNNNNNNNNNNNNNNNNNNNNNNNNNNNNNNNNNNNNNNNNNNNNNNNNNNNNNNNNNNNNNNNNNNNNNNNNNNNNNNNNNNNNNNNNNNNNNNNNNNNNNNNNNNNNNNNNNNNNNNNNNNNNNNNNNNNNNNNNNNNNNNNNNNNNNNNNNNNNNNNNNNNNNNNNNNNNNNNNNNNNNNNNNNNNNNNNNNNNNNNNNNNNNNNNNNNNNNNNNNNNNNNNNNNNNNNNNNNNNNNNNNNNNNNNNNNNNNNNNNNNNNNNNNNNNNNNNNNNNNNNNNNNNNNNNNNNNNNNNNNNNNNNNNNNNNNNNNNNNNNNNNNNNNNNNNNNNNNNNNNNNNNNNNNNNNNNNNNNNNNNNNNNNNNNNNNNNNNNNNNNNNNNNNNNNNNNNNNNNNNNNNNNNNNNNNNNNNNNNNNNNNNNNNNNNNNNNNNNNNNNNNNNNNNNNNNNNNNNNNNNNNNNNNNNNNNNNNNNNNNNNNNNNNNNNNNNNNNNNNNNNNNNNNNNNNNNNNNNNNNNNNNNNNNNNNNNNNNNNNNNNNNNNNNNNNNNNNNNNNNNNNNNNNNNNNNNNNNNNNNNNNNNNNNNNNNNNNNNNNNNNNNNNNNNNNNNNNNNNNNNNNNNNNNNNNNNNNNNNNNNNNNNNNNNNNNNNNNNNNNNNNNNNNNNNNNNNNNNNNNNNNNNNNNNNNNNCGGCCCCCUUCUCCCUUCCCCCUAUAAAUAGAGGGGUGAGGGGAGGGCAGCCGCACCACCCUCCAAGGCGUAGCCCUCCCCUCCCCAACACCUCUCCUCCUCCGUUGUGUGCUUGGCGAAGCCCUGUCGGAGUACUGCCUCUCCACCAUCACCACGCCGUCGUGCUGCCGGUGGAGCUGUCUUCCUCAACCUCUCCUUCCCCCUUGCUGGAUCAAGAAGGAGGAGACGUCUCCCGUCCCGUACGUGUGUUGAACGCGGAGGUGCUGUCCGUUCAGCACUUGGUCAUCGGUGAUUCGAAUCACGUCGAGUACGACUACAUCAUCACCUUGCAAGCUUCCGCACGCGAUCUACAAGUGGUAUGUAGAUGCAAACUCUCUCCCUUGACUCGUUGCUUAGAUGAACUCAUAGAUGGAUCUUGGUGAAACCGUAGGAAAAAUUUUAAUUUUCUGCAACGUUCCCCAACAUGGACAGCGGUCAAGAAUAUCCUAGAGUACCUGAAAAGGACUAAGGAUAUGUUUCUCAUUUAUGGAGGUGCCGAAGAGCUCGUCGUAAAGGGUUACAUCAAUGCUAGCUUUGACACAGAUCUGGAUGACUCCAAGUCACAAACCGGAUACGUGUAUAUUUUGAAUGGUGGGGCAGUUAGCUGGUGCAGUUGCAAGCAAAGUGUCGUGGUGGGAUCUAUAUGUGAAGCAGAGUACAUAGCUGUUUCGGAAGCAACACAUGAAGGAGGCAGGAUGAAGGAGUUUAUCACCGACCUAGGAGUGAUUCCCAAUGCGUCGGGCCUGAUGACUCUCUUCUGUGACAACACUGGAGCAAUUGUGAUUGCCAAGGAGCCCAGGUUUCACAAGAAGACUAAGCACAUCAAGCGCCGCUUCAACUCCAUUCGUGAAUAUACUCAAGAUGGAGACAUAGAUAUUUCUAAAGUACAUAUGGAUCUGAAUGUCACAGAUCCGUUGACUAAACAUCUUCCACGAGCAAAACAUGAUCAACACCAGAACUCUAUGGGUGUUUGAUUCAUCACAAUGUAACUAUAUUAGAUCAGCACCAGAACUUUAUGGGUGUUUGAUUCAUCAUAAUGUAACUAGAUUAUUGACUCUAGUGUAAGUGGGAGACUGUUGGAAAUAUGCCCUAGAGGCAAUAAUAAAAUGGUUAUUAUUAUACUUCCUUGUUCAUGAUAAUUAUCUAUUGUUCAUGCUAUAAUUGUAUUAACCUGGGAACCAUAAUACAUGUGUGAAUACAUAGACCACAACAUGUCCCUAGUGAGCCUCUAGUUGACUAGCUCGUUGAUCAAUAGAUGGUUGUGGUUUCCUGACCAUGGACAUUGGAUGCCGUUGAUAACGGGAUCACAUCACUAGGAGAAUGAUGUGAUGGACAAGACCCAAUCCUAAGCAUAGCACAAGAUCGUGUAGUUCACUUGCUAGAGCUUUUCUAAUGUCAAGUAUCAUUUCCUUAGACCAUGAGAUUGUGCAACUCCCGGAUGCCGUAGGAAUGCUUUGGGUGUAUCAAAUGUCACAACGUAACUAGGUGACCAUAAAGGUGCACUACAAGUAUCUCCAAAAUUGUUUGUUGGGUUGGCAUGAAUCGAGACUGGGAUUUGUCACUCCGUAUGACGGAGAGGUAUCUCUGGGCCCACUCAGUAAUGCGUCAUCAUAAUCAGCUCAAUGUGACUAAGGAGUUAGCCACGGGAUCAUGCAUUACGGAACGAGUAAAGAGACUUGCCAGUAACGAGAUUGAAUGAGGUAUGUGUUGGGGAAUGUAGUAAUUUCAAAAAAAAUCCUACGCACGCGCAAGAUCAUGGUGAUGCAUAGCAACAAGAGAGGAGAGUAUCGUCCACGUACCCUUGUAGACCGUAAGCGGAAGCGUUAUGAGAACGCGGUUGAUGUAGUCAUAUGUCUUCACGAUCCGACUGAUCGAAGUACCGAAUGUACGGCACCUCCGAGUUCAGCACAUGUUCAGCUCGAUGAUGUCCCACGAACUCCGAUCCAGCAAAGCUUCACAGGAGAGUUCCGUCAGCACGACGGCAUGAUGACGGUGAUGAUGUUGCUACCGACGCAGGGCUUCGCCUAAGCACUGCUACGAUAUGAUCGAGGUGGAUUAUGGUGGAGGGGGGCACCGCACACGGCUUGGAACAAUCAAGUUGUGUGUCCUAGGGUGCCCCUUGCCCCCGUAUAUAAAGGAGCAAGGGGGAGGCCGGCCGGCCCUUGCAGGGUGCACCAGGAGGAGGGUUCCUCCUCCUAGUAGGAGUAGGACUCCCCUUUCCUACUCCUACUAGGAGGGGGAAAGGAAGGAGGUGAGGGAGAAGGAAAGGGGGCGACGCCCCCCCCCUUCCCUAGUCCAAUUCGGACCAGAGGGGGAGGGGGCGCGUGGCCUACCCUGGCCGGCCCUCUCUCUCUCCACUAAGGCCCAUGUGGCCCAUUACUUCUCUCGGGGGGUUCCGGUAACCCUCCGGCACUUCGGUUUUCUCCGAAAUCACCCGGAACACUUCCGGCAUCUGAAUGUAGUCAUCCAAUAUAUUAAUCUUUAUGUCUCGACCAUUUCGAGACUCCUCGUCAUGUUCGUGAUCACAUCUAGGACUCCGAACUACCUUCGUACAUCAAAUCACAUAAACUCAUAAUACCGAUCGUCAUCGAACGUUAAGUGUGCGGACCCUACGGGUUCGAGAACUAUGUAGACAUGACCGAGACACAUCUCUGGUCAAUAACCAAUAGCGGAACCUGGAUGCUCAUAUUGGCUCCUACAUAUUCUAUGAAGAUCUUUAUCGGUCAAACUGCAUAACAACAUACUUUGUUCCCUUUGUCAUCGGUAUGUUACUUGCCCGAGAUUCAAUCGUCGGUAUCUCUAUACCUAGCUCAAUCUCGUUACCGGCAAGUCUCUUUCCUCGUUCCUUAAUGCAUCAUCCCGCAACUAACUCAUUAGUUGCAUUGCUUGCAAGGCUUAUAGUGAUGUGCAUUACCAAGAGGGCCCAGAGUUACCUCUCCAACAAUCGGAGUGACAAAUCCUAAUCUCGAUCUAUGCCAACUCAACAAGUACCAUCGGAGACACCUGUAGAGCACCUUUAUAAUCACCAAGUUACGUUGUGACGUUUGGUAGCACACAAAGUGUUCCUCCAGUAAUCGGGAGUUGCAUAAUCUCAUAGUCAUAGGAACAUGUAUAAGUCAUGAAGAAAGCAAUAGCAGUAAACUAAAACGAUCAAGUGCUAAGCUAACGGAAUGGGUCAAGUCAAUCACAUCAUUCUCCUAAUGAUGUGAUCCCGUUUAUCAAAUGACACUAGUAUGGUUAGGAAACAUACUAGUCAAGUAGAGGCAUACCAGUGACGCUCUGUUUGUCUAUGUAUUCACACAUGUAUUAUGUUUCCGGUUAAUACAAUUCUAGCAUGAAUAAUAAACAUUUAUCAUGAAAUAAGGAAAUAAAUAAUAACUUUAUUAUUGCCUCUAGGGCAUAUUUCCUCCAGUCUCGCACUUGCACUAGAGUCAAUAAUCUAGAUUACACAGUAAUGAUUCUAACACCCAUGGAGCCUUGGUGUUGAUCAUGUUUUGCUCGUGAGAGAGGCUUAGUCAACUGGUCUGCAACAUUUAGAUCUGUAUGUAUGCAAAUCUAUAUGUCUCCCACCUGGACUUGAUCGCGGAUGGAAUUGAAGCAUCUCUUGAUGUGUUUGGUUCUCUUGUGAAAUCUGGAUUCCUUUCCCAAGGCAAUUGCACCAGUAUUGUCACAAAAGAUUUUCAUUGGACCCGAUGCACUAGGUAUGACACCUAGAUCGGAUAUGAACUCCUUCAUCCAGACUCCUUCAUUUGCUGCUUCCGAAGUAGCUAUGUACUCCUCUUCACACGUAGAUCCUGCCACGACGCUUUGUUUAGAACUACUCCAACUGACAGCUCCACCGUUCAAUAUAAACACGUAUCCGGUUUGUGAUUUAGAAUCAUCCGGAUCAGUGUCAAAGCUUGCAUCGACGUAACCAUUUACGAUGAGCUCUUUGUCACCUCCAUAAAUGAGAAACAUAUCCUUAGUCCUUUUCAAGUAUUUCAGGAUGUUCUUGACCACUGUCCAGUGAUCCACUCCUGGAUUACUUUGGUACCUCCCUGCUAAACUAAUAGCAAGGCACACAUCAGGUCUGGUACACAGCAUUGCAUACAUGAUAGAGCCUAUGGCUGAAGCAUAGGGAACACUUUUCAAUUUCUCUCUAUCUUCUGAGGUGGUCGUGCAUCGAGUCUUACUCAACUUCACACCUUGUAACACAGGCAAGAAUCCUUUCUUAGCUUGAUCCAUUUUGAACUUCUCCAAAACUUUAUCAAGGUAUGUGCUUUAUGAAAGUCCAAUUAAGUGUCUUGAUCUAUCUCUAUAGAUCUUGAUGCCAAAUAUAUAAGCAGCUUCACCGAGGUCUUUCAUUGAAAAACUCUUAUUCAAGUAUCCUUUAAUGCUAUCCAGAAAUCCUGUAUCAUUUUCAAUCAACAAUAUGUCAUCCACAUAUAAUAUUAGAAAUGCUACAGAGCUCCCACUCACUUUCUUGUAAAUACAGGCUUCUCCAAAAGUCUGUAUAAAACCAUAUGCUUUGAUCACACCAUCAAAACGUUUAUUCCAACUCCAAGAGCUUGCACCAGUCCAUAAAUGGAUCGCUGGAGCUUGCACACUUUGUUAGCACCCUUUGGAUCAAUAAAACCUUCAGGUUGCAUCAUAUACAACUCUUCUUCUAGAAAUCCAUUCAGGAAUGCAGUCUUCACAUCCAUUUGCCAAAUUUCAUAAUCAUAAAAUGUGGCAAUUGCUAACAUGAUACGGACGGACUUAAGCAUCGCUACGGGUGAGAAGGUCUCAUCGUAGUCAACUCCUUGAACUUGUCGAAAACCUUUUGCAACAAGUCUAGCUUUGUAGACAGUAACAUUAUCGUCAGCGUCAGUCUUCUUCUUGAAGAUCCAUUUAUUCUCGAUGGCUUGCCGAUUAUUGGGCAACUCAACCAAAGUCCACACUUUGUUCUCAUACAUGGAUCCCAUCUUAGAUUUCAUGGCCUCAAGCCAUAUUGUGGAAUCUGGGCUCAUCAUCGCUUCCUCAUAGUUCGUAGGUUCAUCAUGGUCAAGUACCAUGACCUCCAGAACAGGAUUACCGUACCACUCCGGUGCGGAUCUUACUCUGGUUAACCGACGAGGUUCAGUAGUAACUUGAUCUGAAGUUUCAUAAUCAUCAUCAUUGGCUUCCUCACUAAUUGGUGUAGGUGUCACAGGAACCGGUUUCUGUAAUGGACUACUUUCCAAUAAGGGAUCAUGUACAGUUACCUCAUCAAGUUCUACUUUCCUCCCACUCACUUCUUUCGAGAGAAACUCCCUCUCUAGAAAGGAUCCAUUCUUAGCAACAAAUGUCUUGCCUUCGGAUCUGUGAUAGAAGGUGUACCCAACAGUCUCCUUUGGGUAUCCUAUGAAGACACAUUUCUCCGAUUUAGGUUCGAGCUUAUCAGGUUGAAGCUUUUUCACAUAAGCAUCGCAGCCCCAAACUUUAAGAAACAACAACUUUGGUUUCUUGCCAAACCAUAGUUCAUAAGGCGUCAUCUCAACAGAUUUAGAUGGUGCCCUAUUUAACGUGAAUGUAGUUGUCUAAAGCAUAACCCCAAAAUGAUAGCGGUAAAUCAGUAAGAGACAUCAUAAAUCGCACCAUAUCUAGUAAAGUACGAUUACGACGUUCGGACACACCAUUACGCUAUGGUGUUCCGGGUGGCGUGAAUUGCGAAACUAUUCCGCAUUGUUUCAAAUGUACACCAAACUCGUAACUCAAAUAUUCUCCUCCACGAUCAGAUCGUAGAAACUUUAUUUUCUUGUUACGAUGAUUUUCCACUUCACUCUGAAAUUCUUUGAACUUUUCAAACAUUUCAAGCUUAUGUUUCAUCAAGUAGAUAUACCCAUAUCUGCUCAAAUCAUCUGUGAAGGUGAGAAAAUAACAAUACCCGCCGCGAGUCUCAACAUUGAUCAGACCACAUACAUCAGUAUGUAUGAUUUCCAACAAAUUUGUUCCUCGCUCCAUAGUUCCAGAGAAUGGUGUUUUAGUCAUCUUGUCCAUGAGGCAUGGUUCGCAAGUACCAAGCGAUUCAUAAUCAAGUGAUUCCAAAAGUCCAUCAGAAUGGAGUUUCUUCAUGCGCUUUACACCAAUAUGACCUAAACGGCAGUGCCACAAAUAAGUUGCACUAUCAUUAUCAACUCUGCAUCUUUUGGCUUCAACAUUAUGAAUAUGUGUAUCACUACUAUCGAGAUUCAUUAAAAAUAGACCACUCUUCAAGGGUGCAUGACCAUAAAAGAUAUUACUCAUAUAAAUAGAACAUCCAUUAUUCUCUCAUUUAAAUGAAUAACCGUAUCGCAUCAAACAAGAUCCAGAUAUAAUGUUCAUGCUCAACGCUGGCACCAAAUAACAAUUAUUCAGGUCUAAAACUAAUCCCGAAGGUAGAUGUAGAGGUAGCGUGCCGACAGCGAUCACAUCGACUUUGGAACCAUUUCCCACGCGCAUCGUCACCUCGUCCUUAGCCAAUCUUCGCUUAAUCCGUAGUCCCUGUUUCGAGUUGCAAAUAUUAGCAAUAGAACCAGUAUCAAAUACACAGGUACUACUGCGAGCUUUAGUAAGGUACACAUCAAUAACAUGUAUAUCACAUAUACCUUUGUUCACCUUGCCAUCCUUCUUAUCCGCCAAAUACUUGGGGCGGUUCCGCUUCCAGUGACCAGUCCCUUUGCGGUAGAAGCACUCAGUCCCAGGCUUAGGUCCAGACUUGGGUUUCUUCUCUUGAGCAGCAACUUGUUUGCCGUUCUUCUUGAAGUUCCCUUUCUUCUUCCCUUUACCCUUUUUCUUGAAACUGGUGGUCUUGUUGACCAUCAACACUUGAUGCUCCUUCUUGAUUUCUACCUCCGCAGCCUUUAGCAUUGUGAAGAGCUCGGGAAUUGUCUUAUCCAUCCCUUGCAUGUUAUAGUUCAUCACAAAGCUCUUGUAGCUUGGUGGCAAUGAUUGAAGAAUUCUGUCAAUGACACUAUCAUCCGGAAGAUUAACUCCCAGUUGAAUCAAGUGAUUGUUAUAGCCCAGACAUUUUGAGUAUAUGUUCACUGACAGAACUAUACUCCUCCAUCUUGCAGCUGUAGAACUUAUUGGAGAUCUCAUAUCUCUCAAUCCGGGCAUUUGCUUGAAAUAUUAACUUCAACUCCUGGAACAUCUCAUAUGCUCCAUGACGUUCAAAACAUCGUUGAAGUCCCGGUUCUAAGCCGCAAAGCAUGGCACACUCAACUAUCGAGUAGUCAUCAGCUUGCUUUGUUAGACGUUCAUAACAUCUGGUUCAGCUCCUGCAACAGGUUUGGCACCUAGUGGUGCUUCCAGGACGUAAUUCUUUUGUGCAGCAAUGAGGAUAAUCCUCAAGUUACGGACCCAGUCCGUGUAAUUGCUACCAUCAUCUUUCAACUUUGCUUUCUCAAGGAAUGCAUUAAAAUUCAACGGAACAACAGCACGGGCCAUCUAUCUACAAUAGCAUAGACAAGCAAAAUACUAUCAGGUACUAAGUUCAUGAUAAAUUAAAGUUCAAUUAAUCAUAUUUAAGAACUCCCACUUAGAUAGACAUCCCUCUAAUCAUCUAAGUGAUCAUGUGAUCCAAAUCAACUAAACCAUGACCGAUCAUCACAUGAAAUGGAGUAGUUUUCAAUGGUGAACAUCACUAUGUUGAUCAUAUCUACUAUAUGAUUCACGCUCGACCUUUUGGUCUCGGUGUCCCAAGGCCAUACCUGCAUAUGCUAGGCUCGUCAAGUUUAACCCGAGUAUUUCUGCGUGUGCAAAACUGGCUUGCACCCAUUGUAUGUGAACGUAGAGCUUAUCACACCCGAUCAUCACGUGGUGUCACAGCACAACGAACUUUGACAAUGGUGCAUACUCAGAGAGAACACUCGUACCUUGAAAUUUAGUGAGAGAUCAUCUUAUAAUGCUACCGUCAAUCAAGUAGAAUAAGAUGCAUAAAGGAUAAACAUCACGUGCAAUCAAUAUAAGUGAUAUGAUAUGGCCAUCAUCAUCUUAUGCCUUUGAUCUCCAUCUCCAAAGCACCGUCAUGAUCACCAUCGUCACUAGCGCGACACCUUGAUCUCCAUCGUAGCAUCGUGACGUCUCGCCAAAUAUUGCUUCUACGACUAUCGCUAUCGUUUAGUGAUAAAGUAAAGCAAUUACAGGGCAAUUGCAUUGCAUACAAUAAAGCGACAACCAUAUGGCUCCUGCCAGUUGCCGAUAACUCCGUUACAAAGCAUGAUCAUCUCAUACAAUAAAAUAUAGCAUCAUGCCUUGACCAUAUCACAUCACAACAUUGUAACACCCCGGAUGUAACUUACCAUAUUUGUACUCCAACUCUUGCCAUUUUCGGCUCUAAGUUAUGAGAUUCGUGGUUGGGUUCUUGUGUUUGUUUUGCAUUUUGCUCAUGUCAUGCAUACCAUAUCAUGUCAUCAUGUGCAUCACAUUUGCAUAUGUGUUCGUCUCAUGCAUCCGAGCAUUUUCCCCGUUGUCCAUUUUGCAAUCUGACACUCCUAUGUCCUCCGGCGCCCCCUUUUGCCUCUUUUCGUGAGCAGGUGUUAAACAUUCUCGGAAUGGACCGAGAUUUUCCAAGCGGCCUUGGUACACCACCGGUAGACCGCUUGUCAAGUUUCGUGCCAUUUGGAGUCCGUUCGAUACUCCAACGGUUAACCGGGGAACUGUAAAGGCCUCGUGUGUGUUGCAGCCCAACACCCCUCCAAAGUGGCCCAAUAAUCCAUCCAAACCCCAUCCAUCCUCUCGGACGUUCGAUCACGAUCGCGUGGCCAAAAACCGCACCUCAUUUGGACUCUCCUAGCUCCCUCUACCUAUAUAUUUGCACCUCCCCCCAAAAUUUCGCGGUGCAAACCCUAGAUCUUCCCCCUCUCGCCCGCCGGACACGUCCGACCCGGACCGGACGUAACCCCGCCGCCGCUCCCAGCCUCUCCCGUCGCGCCACAUGGCCCCGGCCACGGCGCACCNNNNNNNNNNNNNNNNNNNNNNNNNNNNNNNNNNNNNNNNNNNNNNNNNNNNNNNNNNNNNNNNNNNNNNNNNNNNNNNNNNNNNNNNNNNNNNNNNNNNNNNNNNNNNNNNNNNNNNNNNNNNNNNNNNNNNNNNNNNNNNNNNNNNNNNNNNNNNNNNNNNNNNNNNNNNNNNNNNNNNNNNNNNNNNNNNNNNNNNNNNNNNNNNNNNNNNNNNNNNNNNNNNNNNNNNNNNNNNNNNNNNNNNNNNNNNNNNNNNNNNNNNNNNNNNNCCGCCGCCGCCGUCUCCCGAGGCGCCCGAGCCGCCUGAGCCUAUGAGCGCCGCCGCCCGCGAGCCAAGCACCUGCGACCGCCGCCACCCGGACCCUCGCCAACGUCGCCUGUUUGCCGCCCGCGCCUGCUACUCCAGCGACCGCGACGCCACCCCUGCCUCCUCGCCGCGCCUCCUCCGACGAGUCCGGCGACAACUCCGACCGCGUCUUCCUCUCCGCCGGCAAGCCCCUCCAACUCAGGCCACCGCCUCGUCUUCAAUUCCGGCGAGAAGCACUCCGGCAAACCUCGAGCUCCGUGCCGUCCAGAUCCAGAUCCAACAAACCCUAUGGUUGACUUCGAAAUUCCACCAAGUCUUUUAUUUUUGCAUUCUGAAGCCCUGUUCAUCAUGUCAUAACUUGCUGCAUACUGCUCCGUUUUGUGCGUGCCAUAUAUCAAAAUGUUCAUCAGGUUGUGCUCUUCAUUUUGUUCCAUUGUGCCAUGCUUGUUUGAGUCCAUCUUGAUGCCCAAAUUGUUGAUGCAAGAGUGCUAUAAAAUGUUAGUUCCUGUUACUUAGCAGUUUAUGAGCAUUUGUCAUUUUUGCCACAUUUGUUGUGUGCUGCAUAUGAGCAUGAGCUCUACAUGUGUUUUGGGCUAUGCCAUGCCAUCUUUACAGGGGUGUAUGCCAUGUAGUUUUGUGAUCAAUGUGGUGACUAGCACAUGCAUGCAAAGUAGCUCUCGUAAUAUUGCUAAUUUCAGGGACUUAAAAUUUCACUAAGUCAUUUCCCUACUGUUAUUUUAAUGCCAUGUAUUCAUGUUGCUACAGAGAGAUGCUUCUUUUGAGUAUGUUCAGUAAGGAUGAUUUUGACAUAUGGUUAUGCUCUAUCCAUCCAUGUCUUGUUUGCAUUUAUGGGGUGCCCUAGAAUGACUGAAUCUUGAUCUACUUUUGCUAUAAAAUGUUCCUCGCAGAUUGUUUACGUGUUAAUCAAUUUUGCCAAGGUUGUUGUAGUUGAUCCAUGCAUGCUAUUAACUUGUUCUUGCUUUGUUUGGUUUCAUGAUCAUGUCUUCUUGCUGUUAGUAUGCUUAGCUUGUCAUGCAAUGCCUUGUGGUGAGUGAAUCGAGCUCACAAACAUGCCUUCAUAAUUCUGUUGAUGUCAUGUCCAGUUUUCUGCUAAGUCUGAAUCUGUUAACGAAACUUGCUAUGUUUACGUGGGUGCCAUCAUAUUUUCUAUGCCCUUUUGGCUUAUUGUCAGUAAGGGACUUUUGUUAUAUGCUUUGAGUAGAUUCAUGCCAUGCCUUUGUUUGCUAUGUUCUGUUCAUGUAGCGUGUUGAUAGCUUGCUCUAAACAUUGCUUCCUGGUGUUAAUUCCUGACAAGUUAGUAUUGUCUCUAAGUCUGUGAUGCUGAUAUCUUUUGAACUUUUGCCAUGCUUGUUUGAACCUGCUAUUGUGUGAUUUGGCCGUAGCUCAGUGUUCAUCUUUUGUCAAGCAUCUUGAGUAGAUCACUGUCAUGUGCUUGGUUGCUAUGUUGGAGUGCAGUAUCUUAGUUUCUUGUUGCAUUCUAGAUGGCAUCGUGUUGUUAAUCACAGAAUUGUGCCAUUAUUGUUUUGCUUGCCAUUUGCAAACCGUGCAUCCGAUUUCGGUGAUCUUUAUAUCGAUUUCAACCGAAAUCAACUCAUCUUUCCAGCGGCGCACUUGGUUUACCAAGUUGAGGCCUGGUUCAAUCUUUUCCUUCCGGAGCAUGCAUAUGCAUUGCAUAUCACAUCCCGCAUAUCAUGCCAUGUUUUGCAUCAUGUUGCUUGCGCAUUGCACCGUGAUUGAUUGUUGGUCCUUUGUUUGUGUCCUUGCUUUGGUUAGAGAAGGGAGACAAGUAUGUGAUCGAGGAACCCGUUGAGUAUGCUUACGAGGAUCAAGCUUACGUCAACUCGAAGAACUUUGCAGGCAAGAUGACCAUACCCUCGAAAUCACUUCUAUCUUUGCUUGCUAGUUGUUCGCUCUAUUGCUAUGUCGCGAUACCUACCACUUGCUUUAUCAUGCCUCCCAUAUUGCCAUGUCAAGCCUCUAACCCACCUUUCCUAGCAAACCGUUGUUUGGCUAUGUUACCGCUUUGCUCAGCCCCUCUUAUAGCGUUGCUAGUUGCAGGUGAUGAUGGAGUUUGUUCCUUGUUGGAACAUGUUUAUUGUUGGGGUAUCAUUAUUAUAUCUUGUUUACUUUAAUGCAUCUAUAUACUUGGUAAAGGGUGGAAGGCUCGGCCUUAUGCCUGGUGUUUUGUUCCACUCUUGCCGCCCUAGUUUCCGUCAUACCGGUGUUAUGUUCCUUGAUUUUGUGUUCCUUACGCGGUUGGGUGUUAUGGGAACCCCUUGACAGUUCGCCUUGAAUAAAACUCCUCCAGCAAGGCCCAACCUUGGUUUUACCAUUUGCCACCUAAGCCUUUUUCCCUUGGGUUCCGCGGACUCAAGGGUCAUCUUUAUUUUAAACCCCCCGGGCCAGUGCUCCUCUGAGUGUUGGUCCAAAACAGAGCCACUUGCAGCGCCACCUCAGGGAAACUUGAGGGUUGGUUUUAGUUGUACGUAGUGUUCAUCCGGUGUGCCCUAAGAACGAGAUAUGUGCAGCUCCUAUCAGGAUUUGUCGGCACAUCGGGCGGCUUUGCUGGUCUUGUUUUACCAUUGUCGAAAUGUCUUGUAACCGGGAUUCCGAGUCUGAUCGGGUCGUCCUGGGAGAAGGAAUAUCCUUCAUUGACCGUGAGAGCUUGUGAUGGGCUAAGUUGGGACACCCCUGCAGGGUUUUAAACUUUCGAAAGUCAUGCCCGCGGUUAUGGGCAGAUGGGAAUUUGUUAAUAUCCGGUUGUAGAAAACUUGACACUUAACUUAAUUAAAAUGAAUCAACAGCGUGUGUAGCUGUGAUGGUCUCUUUUCGGCGGAGUCCGGGAAGAGAACACAGUCUCGUGUUAUGCUUAAACGUAAGUAGUUUCAGGGUCACUUCUUGAUCUUUAUAGCUUCUCGACCGUGCUUUGCUUCUCUUCUCGCUCCCAUUUGCGUAAGUUAGCCACCAUAUAUGCUAGUGCUUGAUGCAGCUCCACCUCACUACCCCUUUUCCUACCCCUUACGCUUAAAUAGUCUUGAUCGCGAGGGUGUGAGAUUGUUGAGUCCCCGUGACUCAUAGAUUACUUCCAAAAACCAGAUGCAGGUGCCGACGAUGCCAGUGCAGGGGACGCGACCGAAUUCAAGUGGGAAUUCGACGAGGAUUCGGGACGUUACUAUGUUUCCUUUCCGGACGAUCAGUAGUGGGGCCCAGUUGGGGCGAUCGGGGAUCUAUGCAUUUGGGGUUGUCUUUAUUUAUGUUGGUUCCAUAGUCGGACCUUGAUUGUAUUCUAGAUGAUGUAAUGCUAUAUUUUAUGUAUUGUGUGAAGUGGCGAUUGUAAGCCAACUCUUUAUCGCUUUCUUAUUCAGUACAUGGGAUGUGUAAAGAUUACCCCUCUUGCGACAUGCCUACUAUGCUGUUAUGCCUCUAAGUCGUGCUCCGACACGUGGGAGAUAUAGCCGCAUCGUGGGUGUUACAAACAUGCCCUACAAAAACAAGUUAGACGUCCUCUACUUUGUUGUUGCAAGUUUUACGUGGCUGCUACGGGUUGAGCAAGAACCGUUCUUACCUACGCAUCAAAACCACAACGAUAUUUCGUCAAGUUAGUGUUGUUUUAACCUUCAACAAGAACCGGGCAUAGUCACACUUGGUUCAACUAAAGUUGGAGAAACUGACACCCGCCAGCCAUCUGUGUGCAAAGCACGUCGGUAGAACCAGUCUCGCGUAAGCGUACGCGUAAUGUCGGUCCGAGCCGCUUCAUCCAACAAUACCACUGAACCAAAGUAUGACAUGCUGGUAAGCAGUAUGACUUGUAUCGCCCACAACUCACUUGUGUUCUACUCGUGCAUAUAACAUCUACGCAUAGACCUGGCUCGGAUGCCACUGUUGGGGAACGUAGUAAUUUCAAAAAAAAAUCCUAUGCACACGCAAGAUCAUGGUGAUGAUAGCAAUAAGAGAGGAGAGUAUCGUCCACGUACCCUCGUAGCCCGUAAGAGGAAGCGUUAUGAGAACGCGGUUGAUGUAGUCGUACGUCUUCACGAUCUGACCGAUCCAAGUACCGAACGUACAACACCUCUGAGUUCAGCACACGUUCAGCUCGAUGACGUCCCACGAACUCCGAUCCAACAGAGCUUCACAGGAGAGUUCCGUCAGCAUGAUGGCGUGAUGACGGUGAUGAUGUUGCUACCGACGCAGGGCUUCGCCUAAGCACCGCUACAAUAUGAUCGAAGUGGAUUAUGGUGGAGGGGGGCACCGCACACGGCUUGGAACAAUCAAAUUGUGUGUCCUAGGGUGCCCCCUGCCCCCGUAUAUAAAGGAGCAAGGGGGGAGGUCGGCCGGCCCUUGCAGGGCGCGCCAGGAGGAGGAGUACUCCUCCUAGUAGGAAAGGGGGGUGUCGCCCCCCUUCCCUAGUCCAAUUCGGACCAUAGGGGGAGGGGGCGCGCGGCCUGCCCUGGCCGACCCUCUCUCUCUCCACUGCCCACGUGGCCCAUUACUUCUCCCGGGGGGUUCCGGUAACCCUCCGGCACUCGGCUUUUCUCCGAAAUCACCCGGAAUAUUUCCGGUAUCCGAAUGUAGUCGUCCAAUAUAUUAAUAUUUAUGUCUCGACCAUUUCGAGACUCCUCGUCAUGUUUGUGAUCACAUCCGGUACUCCGAACUACCUUCGGUACAUCAAAUCACAUAAACUCAUAAUACUGAUCGUCGUCGAACGUUAAGCGUGCGGACCCUACGGGUUCGAGAACUAUGUAGACAUGACUGAGACAUGUAUCCAGUCAGUAACCAUAGCGGAACCUGGAUGCUCAUAUUGGGUCCUACAUAUUCUACGAAGAUCUUUAUCGGUCAAACUACAUAACAACAUACUUUGUUCCCUUUGUCGUCGGUAUGUUACUUACCCGAGAUUCGAUCAUCGGUAUCUCAAUACCUAGCUCAAUCUCGUUACCGGAAAGUCUCUUUACUCGUUGCGUAAUGCAUCAUCCCGCAACUAACUCAUUUGUUGCAUUGCUUGCAAGGCUUACAGUGAUGUGCAUUACCGAGAGGGCCCAGAGUUACCUCUCCAACAGUCGGAGUGACAAAUCCUAAUCUCGAUCUAUGCCAACUCAACAAGUACCAUCGGAGACACCUAUAGAGCACCUUUAUAAUCACCCAGUUACGUUGUGAUGUUUGGUAGCACACAAAGUGUUCCUCCGGUAAUUGGGAGUUGCAUAAUCUCAUAGUCAUAGGAACAUGUAUAAGUCAUGAAGAAAGCAUUAGCAGUAAACUAAAACGAUCAAGUGCUAAGCUAACAGAAUGGGUCAAGUCAAUCACAUCAUUCUCCUAAUGAUGUGAUCUUGUUUAUCAAAUGACAACUCAUGUCUAUGGUUAGGAAACAUGACCAUAUUUGAUCAACGAACUAGUCAAGUAGAGGCAUACUAGUGACACUCUGUUUGUCUAUGUAUUCACACAUGUAUUAUGUUUACGGUUAAUACAAUUCUAGCAUGAAUAAUAAACAUUUACAAUGAAAUAAGGAAAUAAAUAAUAACUUUAUUAUUGCCUCUAGGGCAUAUUUCCUUCAGUAUGGGGAUACCGACGAUCGAAUCUCGGGCAAGUAACAUCCGAUGGACAAAGGGAAUUGUAUACGGGAUUGAUUGAAUCCCCGACAACAUGGUCCAUCCGAUGAGAUCAUCAUGGAAAAUGUGGGAGCCAAUAUGGGUAUCCAUAUCCCGCUAUUGGUUAUUAGUCGGCGAGGUGUCUCGGUCAUGUCUGCAUGAUUCCCGAACCCGUAGGGUCUACACACUUAAGGUUCGGUAACGCUAGAGUUGUAAUGGGAAAUUGCAUGUGGUUACCAAAGGUUGUUCGGAGUCCCGGAUGAGAUCCUGGGUGUCACGAGGAGUUACAGAAUGGUCCGGAGGUGAAGAUUUAUAUAUGGGAAGUCCAGUUUCAAUCGCCGGAAGGUUUCGGGGUUAUCGGUAUUGUACCGGGACCACCGAAAGGUGUCCGGGGGUCCACCGGGUGGGGCCACCUAUCCCGCGGGACCAAGUGGGCUGAAUAUGGGUGGGAACCAGCCCCCUAGUGGGCUGGUGCGCCUCCCCAAGGGGCCCAAGGCGCCUAGGGUUGAAACCCUAGGGGUGGGGGCGCCCCCACCAACUUGGGGGGCAAGCACCCCCUUGGCCGCCGCCCCCCUCUAGAUGCAUCUAGGGGGCGGUUCCCUUCCCCUUCACCCUAUAGAAGUGGGGGUGGGAGGGCAGCCGCACCCUUCCCCUGGCGCAGCCCUUUCUGUUGGAAAUAUGCCCUAGAGGCAAUAAUAAAAGGAUUAUUAUUAUAUUUCCUUGUUCGUGAUAAUUGUCUUUUAUUCAUGCUAUAAUUGUGUUAUCCGGAAAUCGUAAUACAUGUGUGAAUACAUAGACACCAACAUGUCCCUAGUAAGCCUCUAGUUGACUAGCUCGUUGAUCAACAGAUAGUCAUGGUUUCCUGACUAUGGACAUUGGAUGUCAUUGAUAACGAGAUCACAUCAUUAGGAGAAUGAUGUGAUGGACAAGACCCAAUCCUAAACAUAGCACAAGAUCGUAUAGUUCGUUUGCUAGAGUUUUUCCAAUGUCAAGUAUCUUUUCCUUAGACCAUGAGAUCGUGUAACUCCCGGAUACCGUAGGAGUGCUUUGGGUGUACCAAAUGUCAUAACGUAACUGGGUGACUAUAAAGGUAUACUACGGGUAUCUCCGAAAGUGUCUGUUGGGUUGACACGGAUCAAGACUGGGAUUUGUCACUCCGUAUGACGGAGAGGUAUCUCUGGUCCCACUCGGUAAUGCAUCAUCAUAAUGCGCUCAAAGUGAGCAAGUGUUUGGUCACGGGAUCAUGCAUUACGGUACGAGUAAAGUGACUUGCCGGUAACGAGAUUGAACGAGGUAUUGGGAUACCGACGAUCGAAUCUCGGGCAAGUAACGUAUCGAUUGACAAAGGGAAUUGUAUACGGGGUUGCUUGAAUCCUCAACAUCGUGGUUCAUCCGAUGAGAUCAUCGAGGAGCAUGUGGGAGCCAGCAUGGGUGUCCAGAUCCCGCUGUUGGUUAUUGACCAUAGAGCCAUCUCGGUCAUGUCUACAUGUCUUCCGAACCUGUAGGGUCUACACACUUAAGGUUCGGUGACGCUAGGGUUGUAGAGAUAUGAAUAUGCAGUAACCCGAAAGUUGUUCGGAGUCCCGGAUGAGAUCCCGGAUGUCACGAGGAGUUCCGGAAUGGUCCGGAGGUGAAGAAUUAUAUAUAAAAAGUGCAGUUUUGGCCAUCGGGAGAGUUUCAGGGGUCACCGGUAUUGUACCGGGACCACCGGAUGGGUCCCGGGGGUCCACCGGGUGGGACCACCCAUCCCGGAGGGCCCCAUGGGCUGAAGUGGGGAGGGGAACCAGCCCAUAGUGGGCUGGUGCGCCCCCCUUGGCCCACCCCCUGCGCCUAGGGUUGGAAACCCUAGGGUGGGGGGGCGCCCCACUUGCCUUGGGGGCCACUCCACCCUUGGCCGGCGCCCCCCUAGGAGAUCCCAUCUCCUAGGGCCAGCGCCCCCCUUAGGGAGCCUAUAUAAAGGGGGGAGGGAGGGGCAGCCGCACCCUUGACUCUUGGCGCCUCCCUCUCCCCUGCUACACCUCUCCCUCUCGCAGAAGAACGGCGAAGCCCUGCUGCGGUGACUGCUGCAUCCACCACCACGCCGUCGUGCUGCUGGAUCUUCAUCAACCUCUCCUCCCCCCUUGCUGGAUCAAGAAGGAGGAGACGUCACCCUGACCGUAUGUGUGUUGAACACGGAGGUGCCGUCCGUUCGGCGCUAGGAUCUCUGGUGAUUUGGAUCACGUCGAGUACGACUUCCUCAUCCCCGUUCUUUGAACGCUUCCGCGCGUGAUCUACAAAGGUAUGUAGAUGCAAUCCAAUCACUCGUUGCUAGAUGAACUCAUAGAUGGAUCUUGGUGAAACCGUAGGAAAAUUUUUGUUUUCUAUAAUGUUCCCCAACACUUUCCCCCUCUAACUCCUCCUCCUCCGUAGUGCUUAGCGAAGCUCUACCGGAGAACCACGAGCUCCACCACCACGCCGUCGUGCUGCCGGAGUUCUCCCUCAACUUAUCCUCUCCCCUUGUUGGAUCAUGAAGGAGGAGACGUCCCUGGGUUGUACAUGUGUUGAACGCAGAGGCGCCAUCCUUUCGGCGCUUGGAUCAUAUCUUCCGUGAUUUGAAUCGCCGCGAGUAUGACUCCAUCAACCACGUUCUUGUAACGCUUCCGCUUAGCGAUCUUCAAGGGUAUAAAGAUGCACUCCCUCUCUCUCAUUGCUAGCAUCUCCUAGAUUGAUCUUGGUGACAUGUAGGAAUUUUUUUGAAUUAUUACUACGUUACCCAACACCAACAAUAGGUCUAUGUUUAUCUUUUUCAUCGGGUUUGGCAAUUCUAGCAGCUUCAUCGCAGAAGUAAAUAACAUGCCCAUCAAUAUUUUCUACCACGAGAUCUUUAACCAUAGAAACACUAGGUUCUAAUUUAAUUUGUUUAGCAGGUUUAGGUGCUCUAAUAUUACUUUUGCGAACCACAGUGGAAACCUUAGCGUGUUCCUUUAUCCUAACAGGGAAAGGUGGUUUUUCAAUAUAAGCAGUAGGCACAAUUGGAUCAACAUUGUAAAUAAUAGUUUCAUCUUUAGCUAUGGCCGGUUCUUUAAUUUCCUCUUUAAUAGGGGGAUGAUAUUUAAGCCACUUCUCCUUAGGGAGACCAACAUGAGUAGGAAAGGAUUCGCAAAAAGAGGCUACUAUCUCAGAGUCAAGUCCAUACUUAGUGCUAAACUUGUGAAAAGCAUCAGUAUUCAUAAAAGAUUUAACACAAUCAAACUCAAGCUUAAUACCCGACUCUUUACCUUCGUCGAGUUCCCAAAAUUCUUGUAAAAGAUCCCACCUGAAUUCAAUAGUCUUCUUCAUAGAAUAACUAGUACAAGAAGUAUAGAGCAUGGAUUGAUCAUCACGAGAAAGCUAAACAUAAAAGUUCUGAAUAAUAAUUUCUCUCGAGAGCUCAUGAUUGGGGCAUGAAUAUAACAUUGACUUAAGCCUCCCCCAAGCUAGAGCGAUACUUUCUCCUUCACGAGGCCAAAAAUUAUAUAUAUAUAUAUAUAUAUAUAUAUAUAUAUAAUUCCGAUCACGAUGAACUAGAUGCAUAGGAUAAAACUUUUGGUGAAAUUCCAAUUUCAAUUGAUUCCAGUUCCAAGAUCCAAUAUCAUCGCAUAGCCUAUACCAUGUCAUUGCUUUUCCCUUCAAAGAUAAAGGGAAACCCUUCUUCUUAGCUUCAUCUCCGAAUAAACCUGUAAGCUUAAAUAAUCCACAAAUUUCAUCCACAUAUAUCAAAUGCAUACCAGGAUGUUAAGUUCCAUCUCCUGCAUAAGGAUUAGCUAGCAGUUGUUCUAUCAUACCCGAAGGAAUUUGAUAACCAAUAUUUUCAGUAGGUGCAGUAGGUUGAGGGGAAACUAAUUGUGCUUUCGGUCGAGGUGAAGAUACCCCGAACAAACCCCUCAAAUGAUGGUUCUCCAUAGUAACAAGUGACAAUAAAAUUGAGUACAUGGUAAUGAUUUUUCCUUACCAAUUUCCACUUACCAAGAGUGCUUCACUCCCUGGCAACGGCGCCAGAAAAGAGUUUUGAUGAACCACAAGUGUAGGGGAUCAAUCAUAGUCCUUUCGAUAAGUAAGAGUGUCGAACCCAAUGAGGAGUAGAAGGAAAUGACAAGUGGUUUUCAGCAAGGUAUUUUCUGCAAGCCCUAAAAUAGUCGGUAACAAGUAGUUUGAUAGCAAUAUAAUUUGAAAUGAGCAAGUAACGGUAAUGGUAAAUAAAGUGCAGCAAGGUAACCCAAUCCUUUUGUGGCAAAGGGCAGGCCAAAACAACCUCUUAUAAUAAGCAAAGCGUUCUUGAGGGUACGCGGGAAUUUCACCAUAUCACUUUCACCAUGUUCGUUUGAUUUGUGUUUGCUACUUUGAUAUUUUGAUAUGUGGGUGGACAAGUGCUUAGGGGUUGUUCUGUUUGAACAAAUCUCCUACUUAUGAUUAACCCCCUUGCAAGAAUCCGCAACUACGAGAAAAGUAUUAAGAUAAAAUCUAACCAUAGCAUUAAACUUUUGGAUCCAAAUCGGUCUCUUACGAAGUAGUGCAUAAACUAGGGUUUAAGCUUCUGUCACUCUAGAAACUCAUCAUCUAAUAACUACUCCACAGUGCAUCCCCUUAGGCCCAAAUAUGGUGAAGUACCAUGUAGUCGACAUUCACAUGACACCACUAAGGGAAUCACAACAUACAUAUCAUCAAAAUAUCAAACACAUAUCAAGUUCACAUGAUUACUUGCAACAUGACUUCUCCCGUGACCUCAAGAACAAAAAUAACUACUCAUAAAUGAUAAUCAUGCUCAAGAUCAGAGGGAUAUUAAAUAGCAUAAUGGAUCUGAACAUAUAAUAUCCCACCAAAUUAACCAUAUAGUAAUCAACACUACUAGUCACCCACAAGUACCAAUCUGUUGUUCUGGUACAAAGAUUGAACACAAGAUAUGAACUAGGGUUUGAGAAGAGAUGGUGUUGUUGAAGAUGUUGAUGGAGAUUGCCCGCCCAAAGAUGAGAGGGUUGUUGGUGAUGAUGGUGAUGAUAAUUUCCCCCUCCGGGAGGGAAGUUCCCCUGGCGGAAUCGCUCCGCCAGAGGGCAAAAGUGCUCCUGCCCAAGUUCCGCCUCGAGAUGGCGGCGCUUCAUCCCGAAAGUCCCCCUCUAAUUUUUCUAGGUCAAAAUGACCUAUAUACCAAAAGAUGGGCACCAGAGGUGGGCCGAGGAGGGCACAACCCACCAGGGCGCGCCUGGGGGCCCAGGCGCGCCCUGAUGUCUUGUGCUCACCAGGGUGUCCCCCUCCGGUAGUUAUUUGCUCUAGUAUUUAUUAUAUAUUCCAAAAAAAUUCUCCGUAAAUUUUCAGCUCAUUUGGAGAUGUGUAGAAUAGGUAACUUCGAUGUAGCUUUUUCAGGCCCGGAAUUCCAGCUGCCGGCGUUCUCCCUCUUUGUGUAAACCUUCCAUAUUAUGAGAGAAAAGCCAUUAGAAUUGCUCCAUAAAGCAUUAUUAUGCAUAAAAACAUUAUAAAUAAUAGUAGGAAAACAUGAUGCAAAAUGGACGUAUCACCCGUCGCCGAGCCGCACGGGCUUUGCCCAACGGUGAGGAGAGGCGGCGGCGGCGGGUGAGACACUGGCAGCGGCGGCUAGGGUUUGCUCCCGGCCGCCUACGGGAGCGACCAGGGAGCAAGACUUUGUCGAAGAUAUCCCUAAAAAUAGCUCCCAAAGCAAGACUAUAUGAUAGUUGAGUAUGUGGAACUUCCUAAACAAAAGCUCUUACAUAGACUCUUUCUGAAAAUAUGGUGAACUGCAAUUGUUUCAAUAACUGAGAACAUAGUUUGUUGGUUUUGAAGAAAGUUUAUGGUUCAUACUUUAGCAUUGUGGAUGAAUUGUUACUGAUCAUGAGAAGUUUUAAGAUGAUAUGUUGCUAUUAUAAUAAAGACCAUCAUGCUACCAUGUCCGCAUUUUGUUUUAUCAACACCUCUCUAUAUAUAUCUGUGUGGUCAUGAUUAUCGAGUUUGGUAUUCGCUUAAGGGCAAGUGAGGUCUAAGCUUGGGGGAGUUGAUACGUCCAUUUUGCAUCAUGUUUUCCUAUUGUUAUUUAUUAUGUUUUGGAUCAUUAUUUCACUUUAUGAUGCAAUUCUAGUAUAUUUUCUCUGUUAAUUCGCAAGGUUCGCAUGAAAAGGGAGAUUGCCGGCAGCUGGAAUUCUAUACUUGAAAAAGCUACACGAGGAUUGAUAUUCUCCGCAGCUCCAAAUGACCUGGAAAUUUAUGGAUGAUUAUUUUGGAAUUAAUAAAAGAUACUAAAGAAGAAUCAUCGGGAGGGGACCCACCAGUGAGCCACAACUUGUGGGUCCACCGGCAGGCCUCCGUGGCCCUCCUUCUAUAGGAUGCCAUUUGCCCUAGAAAAAAAACAAAGAGAAGACUUUCGGGACAAAAUGCCACCGUCUCGAGGCGGAACCUGGGCAGGAGCACUUUUGCUCUCUGGUGGAGCGAUUCCGCCAGGGAUACUUCCCUUUGGGAGGGGAAAAUCAAAGACAUCAACAUCACCAACAAUCCUCUCAUCAUGGGAGGACCAAUCUUCAUCAACAUCUUCACCAACACCAUCUCAUAUCAAACCCUAGCUCAUCUCUUGUAUUCACUCUUUGUUCCAAAACCUCAGAUUUGUACAUGUGGGUUGCUAGUAGUGUUGAUUACAUCUUGUAGUUGAUGCUAUAGUUGGUUUAUUUGGUGGAAGAUUAUAUGUCCAGAUCCGUAAGCAUAUUCAAUACACCUCUAAUCUUGAACAUGAAUAUGAUUUGUGAGUAGUUACUUUUGUUCUUGAGGACAUGGGAGAAGUCUUGUUAUAAGUAAUCGUGUGAAGUUGGUAUUCGUCCGAUAUUUUGAUGAUAUGUAUGUUGUUCUUCCUUUAGUGGUGUCAUGUGUACGUCGACUACAUGACACUUCGCCAUACUUGGGCCUAACGGAAUGCAUUGGGGAGUAAUAAGUAGAUGAUGGGUUGUGAGAGUGACAGAAGCAUAAACCAUAGUUUAUGUGUUAUCCCGGUAAUGGGCUGAUUUGGAUCCAUAUGUUUCAUGUUAUGGUUAGAUUUAUCUUAAUUCUUCUUUUUGCAGUUUGUGGAUGCUUGUGAGAGGGGGUGAUCGUAAGAGGGUUGUUUGUUCAAGUAAGAACAACACCCUAGCAUUGAUCCACCCACAUAUCAAAUUAUCAAAGUAGCGAAUGUGAAUCAACUAAACAUGAUGAACAUGACUAGACGAGAAUUCCAUGUGUCCUCGAGAAUGCUUUGCUCACUAUAAGAGAGCUUUCCUUCUUGUCCUGCUAUAAAAAGGAUUGGCCACCUUGCAUCACCUUUGUUACUAUUGUUACUUGCUACUUGUUACGAAUUAUCUUGCUACCAAACAACUUGUUACCAUUACUUUCGGUACUUGCAGAGAAUACCUUGCUAAAAACCGCUUGUCAUUUCCUUCCGCUCCUCGUUGGGUUCGAUACUCUUACUUAUCAAAAGGAAUACGAUUGAUCCCCUAUACUUGUGGGUCAUCACUGGACAUGAUGAAGGCCUAUGACAGAGUUGAAUGGCAAUAUUUGGAGGCGAGCUUAACAACACUAGGUUUCAGCAUGGUCUUUGUCCGGUUGAUCAUGAAAUGUGUAUCUUUAAUUCGCUUCUCAGUUCGAGUGAAUGGAGAAUUGCUUCCCUAUUUCACACCCUCUCGUGAAUUGAGGCAAGGUGAUCCGAUUUUGCCAUAUUUACUCUUGAUAUGUGCAGAAGGUUUCUCUUAUCUACUCAAGUUUUAUAAUGACAUGCAUAUUGAUAAAGGUAUAUAUACAUGUUAGUUACAGGCCACCCGGGGUCGUAGAUUUACUUUUUGUAGAUGAUAGUUUGAUAUUCAUCAUUGCAACAAACUAGAGUGCUGCAACACUGAAUGCCAUUUUGAGAAUUUAUGGAGAAGCUUCAGGGCAAUGGGUCAACCGUGAUAAGAGCUCAGUUUUCUUCAGUUUGAAUACACCUACUCAGUUGAAGCAUCAAUUGAAAUAUGUCCUUAAUAUUGCCGAUGAGGCACCCAACGAGCAUUAUCUUGGGAUGCCCAUGGCUGUUGGUCGCAUUACAAGCGGUACUUUUGACCACAUUCGGUGAGAAGGCCCGCGGUAAGAUCCAGGGAUGGUCUGAAAAACUUUUGGCAUGUGUAAGACACAAAACUUUUUUGAAAUCAGUGGUUCAGGCAAUUCCCAGGUACUCGAUGAUUACUUUUCUUCUCACUAAGAAUGUCUAUAAGAGUCUAACUUCGCCAACGGCUAAAUACUUUUGGAGCAGCUCUCUUGAAAAGAAUGCGUUGCACUAGGUAUUGUGGAAGAAUCUAGCGACACCCAAGUGUAAGGGUGCAUGGCAUGGGUCUUCGAGAACCCCAUCAAUUCAAUCUUGCGUUACUUGUGAAGCAUAGAUGGAGGUUUUAAACUAAUCUGAAUUCACUAUGUGCAAGGGUUUUAAAGGGCCGCUACUUCGUCCCUACAUGGAUUUAAUGCAACUGCCCUAAGUCCGCUUCUGCAACUUGGAGGGUGAUUAUUGCUGGCAGAGAAGCAUAGAAGACGGGUUUGAUAAAAAGGGAGAGGGAUAGGACUUCCAUCAAUGCUUGGGCACACAAAUGGAUUUUCGGGAUGAUUGCCAUGUCCCCUAUGUUGAAGCCACUGAACACCACUGUUCAAACAAUCUUGGAUCUUAUUGAUCCAGACAAUUGGUCAUGGCGGUAAGAGCUAGUCCGAUCAAUGUUCAUUACCCGGAUGUAGAGGCAAUCCUUAAUAUACCUAUCAGACAAGGGGUGGGGAUGAUUUCUAUGCUUGGGCCUUUGAGAGAUCAGGAAACUACACUAUUAAAUCGGCGUACCAUGCUCUAGUGACUCGGAACAGGCGUCAUGCUCUAGAAGAAGGGUCAUUUAUCGGCACCUCAAGAGAUGAACAACAUAUGUGGAAUGCAUUAUGGAAACACAAAGUUAUCCCAAAAGUCCGUGCAUUUUGGUGGAGAGUACUACAAUGGAUCCUUCUUGAUGAGUGCACUCUAAAACACCGUCAUAUCGCAAACAUUGACAGAUUCAAAGAUUGCUUGGCAAGGAAGGAAGAUCUAAUGCACGCCCUCAUCCAUUGCUCUCAUGCACGACGCUUCUAGGAAGAAGCUUGUGCAUGGUUCGGCAUUGGGCUCCCUCGUCUACACCCGAAGUCUUGGGCUUGGGAUACCUUAUGUGACUCACGCUUUGUGGAAGAUGAUUGAGCAAAGAUAAUUACCAUUGUGUGGAUGAUCUGGCAUUCUCGCAACCGCACUAAGCAUGGAGAAGAAAGGAGAGACCCGACAACGUCUAUCAGAGCUACUAAGGAGGCGCUCACCCUCCUUGAACUUCCCCGGAGUCUUCCCAUUGUUUUGCAUGGGCAUGAUGACGACCACCGGAAUCGGGGCGGAUCAAGAUCACAAGGGACGGGGCACUCAACUUCGCCGAUGGAAGGGGGUGCGGGUGGCGUAGCACGUUCCUCGUCGACACUUUUGGGAGCCUAGAGCAAACCAUACGUGGGUAAUUCACACCCAAUGACUGUUGAAGCUUUGUCGAUGCAAGAGGGAGUUCGUUUGGCGCAACUACGAGGUUAGUUGCAUGUAAUAAUGGAGGUGGACUGCCUGAAGUUGGUGACACAAAUCAAUGAUGACCCCUCUUAAUAGCGUGAGUUUUUCUACUACUCAAAUUGAACCAAAACGAAAACCUUCGAGUUGCCUGUAAACCACGCAUUUGAUCUUUUUGAAUUGGGAGGUCACACGACUUCAUAAUAAACUUCAUGGAACCAAUAUCCUGAGAUAAACUUUAGCAAGCGAUAUUAGUUCAUCUAGCCAUACUAUCAUGAUAUCAUCACACCAAAAUAUAAUUAAAUGCCACAUGCACAUCUGUGCAAAGCGUGCCUGCACUUUCAAUGUGACCUAAAGCUGGCUUGACGGAACUCCCAGUUUCUUAGGCCCUAUUUGUUUGAGCUUUUGCUUUGCUUUUACAGUUUUUUCACUUUGGCCAAAAAUCCAUAAAAGAUCAUAAAUAGGCGCUUUUGAAGCUUCUAUGGCUUUUGGAGCUUAAAUAGGUCAUCAAAAGCCAAAAAAUCUCCGAAAGCACCUACUUAGAAACUUUUAUGGCUUUUUGAUCUAGAAAAACUGUAAAAACAGAAGCAAAAACCCAAACAAACAGGCCUUAGUGACCAGCCUUCUGUCUCACUGUCCGUGGAACACUUUUUUGAAUAAAGCUCUCCUAUGGCGGUUAGCAAGGCAAUCCCUUCCCACCGAGGAUGUCCGCGCUCACCGCAACAUGUCGACCUCUAGCUCCUGUGCCUUUUGCGGCGCGAGGGAUUCCUGGAGACACUCUGUCCUUGAGUGCUCAGUUGCAAGAUGCGUAUGGGCUCUGGAAGAUGGUGAAACAGUGGACUGCAUGAUUGCAACGUCUGAACCAACUGCAAGACAGUGGCUUUUCACCCUCAUGGCGUCCUUGGAUCAUAGCAUUUUCGUCCGUGUGGCAGUCACUCUAUGGACCAUCUGGACAGCACAGCGAAAAUAUAUACAUGAGGGGAUUACUCAGAGUCCGCAGGGCACUUCUCUAUUUGUCAGCAGAUUUUUGAAAGAGCUAGAGCUGAUUAAUACUACUCCCCAGCGCACUUUGCAGGUUGCCCCUCGGGCAAAUGUGACAACACUUGCAAGACCCAAAGCGCCACCGGUGGGAUACGUCAAGAUCCAUGUAGAUGGUGCUGUUCUACGCAACCGGCGAGGUGCCGCGGCGGCUGUCUGCCGUGAUCAGGCGGGUAACUAUAUGGGAAGUUCGGCACUUGUCGUUCCAGGGAUAACGGAUCCGCCCACGUUGGAAGCAAUAGCGUGUCGUGAAGGCCUUGCUCUGGCGGAGGAUCUUCUCGUCAUGAAUUUAAUCAUCGCUUCGGAUUGCAAACGGGUUGUUGACGACAUCAAUCUUGGCAACCAGGGCACUUAUGGUUCUGUGAUCACAGAAAUUAAAUUUCAUUUUUUGGAUUUCACUUGUAAUUUUGUUUUUGAAAGCCGCUCUUCGAAUGGCGAAGCUCAUAGUUUAGCUAAGCAUGCACUUUCUUUCGGUGCGGGGCGUUACACUUGGUUGGUUAACCCCUACAAUCCGAUUCGUAUCCCACUCCAUGUGGAUUAUCAUCAAUAAAGCUUAGUUUUGCCCUAAAAAAAAGCUCUCUGAAUUAAAAAAAAAAAACCUCAGCCGCAUAUUUCGGCCUUUGACUAUCUUUCCUCUUUUCGUUCCCGCGCGGAAAUCCCCGCCCAAGCUCCAAAUCACACCCCCACCCCGCCCAAACUCCUCUUUUCGCAUCCCAAUCAGCCAUAGCUGCAUCAGAGUCGAGGCUCGAGUCUCUGCUGAAUAUCCGCGAACCAUCCGAGCAAGUGGAUCACCAGAUGGGAAGACCACGGAAGACGAAGGCGAAGGCCGGCGGCGCCGAGGCCCCCUCCCCCGUCCUCUGCAUCGGUACGCGGAACCCUACCCCCGACGCGGCGAUUCCCCAACCAGGCGGUAGAUUGUGCCUCACCCACAAGGCGAAACCACCCGUUUUGCAGGCAACUGCAAGGUGGAGAUCCAUGGGAGCGGCCUAAGGUGCGUGUCCACGGAGCAGAAUCUCACCAUUUCGGGGACCAGGGGCGCAAAGAUCGUAAUCGCUGGUAUGGCGCGAGGAAUACCGUGCUCCCCGUAUUUUCUUUCUUCUGCUUUUGUCCUAGAUGCUGUUCUUGAUGCCACAGUUUCUUUCUCAAUGAUCCUUGUGCAGUCGAUGGAGCCAGGAGUUCUUCGGAUGGGACUGGUUAGUCUAACACUGUUGGAGGGGUGUGCGGGCCAUUUUUCUUACGAGAGAAGAACAGCAGGGAAGUCCAAUCAGUGGUGGCUCUGUUAAUUGUUCUGAUGUAGUAUUUGUAUUGUCUGUAGGUGAGGGUGCUGAUUUCAUCCUUCUGAACCCGAAUGAGGCUGAUAGCCUAAAAAAAUCUUUGCUCCAGGUAACCUAACAUUUAUAACUUUUUUUACUUAGCUUUCUGUUGCAUCAGGGACAAACAAGUGCUAUCUUGUCUGAGUUUUACUUUCUGAUACUGUAGAGUACUUGAUUGUAGAUUACACAUUUUACAGCGAUUUUCUCAGAACGCAUAAAUUGAAGGAUUGCAUGGAUGCAUAUUGGCUAUACACACUGGUACAGUUAGACAUGAAGUUAACUUAAAUAUAGCUGUAGUAAAAAUACUAGUUGAAUUGUGAUUACUGUGGCAUUAGGUUUCUCAAAGCUAGAGCUCAGUUUUUAAUUGGCUGAUAUAAUACUGCAGGGAUAAUAUUUAAUGCCAAAGCAUUAAUGAUUGUACCAAAAAUAUUGUGGUAACGUGUAUUUUGCUCUUAAUUGUUUAGGAAGUUCUGAGGCUUUAUAAGAAGGAACUUCCAACUAUGGACUAUGCUGCUGACACUGGGAGAAAAUCAGGAUUUCUCGAAAAAUGCAUAAUGAAUGGGUAAAAUUCUUCUUCUAUUUAAUUGAUAGCACCGGCGAAAUUCUUGCCGGAGUUUUUGCUUUGACAUUUCUAUUUUGUUUGUUUGUAAGAACACAGGGAGUAAAUAUUAUUACUAUGCUAUUGUUCGGAAGGGUAGAAAAGAGUUAACAUUAUGGUUUCAUGUUCGUUUCUUCCCCAGGAAGUACAAGACUCUAAUUCUGAGGUCUAGUUCACUUGAUGGGCCUGAAGAGGUAAGCAUUAAGCAUCAUUAGUACCUUACCCACGCAUCGCCCUAUUUGACCACAUAAUGCAUAAAUACUACUCUAGAUUCAUUUAUCUGCCCACUCGCUUUACGUUUCCAAGUAAAUUACACAAAUAUUUGCUGAUACAAAGUAUGCCGAAAUAAAAAGGAUAGAGAUGAUUUGAAGACUUCUCUACAUCACAUAAGCAUCCCCAAAAGGGAGCAGAUGAGAUUGCAGAUAUGUGUUCGAUUUCACUGAUGUACUAUAGUGCUUAAAUGAUUUGAAGACUUGUACAUCUACAUAAGCACCCCCAGAAGGAAACUUAUGGAAUUUAUAUGUAUAAUGGAGUUGUCUUAUUAUUGCCCACCUGAUAGUAUUUGUAGUAUUUUUAUAGUUUGUUAAUAGAUUAAUCAAUCUGAUUCAUUUGCACCUAUAAACCCACCAUGACCAAUGGUAAAGAUAAUUUUGUCAAUGUGAAUGAAAGUUGUGUAUGUCAUUUAUCAUCUCACUUAUUUGCUUUUUCACCCAAACAUAAAAUCUCACUCCAUCCUUUCUUUGCUUUGGUUCUCUCACCGCUUCUCAACCAUCUGCCUCUGAUUAGACUGCUUGAACGGUAUAUCUUGUCGAUGGUUGCCACUUCGAUGUUAUUGUUAAGCUUCAUGCACUAGCCAAGCGACUAAAAGUCCGAGCUAACAGAAAGGGCUAGGCAAUCCACAUAUACACUUCAACAGUUUAUGAUACAUGCAGCUUAUGCGAUCUUUACUGCGAUGCUAUGAUACAUGUAGCUUAUGCAAUCUUUGCGAUGCUAUGAUACAUGUAGCUUAUGCGAUCGCCACUGCGAUGUUAUAAUUUAGCUAUGCUUCUGGGGUAAGUUUUGUGAACUGGUGGCAGCAGGCCAUUCACUCCCCCCCCCUAGCGGUCGCAAAGAAGGGCACUUUGGUGAUUAUGCUUGCGGCUUGGUGGAUUUGGAAGCAGCACAAUCCCGUCGCCUUCUAUGGCAUGCAGCCCAACAUUGGUACCUGCUUGACACAAUAAAGGCCUAGCCUGGUUUGGGCAAAAGCAGAGGUGGUGGGCUUUGUGGUGCUACUUCUGGUGGUGCCUAGCUCUUAGGGGUGCAGUGUUGUAAAUAAUUCUGGGUGUGGCCCUUUCUGGGCUUGUAAAUAAGUCUUUAUAUCAACGCAAUGAGGCACAACACUUCUAUUUUCUCAAAAAAAAUCUAUAACUUAUUUUUAUAUGGACACAUUUUGUACACUUCUUAUGUAUAGUUAUAGAUAAGAUUAUCACUUAGAUUAUACAUUUCUUUUACGGACUUCUAAAUCUCAACAAUUAUAGCUAGGAUCCACCAUAACCAACCGCUAGAUAGUGGCUCGUGAUAUUCACAUAUUAUCAACUCACAGUUUUCUACAUUCUCAACAGUUAUACUACUUGGCCACCACACAUGUUAGGCAUAUUUUACUAAACACAUCAAUUUGUGGGAGAUUUGUAAAAAACUCUGUGAUAAUUGUAAUUUUUGUGAGAGCACAGUUUAUCAAAUGUCAAAUUUGAAAUCACUAUUACAUCUAGCUUGCUGGAUUAACUGAAACAGAAAACAUAUUUUUCUUAGUUGAAACAGAGAUGCAACUUACCACGUUCAGGACCCAGAUAGAACUGUAGAGCGAGAAAGCAAGAAUAGGCUCAUUGGCUUGCUAAUUUCAUCCAUGAUAUCACCCCCCUGGUGCUAACGUAGAUAGUUGAUUUAUUAUUAAAUCUCAAAUUUAUAACUAGGCCUCGUUAAUAUUGAAUGGAGCAUAUAUUUUUGUCUAUGUGGAUGAAGUUGAUUGUUUUUCUAUUAUUUUAGUAAUACAUAGAUUAGAUUAUCUCAGAAAAUGUGUGUGACUAGUGAGCUCUGCUAGUGGCUAGUGAAAACAGAUAAAUAACCUCGAACAACUGUAAGUACAGUGAAGUUGACCUACUGUGAACUUCUCUAUUUAUUUAUGUUAAAGUAGAACAACAAUGUAAGAGCAGGUAAUCUAGUAUUCAUGGAUAAUCGAAGGGUAAUGUAGUAUUUAUGGAUAACCGAAGUGUUACUCCUUGCUUUUUUACAACUGAACUACCAUGCCAGGUUUGGUUUAAGUUAAAAUCUUCUGUCACACAGAUCAUAGCUGCUGUAUCAUAUCAGAUAGUGCCAGCUGACACACAAUAUGCUGAAAUACCCCUGGCAGCCGUGACAUCGCCUUUUCAAUGUGUGGUAUGCCAUUCAUAAACCCUCUUAAACUUCAGAACUACCAUCCCUUUUGCAAGAUUCAUUCCGAUUUCAUGUUAUUAAAAUUGAAUACUUCUGCAUGCCUUGUUGGUAAUUUCUCCCUUACUGGUUAUUUAUACUACAUACCAUAUAUGGACUCUCAUCAUAAGUUCUUUAUAUCCUACAAAAAAUCAUAUGGUAUUUACAAUUCAUCUAAUGUAACACACCUUACCCCUUAUUUGACGGGAACACACCUUACCCUAGCUAUCCUUGGAUUAUGAGGGAAGUAGUAUAUUACUAAAAGGUAGACAAGUCGCCUAAAAAAACUACUUCGUGGACUACAAUUAGACCUCUUAUGGCAUGCAAAGCAUUCAGUUAUAUCUGCUUGACAUUCUCAGUCUAAAUUAAAAAGUCAGUGCAAACUAAUAAUGAACACAUUUCACUCAUUUUAUGUUUUCUUAGUAAAUACCAUUUCUGCACUCUAAAGUACACAUGGUGAAUGAAAUGUACACAAUAGUCUACUUUUUCUCUAAAAGGUUCAUAAUUAAGGUAGUUUUUUUAAUAUUAUCCCAGGGUUUUGGUCAUAUGUUGUAUAAGGAACUUAGCCAGCGUCUUCACAAUGUUGGUGUUACCAAUAUAUUCUGUUGGGCAGAUAAGGUCUCUGAAGGAUUUUGGCUUAAACAGGCAAGUGGAAAUAGGAAUUUGAUAUCUCUGUCUGUUUCAGUUUUCUUUUUGUAUAAUAAAUAUAUCCUAAUACAGAGCUUGGCAAAUGCUAAAUAGUUUGGUAAUCUCGUGCUUGCAUUGCUGGCAAGGGAAACAUUCAGCAAAUAGAAAUGAAGAAAACAUGCUUGACUUGUUAUACGUUUGUAUUUUGACAUUCUGUAGUAUCUGCACUCUUAUGCUUCUAAUAGGAGUUCUUAUAUAAUUGUUCAAUGCCAUUAGCAACACUUAUUAGCUACUCCCUCUGUAAACUAAUAUAAGAGCGUUUAGAUCACUAAAAUAGUAAUCUAAACACUCUUAUAUUAGUUUACGGAGGGAGUACUUAUAAGUAUACCUGAUCAUGGGUGUCUGUGUCCCAGCUUGGUUUUUGGCCCGAAAGCCCAAGAGGAGUAGUUGAUGGGAAAAGAAUCACUAUUUUAUUCCGAAAGUGAUUUAAAUGAUGUAUUUUAGAUCCACAAAGGUUAGCAUUUACACGUGGUGGCAAUUUUGGGUUGGGCUUUUUGAAUCCCAGAUCAAAAGUCUGCCAGGCUCAGGUUUUGAACAGGCCUACUUGUAAAGCAACCAGAUGAAUUUCAGUUCAGAGUAAAUGAACUUCCUUUGGUCAUUUAAGUCAUUUUUCUGUUAGUGAGUUUUUUUUUACAAAAUAUCCUCCUAUUUUGUAUCCUAUUUUAAUAACAUGGUUAUCCAGUCAAGAAUUGCAAGGUUAUGCUAAUGAUAUGACUGGUCUGUUCUACUGAGUGCAUCACAGGGUUUUGUGUCUGUUGGAGAGGUGGAUACUAAAGGUAAGAUUCGCAGAAUUCCAGUAAGGGCUGAUAUCAAGAGAGCAUUAUGCUUUCCAGGCAGUUCAACACUUAUGGUUACACAUAUUAAGAAGGAUUUGCCAACUGCGUCCAAAAAACCAUGCUUUGCAGAAUUGCAAACUUCUCAGCUCCAUGCCGUGGUACCAGAUAGUAAGUCUUCAUGAAGUCAUAAUUAUGUAAAUUUUCUGGUUCAGAUACCUUAGAGCUGCUAAUUCCAGUAGAAUUGGUCGUUACUUUAUAUCCAAGUUGGGCAAUUAAGAACUCCAUUUUUUAUAUAAAUUAGGAGGAACCAUGAUACAUAGUCUGGCCAUACAGGAGCCAUGAUACACAGAAUCUGGCCAUAGAGAAGCGGCAUGCCAAUAUAUAUCCAAUGCAAUAGUUCAUUUAUUUGCUCAAAGGAAAUCUUUUAUUGUGCAGAUUGCAGUAUGUUAAUUUUGUGAAUUAACAAUGGAAGUUGUGCAAAGAGUGAAAAGCUGAAAUUUUGAGCAUAUAUUAUGCUACAACUAUUAUUCAUACAUUGCAAUAGUACUUGACAAGUCUGUAACUUAUUGGUUUAUCAAGUUUGAUUUCAUUCAAACCUUAGGAACAAGGACAAUACACCUGGCUAAAUCCUAUAAGCAUCGGUGCAUAUGCAGAAAAUUCUGUGAAAUGCCUAAUACUGAUCUUCUGCGAUAUUUUUUCAGGCAUCUCUCCUGAUGAUAUGAAUACUGUCGUUCCCUCCUGUGAAAAGUUGUCUCCCCACACCACUGGAUGCUACAAAGUCAGCAAGACUGCAAAAGUGGUAAGAAAUGAAACUUCUGCUGGUAGUGAAGGAUGCUCAUUAUCUGAUCAACAACCAAAGAAACGGACAUAUGAAUCCUCAUCAUCUUCACUGAAGUCAAAAAGAGUAAGAUGCAGCGGUCACGCUGACCAUACACAAGACAUGAGGCAGAAUGAUAUCUGUGACAAAUCUCUGACCAUAAAUAGCACACCUUUGACUCCUAGUAUGGUAGUCCACGUUGACAACAAAAUAUCAGGAGAUGCUAAGGUCACUACCUGUUCCAAUGGAAGGCCUUCAGUUAUGCUCAUGAAUAUUGCAGAUGAAACAAAGAAGACGCGGCUUACAGAGGUAAUUUCUACAUAAACCUUACUUUUGAGGAAAUGUGAGCGGCAUUUCCAAAAUAAAGCAAUGUAUGAGUAUGUGCUUACUAAAGAAACUGUCACUGACGCACUGAUGAAAACUGCAAUCUAUUUUUCUUUUAGAAAAAGUUCAUACUCUGUUUUUGCACUAAUUUAGUUAUUUGUCUUGCUUCUAACUGUGUUGGAUUUUAAAUUAUGGCGCAGGUAGUUGAAACGCUUGGGGGAGUUGUUACGUGCGAAGGAAGUUCAUGCACACAUGUCGUUACUGGAAAAGCUAGAAGGACUAUGAACUUUUGUAUUGCUUUGAGCUCUGGGUUAGUUUUCAUCUACAUUUUCCUUACACAACCCAGUUCAUCACGUUUCAGACUAUAAUACAAUUUCCAUUCCAUGUUUUACACUGAAUUACAUUUCACAUAUAGUUGUUGAAGCAUAGUGCUCACCGUGGAGAAAUAGUUUUCAGUUGACUGGGCCAUAUACUGAUUGCAGGGCCUGGAUAGUUUCUCCAAACUGGCUGAAACAGAGCUUCAAACAAGGGAAAUUUGUAGGUGAGUCGAAACUUGAGAUGGCUAGCUAACCAAUUAUUGCCAUGUGUUUCUGUGCAGUGGAAGAAAUUAAAUGUGUGAGCAAAAGAAGCAACUUAUGCUGUUUUCUUACCUUGCACUUUUCUGUUGUUUUGUAGGUGAAGCAGAACAUGUUCUGGAUGAUGAAGAAUAUAAGAUGAAGUACAAGUCUGAAAUGAGAGAUGCAGUUAUGAGGGCUAAAGAGAGGCCUUGCUUGUUAUUUUCUGGCUACACUUUCUGUUUGACCAAGCACAUCGAACCGUCUCCUGGUGUCCUCUCUCCAGUUAUCAAAUCCUCUGGUGGCAAGGUAACUAAAGCUCAUCCUGCCAUGUGAAACUCAUGUAUGGUCAAACUUCUUGAACAUGUAACAGAUUUAGCAGAACUUAUCCAAUUACCAUCUGACGAAACAUUCUAGAACCUGGAGGCCCUAUUUUUGUGAAAUAUUUAAGGGCAUUCCAAUUUCUACGCUCUAUUAUGUGAGGCAUGAAGUUCUGCUGCAGCAUCUUUAAAUAACACAUGUCACCAUUGAAGUUCAAGUGCAAACUUAUACCACUAGACAUGUGGUUCUAUUUAUGGAAGAUGUUUUAAAAUGAUUUUCUUACAUACAGUUACAAUUAAACUGCAAGUAUUGACUAGAUGACAUUAUUAGUAAGCUCUCGAGAAUAAAUUUGGUUCAAAUUUCCAAAUUUUGCAUGAGUCUAUUUGGAAUGUUUUUGUUGUUAGUUCCUAAGAGAACAUAAUUACACAAGCUAUUCUAAGCCUAUUCACAUCUAUUUACUUCACAGAUCAUCAGUAAGCUUGAUGACAUAGAUGAGCCCUCAAAGACAAUCUUCUUGGCAUGUGAAGAAGGCAUGGAGCUUGCAAUGGAUGCAUCAAAAAGAGGCAUAAAGACAUUCAGCAGUGAGUGGCUCAUGACCUGUGUCAUGAGGCAAGAGGUUGAUCUUGAUGCGCCCCCGUUUGCAGAAUCUCUCUGACGUGCCUCAACUUUAUAGUUUAGUGGCCGAACUUAUACUCACUUUUGCUAAGUUAUCUCCUUCGUUGGCUAUUGUAAAUCUGGUGUCUCAAAGCUUUAGGGCAUUUGUGUACAUAUGCCCGUCAUGUGGCUGCAUGUAGAAACUAUCAAACUGGUCAACUUUCUGCAUUGUGGCCUUGCUUAGAUUUAUUUUGUUAUCUGCUAUGCAAAAUUAGUCAGUGAAUAAAGUACAACUUUAUGUGAAAAAAUAGAUUAUAAUCUAACUACAAAACACACCAGAUUUUGAGUGGCUAAAUCGGUUGCUAUGUUUAGCAAAUAACUAAUUGAAAAAUGAUGUUUUUUUAGAUUGCAAGUAGGAUAUGGAUCCAUAGUCUGAUCCUCCCAUAGGAUCGAACUAACAUGUCAAUAUAAAUUUGUACCACCACAACACUAUUAAACUUCCAUCACAUGAAAGAUCAAUUGUGUGCUGCCCCAAGAUUACUCUUAAGUAGUUUCAGUGUAACAUUCCAAAAAAGAAAAAUUAUAUUCACUUUAUUCUCCUAUCAUGUAACAGGUUAUGGGAUUUUAAACAUACACUACACAUAUUGACUCAUAUAACGAUUACUUGAAGUAGCUAUGAAAGUCUAAAAACCCAAACUGUGUGCGUUGCCAUGAGGGCAUACAUAUUCUAAUGGUUCAACACCCGUGAUGUCCAACAUAAAUCUUAUACCCAUAACAUUCUAGAUUUUGAUAAGAUUUGAUUGAUUUGCAUAUGGGUAGGAAAGACAAGAGAUCAGCACGCGUUCCAGGGGGCCAAAAAAUCUAGCGCCGCCAGCCUCCCUCGGCCAUCCUCCUGCCGCCGGCGAGGUCCGCGGUGGCGGCGGGCUCGAUGCCAAGGCGCUAGGGAGGGCGGAUCUGCAGGGGGAUCCCCUUGAGGCGGCAGGGGCAUCUCUUGUGGUGCGCCCGUGGGCAGCAGGCAGGACGACGCUCCUAGCCUGUGCGGCGGUGGGCAGCGGUCCAGGACGGCGAUGGGCUUCCCUUCGUGCAUGGAUGGUGGCAGCACUCCAUGGAUGAACCGGUGGAUGGCUCUGCCUGAAGAUGGGUCACGGCGGCCGCGGAUCUGGCGUCCCGUCCAGAUCCACCGCGGCGUGGUCUUGGUCGGCCGGCGAUGCGUGGAGGGACCGGUGAGGCUAUGGAGGAUCUCUACCGGAGUACCAAUAGCGGCAUACGUCUUCAUGGCGAGACUCCGCACGGUUCUAGCCAGGCACGAGAUCAGGAUGACACGGCUUCCGGUGAAAAUCGCGCCGACUGCGGUCUUGGCGGACGAUGGCGGCGUCUCUGACAUCGUUUCCUUCUCGAGGCAUCGUUGUUGCAGGUCACGUCAACCUGAUCGGAAGGUUUCGGGGGAAACCCUAGAUCUGGCUACCGGAUCAGACGAUGACGACGUUUCGAUGUCGUUUCCCCUGUUUUGGACCAAGUGCUGGCUGGAGGGGACAAGAGGAGGAGCGGUGUUUCAUCUUGCCCAUUGAUGACGGCGGAUCUCGGUGGCGUGGCGCAGUAGAGACUCUGUCGGCGUUCUGGGAACGGGGGUCCCUAGACUUGCCUGCCUGCGGCCUGCGGCGUGGCUCAAGGGGGGGCCCAGCACGGCCCAUCUUCAUCAACACAGACCCAAGACCCUCGCGAGGGGCCAAGCCUCGCGGGGCGGACGACACGGAGCUUCCUCAGGCACGGCCUCAUCAGGCUGGCUCGCGAGGAGGCGGAGAGAUCAAGGCGGGGUACCUCACGAGGUGCCCGUGACGCAAGCCAUGACGACCAAGGGCGUCAGGCGGGUGCCAGCCCGCGCAGUGUCCUCCUUUCCUCUUUGGUGCAAAGGGGGCAAGCGCAGCCGCGGAGUACCGAGGCAUCAGGCAAAGGUUGCCAUUUCGGUGCAACGAGACCAGGACCAGGAAGACUGCAAGACGGAGGUCAUCGUGGAGCCGAGGACGGCGUCACCACCAAAGCUUUGUGCAGGCGAAGACUACUUUUGUCAGGGUAGCUAGUACUAGCUGUCCCCCUUUAAAUUAGCCCGCCAUUGUUGGCUCCCUUCCCGCUCGAUAUUUGGGAAGAGGACCAGGGCCUCUAUAAAUAGGACCAGCCACCCACAGAAGAGAGGGGUUCGGAGGGGUUAAGAGGAGAGGUUCGAUAGGAGGUUGAAUCGGAGAAAGACAAUGAGAGAGAGAAGGGUGGCUGAACUUCUCCCAGCAGUUCAUCGCCCCAGCCAAGAACAGACCCUCGCGAGGCUGUUCUUCCUUGUAUCAUUCAUCAUCAUCAGCCCAAGAGGCAAUCCACCACGCCACAAACUGGAGUAGGGUAUUACACCACAACGGUGGCCCGAACCAGUAUAAACCCCGUGUCUCUUGUGUUGUUUUUUCCAUAGCUUAGAUCUUAGCGAGACGGAGGGGUGCGGGUAGGUAGGAAGCGAGAUCUCCGCGCGCACCCCAGUGUUUGAACCUCAAGGGUCUGCCGGAACCCGAAAUCCGACAUUUGGCGCGCCAGGUAGGGGUGCGCCGGAAUUCACCUUCUACCGCUUCAUGCCCCGUCCCGUCGUCAUCAUCAUGUCCGGCGACCAGGCGGGCAACCCAGAUCCAUGGGCGGCGUGGCCCGCCCGCACAGAACCGCUCGCCUCGGGCGACCCCGUGCCCCAGGCAGCUCGCGGUCCACAGGGCGCUGCGGGCCGCGGGCGACGCGGACAGGCUUCGACAGCUCCCACACCACGGCAGGCGCGGUCGGCAGCAAGGGCCUCUGUAGGAUCUAGAAGUAGAUGUGUCUAGAGGGGGGGUGAUUAGUGUUGGAAAUAUGCCCUAGAGGCAAUAAUAAAAGUAUUAUUAUUAUAUUUCCUUGUUCAUGAUAAUUGUCUUUUAUUCAUGCUAUAACUGUAUUAUCCGGAAAUCGUAAUACACGUGUGAAUACAUAGACCACAAUAUGUCCCUAGUGAGCCUCUAGUUGACUAGCUCGUUGUGAUCAACAGAUAGUCAUGGUUUCCUGGCUAUGGACAUUGGAUGUCGUUGAUAACGGGAUCACAUCAUUAGGAGAAUGAUGUGAUGGACAAGACCCAAUCCUAAGACUAGCACAAAAGAUCGUGUAGUUCGUUUGCUAGAGCUUUGCCAAUGUCAAGUAUCUCUUCCUUUGACCAUGAGAUCGUGUAACUCCUGGAUACCGUAGGAGUACUUUGGGUGUAUCAAACGUCACAACGUAACUGGGUGACUAUAAAGGUGCACUACAGGUAUCUCCGAAAGUAUCUAUUGUUUUAUGCGGAUCGAGACUGGGAUUUGUCACUCCGUGUAAACGGAGAGGUAUCUCUGGGCCCACUCGGUAGGACAUCAUCAUAUGCGCAAUGUGACCAAGGAGUUGAUCACGGGAUGAUGUGUUACGGAACGAGUAAAGUGACUUGCCGGUAACGAGAUUGAACAAGGUAUUGGAUACCGACGAUCGAAUCUCGGGCAAGUAACAUACCGAUAGACAAAGGGAAUUGAAUACAGGAUCGAUUGAGUCCUUGACAUCGUGGUUCAUCCGAUGAGAUCAUCGUGGAACAUGUGGGAGCCAACAUGGGUAUCCAGAUCCCGCUGUUGGUUAUUGACCGGAGAACGUCUCGGUCAUGUCUGCAUGUCUCCCGAACCCGUAGGGUCUACACACUUAAGGUUCGAUGACGCUAGGGUUAUAAAGGAAGCUUGUAUGUGGUUACCGAAUGUUGUUCGGAGUCCCGGAUGAGAUCCCGGACGUCACGAGGAGUUCCGGAAUGGUCCGGAGGUAAAGAUUUAUAUAUAGGAAGUCCUGUUUCGGGCAUCGGGACAAGUUUCGGGGUCAUCGGUAUUGUACCGGGACCACCGGAAGGGUCCCGGGGGCCCACCGGGUGGGGCCACCUGCCCCGGGGGGCCACAUGGGCUGUAGGGGGUGCGCCUUGGCCUACAUGGGCCAAGGGCACCAGCCCCAAGAGGCCCAUGCGCCUAGGGAACCCUAGAGGGAAGAGUCCUCAAGGGGGAAGGCACCUCCGAGGUGCCUUGGGGAGGAUGGACUCCUCCCCCCCUCUUGGCCGCCGCACCAGAUGCCAUCUGGAGGCUGGCCGCCGCCCCUUGGGGUGGGAAACCCUAAAGGGGGCGCAGCCCUCCCCUUCCCCUAUAUAUAUGAGGCCUAGGGGCUGCCCAUAACACGCGAUUUGAUCUCUCGUUGGUGCAGCCCUGCCCCUCUCCCUCCUCCUCCUCUCCCAUGGUGCUUGGCGAAGCCCUGCUGGAUUGCCACGCUCCUCCACCACCACCACGCCGUUGUGCUGCUGCUGGAUGGAGUCUUCCUCAACCUCUCCCUCUCUCCUUGCUGGAUCAAGGCGUGGGAGACGUCACCGGGCUGUACGUGUGUUGAACGCGGAGGUGUCGUGCGUUCGGCACUUGAUCAUCGGUGAUUUGAAUCACGACGAGUACGACUCCAUCAACCCCGUUCACUUGAACGCUUCCACUUAGCGAUCUACAAGGGUAUGUAGAUGCACUCUCCUUCUACUCGUAGCUGGUUUCUCCAUAGAUAGAUCUUGGUGACGCGUAGGAAAAUUUUGAAUUUCUGCUACGUUACCCAACAGUGGCAUCAUGAGCUAGGUCUAUUGCGUAGAUUCUUUGCACGAGUAGAACACAAAGUAGUUGUGGGCGUUGAUUUUGUUCAAUAUGCUUACCGUUACUAGUCCAAUCUUGUUUCGACGGUAUUGUGGGAUGAAGCGGCCCGGACCGACCUUACACGUACUCUUACGUGAGACAGGUUCCACCGAUUGACAUGCACUUGGUGCAUAAGGUGGCUAGCGGGUGCCAGUCUCUCCCACUUUAGUCGGAACGGAUUCGAUGAAAAGGGUCCUUAUGAAGGGUAAAUAGCAAUUGGCAUAUCACGUUGUGGUAUUGCGUAGGUAAGAAACGUUCUUGCUAGAAACCCAUAGCAGCCACGUAAAACAUGCAAACAACAAUUAGAGGACGUCUAACUUGUUUUUGCAGGGUAUGCUAUGUGAUGUGAUAUGGCCAAGAAGAAUGUGAUGAAUGAUAUGUGAUGUAUGAGAUCGAUCAUGUUCUUGUAAUAGGAAUCACGACUUGAAUGUCGAUGAGUAUGACAACCGGCAGGAGCCAUAGGAGUUGUCUUUAUUUUUUGUAUGACCUGCGUGUCAUUGAAGAACGCCAUGUAACUUACUUUACUUUAUUGCUAAACGCGUUAGCCAUAGAAGUAGAAGUAGUCGUUGGCGUGACAACUUCAUGAAGACACGAUGAUGGAGAUCAUGAUGAUGAAGAUCAUGGUGUCAAGCCGGUGACAAGAUGAUCAUGGAGCCCCAAAGAUGGUGAUCAAUGGAGCUAUAUGAUAUUGGCCAUAUCAUGUCACAACUAUAUAAUUGCAUGUGAUGUUUAUCAUGUUUAUGCAUCUUGUUUACUUAGGACGACGGUAGUAAAUAAGAUGAUCCCUUACAAAAUUUCAAGAAGUGUUCUCCCCUAACUGUGCACCGUUGCUACAGUUCCUCGCUUCUAAGCACCACGUGAUGAUCGGGUGUGAUGGAUUCUUACGUUCACAUACAACGGGUGUAAGACAGUUUUACACAGCGAAAACACUUAGGGUUAACUUGACGAGCCUAGCAUGUGCAGACAUGGCCUCGGAACACGGAGACCGAAAGGUCGAGCAUGAGUCGUAUAGUAGAUACGAUCAACAUGAAGAUGUUCACCGAUGAUGACUAGUCCGUCUCACGUGAUGAUCGGACACGGCCUAGUUGACUCGGAUCAUGUGAUCACUUAGAUGACCAGAGGGAUGUCUAUCUAAGUGGGAGUUCAUAAGAUGAACUUAAUUAUCCUGAACAUAGUCAAAAGGAUUUUGCAAAUUAUGUCGUAGCUCACGCUUUAGUUCUACUGUUUUAGAUAUGUUCCUAGAGAAAAUAUAGUUGAAAGUUGAUAGUAGCGAUUAUGCGAACAGUAGAAAGCUUAUGUCCUUAAUGCACUGCUCAGUGUGCUGAACCCCAAACGUCGUUUGUGGAUGUUUCGAACAUCGAACAUACACGUUUUGAUAACUACGUGAUAGUCCAGUUAAAUGGUUUAAGUAGAGGCACCAAAGACAUUUUCGAAACGUCGCGAAACAUAUGAGAUGUUUCGAGGGCUGAAAUUGAGAUUUCAGGCUCAUGCCCACGUCAAGAGGUAUAAGACCUCCGACGAUUUUCUUAGCCUGCAAACUCAGGGAGAAAAGCUCAAUCGUUGAGCUUGUGCUCAGAUUGUCUGAGUACAACAAUCACUUGAAUCAAGUGGGAGUUGAUCUUCCAGAUGAAAUAGUGAUAGUUUCUCCGAAGUCAUUACCACCAAGCUGCUAGAGCUUCGUGAUGAAUUAUAAUAUAUCAGGGACAUAUAUGAUGAUCCUUGAGAUAUUCGCAAUGUUUGACACCGCGAAAGUAGAAAUCAAGAAGGAGCAUCAAUCGUUGAUGGUCAGUGAGACCACUAGUUUCAAGAAGGGCAAGGGCAAGAAGGGAUACUUCAUGAAACGGCAAAUCAGUUGCUGCUCCAGUGAAGAAACCCAAGGUUGAACCCAAACCCGAGACUAAGUGCUUCUGUAAUAAGGGGAACAACCACUGGAGCAGCAUUACCCUAGAUACUUGGUAGAUGAGAAGGCUGGCAAGGUCGAUAGAAGUAUAUUGGAUAUACAUUGUGUUAAUGUGUACUUUACUAGUACUCCUAGUAGCACCAGGGUAUUAGAUACCGGUUCGGUUGCUAAGUGUUAGUAACUCGAAAUAAAAGCUACGGAAUAAACGGAGACUAGCUAAAGGUGAGCUGACGAUAUGUGUUGGAAGUGUUUCCAAUGUUGAUAUGAUCAAGCAUCGCACGCUCCCUCUACCAUCGAGAUUUGGUGUUUGCGUUGAGCAUAGACAUGAUUGGAUUAUGUCUAUCGCAAUACGGUUAUUCAUUUAAAGAGAAUAAUGGUUACUCUAUUUAUUUGAAUAAUACCUUCAAUGGUCUUGCACCUAAAAUGAAUGGUUCAUUGAAAUCUCGAUCGUAGUGAUACACAUGUUCAUGCCAAAAGAUAGUAAUGAUAGUACCACCUAUUUGUGGCACUACCACGUAAGUCAUAUCGGUAUAAAAUGCAUGAAGAAGCUCCAUGUUGAUGGAUCUUUGGACUCACUCAUUUUUGAAAAGGUUUGAGACAUGCGAACCAUGUCUAUUGGUAUAUAUGCAUGAAGAAACUCCAUGCAAAUGGACCGUUUGAACUCACUUGAUUUUGAAUCACUUGAGAUAUGCAAAUCAUACCACAUGGGCAAGAUGACUGAAAAGCCUCGUUUUCAGUAAGAUGGAACAAGAUAGCAACUUGUUGGAAGUAACACAUUUUGAUGUGUCCAAUCCAAUGAGUGUUGAGGCAUGCAGUGAAUAUCGUUAUGAUCUUACUUCACAGAUGAUUCGAGUAGAUGUUGAGAAUAUUUACUUGAUGAAACACAAGUCUGAAUUAUUGAAUGGUUCAAGUAAUUUCAGAGUGAAGUAGAAGAUCAUUGUGACAAGAGGAUAAAAUGUCUAUGAUAUGAUCAUAGAGAUGAAUAUCUGAGUUACGAGUUUUGGCACACAAUUAAGACAUUGUGGAAAUUGUUUCGCAAUUAAUACCGCCUGGAACACCAUAGUGUGAUGGUGUGUCCGAACAUCAUAGUUGCACCCUAUUGGAUAUGGUGCGUACCAUGAUGUCCCUUAUCGAAUUACCACUAUUGUUCAUGGGUUAGGCAUUAGAGACAACCACAUUCACUUUAAAUAGGGCACCACGUAAUUCCGUUGAGAUGACACCGUAUGAAUUAUGGUUUAGAGAAACCUAAGUUGUCGUUUCUUAAAGGUUUGGGGCUGCGACGCUUAUGUGAAAAGUUUCAGGAUUAAGCUCGAACCCAAAGCGGAUAAAAUGCAUCUUCAUAGGACACCCAAAACAGUUGGGUAUACCUCCUAAUUCAGAUCCGAAAGCAAUAUGGAUUGUUUCUUCAAUCGGGUCCUUUCUCGAGGAAAGGUUUCUCUCGAAAGAGUUGAGUGGGAGGAUGGUGGAGACUUGAUGAGGUUAUUGAACCGUCUCUUCAACUAGUGUGUGGCAGGGCACAGGUAGUUGUUCCUGUGGCACCUACACCAAUUGAAGUGGAAGCUUAUGAUAUUGAUCAUGAAAGUUCGGAUCAAGUCACUACCAAACCUCGUAGGACGACAAGGACACGUACUACUUCGGAGUGGUAAGGUGAUCCUGUCUUGAAGGUCAUGUUGCUAGACAACAAUGAACCUACGAGCUAUGGAGAAGCGAUGGUGGGCCCGAAUUCCGACAAAUGGUUAGAAGCCAUGAAAUCCGAGAUAGUAUCCAUAUAUCAGAACAAAGCAUGGACUUUGAUGGACUUGCCCGAUGAUCGGCAAUCCAUUGAGAUAAAUGGAUCUUUUAAGAAGAAGACGGACGUGGAUGGUAAUGUCACCAUCUAUGAAGCUCGACUUGUGGCGAAGUGUUUUCCGACAAGUUCAAGGAGUUGACUACGAUGAGAUUUUCUCACUCGUAGCGAUGCUUAGAGUCCGUCGGAAUCAUGUUAGCAUUAGCUGCAUUUAUGAAAUCUGGCAGAUGGAUGUCAAGACAAGUUUCCUUACUAGUUUUCGUAAGGAAAGGUUGUAUGCAAUACAAUCAGAAAAGUUUUGUCGAUCCUAAGGAUACUAAAAGGUAUGCUAGCUCCAGCGAUCCUUUUAAGGACUGGAGUAAGCAUCUCGGAGUUGGAAUGUACGCUUUGAUGAGAUGAUCAAAGAUUUUGGAUUUAUACAAAGUUUAUAAGAAACUUGUAUUUCCAAAGAAGUGAGUGGGAGCACUAUAGAAUUUCUGAUGAGUAUAUGUUGUUAACAUAUUGAUGAUCAGAGAUGAUGUAGAAUUUCUAGAAAGCAUAUAGGGUUAUUUUGAAAGUGUUUUUCAAUGGAAAGCCUGGAUUAAGCUACUUGAACAUUGAGCAUCAAGAUCUAUAAGGAUAGAUCAAAAUGCUUAAUAAUACUUUCAAAUGAGCACAUACCUUGACAUGAUCUUGAAGGUGUUCAAGAUGGACCAGUCAAAGAAGGAGUUCUUGCCUGAGUUGUAAGGUACGAAGUUAAGACUUAAAGCUCGACCACGGCAGAAUAGAGAGAAAGGACGAAGGUCGUCCCCUAUGCUUAAGACGUAGGCUCUUCAGUAUGCUAUGCUGUGUACCGCACCUGAAGUGUGCCUUGCCAUGAGUCAGUCAAGGGGUACAAGAGUGAUCCAAGAAUGGCUCACAUGACAGCGGUCAAAGUUAUCCUUAGUAACUAGUGGACUAAGGAAUUUUCUCGAUUAUGGAGGUGGUAAAAGAGUUCGUCGUAAAGGUUACGACGACGCAAGCUUGACACCUAUCCGGAUAGCUCUGAGUAGAGAGACCGGAUACAUAUAAUGGAGCAAUAAUUUAGAAUAGCUCCAAGUAGAACAGUUGUUUGGAAUAGCUCCAAAUAGAGCGUGGUAGCUGCAUCUAGGAGAUGACAUAGAGAUUUGUAAAGCACACACGGAUCUGAAAGGUUCAGACCCGUUGACUAAAACCUCUCUCACAAGCAACAUGAUCAAACAUAAAACUCAUUGAGUGUUAAUCACAUAGUGAUGUGAACUAGACUACUGACUCUAGUAAACUCUUGGGUAUUAGUCACAUGGCGAUGUGAACUAGAUUAUUGACUCUAGUGCAAGUGGGAGACUGUUGGAAAUAUGCCCUAGAGGCAAUAAUAAAAGUAUUAUUAUUAUAUUUCCUUGUUCAUGAUAAUUGUCUUUUAUUCAUGCUAUAACUGUAUUAUCCGGAAAUCGUAAUACACGUGUGAAUACAUAGACCACAAUAUGUCCCUAGUGAGCCUCUAGUUGACUAGCUCGUUGUGAUCAACAGAUAGUCAUGGUUUCCUGGCUAUGGACAUUGGAUGUCGUUGAUAAUGGGAUCACAUCAUUAGGAGAAUGAUGUGAUGGACAAGACCCAAUCCUAAGACUAGCACAAAAGAUCGUGUAGUUCAUUUGCUAGAGCUUUGCCAAUGUCAAGUAUCUCUUCCUUCGACCAUGAGAGCGUGUAACUCCUGGAUACCGUAGGAGUGCUUUGGGUGUAUCAAACAUCACAACGUAACUGGGUGACUAUAAAGGUGCACUACAGGUAUCUCCGAAAGUAUCUAUUGUUUUAUGCGGAUCGAGACUGGGAUUUGUCACUCCGUGUAAACGGAGAGGUAUCUCUGGGCCCACUCGGUAGGACAUCAUCAUAUGCGCAAUGUGACCAAGGAGUUGAUCACGGGAUGAUGUGUUACGGAACGAGUAAAGUGACUUGCCGGUAACGAGAUUGAACAAGGUAUUGGAUACCGACGAUCGAGUCUCGGGCAAGUAAAAUACCGCUAGACAAAGGGAAUUGUAUACGGGAUCGAUUGAGUCCUUGACAUCGUGGUUCAUCCGAUGAGAUCAUCGUGGAACAUGUGGGAGCCAACAUGGGUAUCCAGAUCCCGCUGUUGGUUAUUGACCGGAGAACGUCUCGGUCAUGUCUGCAUGUCUCCCGAACCCGUAGGGUCUACACACUUAAGGUUCGAUGACGCUAGGGUUAUAAAGGAAGCUUGUAUGUGGUAACCGAAUGUUGUUCGGAGUCCUGGAUGAGAUCCCGGACGUCACGAGGAGUUCCGGAAUGGUCCGGAGGUAAAGAUUUAUAUAUAGGAAGUCCUGUUUCGGCCAUCGGGACAAGUUUCGGGGUCAUCGGUAUUGUACCGGGACCACCGGAAGGGUCCCGGGGGCCCACCGGGUGGGGCCACCUGCCCCGGGGGGCCACAUGGGCUGUAGGGGGUGCGCCUUGGCCUACAUGGGCCAAGGGCACCAGCCCCAAGAGGCCCAUGCGCCUAGGGAACCCUAGAGGGAAGAGUCCUCAAGGGGGAAGGCACCUCCGAGGUGCCUUGGGGAGGAUGGACUCCUCCCCCCCUCUUGGCCGCCGCACCAGAUGCCAUCUGGAGGCUGGCCGCCGCCCCUUGGGGUGGGAAACCCUAAAGAGGGCGCAGCCCUCCCCUUCCCCUAUAUAUAUGAGGCCUAGGGGCUGCCCAUAACACGCGAUUUGAUCUCUCGUUGGUGCAGCCCUGCCCCUCUCCCUCCUCCUCCUCUCCCAUGGUGCUUGGCGAAGCCCUGCUGGAUUGCCACGCUCCUCCACCACCACCACGCCGUUGUGCUGCUGCUGGAUGGAGUCUUCCUCAACCUCUCCCUCUCUCCUUGCUGGAUCAAGGCGUGGGAGACGUCACCGGGCUGUACGUGUGUUGAACGCGGAGGUGCCGUGCGUUCGGCACUUGAUCAUCGGUGAUUUGAAUCACGACGAGUACGACUCCAUCAACCCCGUUCACUUGAACGCUUCCGCUUAGCGAUCUACAAGGGUAUGUAGAUGCACUCUCCUUCUACUCGUAGCUGGUUUCUCCAUAGAUAGAUCUUGGUGACGCGUAGGAAAAUUUUGAAUUUCUGCUACGUUACCCAACAAUUAGACACUUAGUUCUAAAGUUGCAAUUUUUAGGCCUUUUUGGUUUGAGUGGAGUUUUAGGCACAAUUUCAACAUACACAAUACAUAUCAAGCAAGCAUGCAAAGAGUAUAUGAGCAGCGGAAUGUAAAGCAUGCAACUUGCAAGAAUGUAAGGGGAAGGGUUUGGAGAAUUCAAACGCAAUUGGAGACACGGAUGUUUUUCCCGUGGUUCGGAUAGGUGGUGCUAUCCUACAUCCACGUUGAUGGAGACUUCAACCCACGAAGGGUAACGGUUGUGCAAGUCCACGGAGGGUUCCACCCACGAAGGGUAAUGGUUGCGCGAGUCCACGGAGGGCUCCACCCACGAAGGGUCCACGAAGAAGCAACCACCCACGAAGGGUCCACGAAGAAGCAACCUUGUCUAUCCCACCAUGGCCAUCGCCCACGAAGGACUUGCCUCACUAGCGGUAGAUCUUCACGAAGUAGGCGAUCUCCUUGCCCUUACAAACUCCUUGGUUCAACUCCACAAUCUUGUCGGAGGCUCCCAAGUAACACCUAGCCAAUCUAGAAGACACCACUCUUCAAGAAGUAACAAAUGGUGUGUAGGUAAUGAACUCCUUGCUCUUAUGCUUCAAAUGAUAGUCUCCCCAACACUCAACUCUCUCUCAUAGGAUUUGGAUCUGGUGGAAAGAAGGUUUGAGUGGAAAGCAACUUGGGGAAAGCUAGAGAUCAAGAUUCAUAUGGUAGGAAUGGAAUAUCUUGGCCUCAACACAUGAGUAGGUAGUUCUCUCUCAGAAAUAGGAUGCUGGAAGUGUAGGCUUAGUCUGAUGGCUCUCUCUACGAAUGAAGAGGAGGUGGAGGGGUAUAUAUAGCCUCCACACAAAAUCCAACCGUUACACACGAUUUACCAAUCUCGGUGGGACCGAAUCAACAAACUCGGUCAGACCGAAAUAGGAAACCUAGUGACCGUUAGAGAUUUUCGGUGGGACCAACUGGAUUAAUUCGGUGGGACCGAUGUGCUAGGGUUAGGGUAAAUCCAAAACUCGGUUUGACCGAUUACUCAAACUCGGUGGGACCGAUUUGGGUAAUAAGUGAAACAAAGAGUUGGCCAAGCAAACUCGGUGGGGCCGAUUGCAUAUCUCGGUGGGACCAAAAAUAUUGCAAUAGGUAACAGAGAGUUUGCAAGCCCAUCUCGGUGAGACCGAGAUCCCAUCGGUGAGACCGAACUGAUUAGGGUUUCUGGCAGUGGCUCUGACAGGUGAAACUCGGUGGCGCCGGAUAGGAAUAAUCGGUAGGUCCGAGUUUGGCUUUGGGUUUAGGUCAUAUGUGGAAGUGGGAAAGUAGCUGAGGAUUUUGGAGCAUAUCAUUAAGCACAUGAAGCAAGAGGCUCAUUAAGCAACACCUCAUCCCUCCUUGAUAGUAUUGACUUUUCCUAUGGACUCAAUGUGAUCUUGGAUCACUAAAAUGUAAAAUGAAGAGUCUUGAGCUUGAAGAUUUAGCCAAUCCUUUGUCCUUAGCAUCUUGAAGGAGUUCCCACAACCUUUAGUCCAUGCCACUCCAUUGUUGAACUUAUCUGAAACAUACUAGAUAGAAAUGUUAGUCCAACAAGAGAUAUGUUGUCAUCAAUUAUCAAAACCACCUAGGGAGCACUUGUGCUUUCAAUCUCCCCCUUUUUGGUAAUUGAUGGCAACAUACAUCAAAGCUUUAGGUAAAGAUAUAAAGAACAACAAGUAAAGCUUUGGAAGGACAUGUAACAAGCAUAGGCUCCCCCUACAUGUAUGCACUCAUGUAAAUAUGAAAUAUAGAGGCAUGUGAGAGCAUAACCAUGACAGAGUAGGCAAUAUGUUACAUGUAUCUUGGCCAUAUGCAUCAGAGCAAAAGAUUAUCAAGGAAAAUACCUUCAUGCUCAUGAGUCCUUCUUGCAAACAGUAUGUACAUAAGCAAGAACUCCUCAUACUCAUGAUUUUGAUGCAUAUAAUUACCUUGUGGUCUUGAGUUGGCUUAGGAUGGAAUGAACCUGCACAAACAAAGUUAGAUAACACAGGUACAUCCACUAGCCAGAGCAAACAAAAGAAACCACAAGAAUACCAAGACUAGGAUGACAUGUAGAGAGUGAGUACAAGGUACCACAUUGGAUUCAACAUGUCCCCAAGAAUAAAGAUAUGCAAUGAAUUUGACUGAUUUCUUUCCCUUAGGUGUCUUGCUCCCCCUGAAUCUUACAUGGGAUAUUGGGAGAAGAUAGGGAACAGUAAAUCAGAGCUGAAAGAUACAAACGGAUAGAACUUAAUGCAAAUACAUGUCUUUCCCCCCAAAAGGCAUGUGACAUCUCUCCUCUUGAACAUCAAGCAUCUGGGAUCCUUGAGUAUUCUCUCCCCCUGGAAGUCUCUCUCUCCCCCUUAAUACUUUCUCUCUUGUAGGUUUGGUCCUUCAGACUUUUUCUCUCCCUUGAUGUGAUCUCUCUCUCCUACAAGCUUUGAUGUGAUCUCUCUCUCCCCCUUUGACAUCAAUUUCCAAGAAGGGCUUUCUGGAAUCCGUCGUAUAGGUUUGGUCCUUGAGACUCAGCACAAAGCAAUGGAUAAAACUGUGAUGCUUGUAGAGGACAAGAUUCAUUGAGUAGAGCUGGAUCAGAAGAAAUAUAGAACAAGUGGCAAACUGUUUUUCCUGUUGCGAAGUCGGUGGCACCGAGUGGUAUGUUUCGGUGGUACCGAAAGGAUUCGGUUGGACCGAAAAUUACAGGUCGGUGAAACCGAGUUUACACAGAGAAAAACAUUUGUCACCUCAGCUCACUAGACAUGUAGGAUCUCACAAAGAUUUGCAAUGAAUUACCUGAAGGAUUUGCAAGGAAUUGAAUGCAGAAAAUGCAGAACAAAAACAAAGAGAAAAGAGAAGAAACUGAAAGAUCUAGAUGAAGUUUUUUUUUUUGAAAAAGAGAAAGAAAAUAAACAUGCAUGAGACAAAUGCAAUAACACAGAAAAGAACACAAGAGAAAUUUAUCUAGAGUUGGGCGGUGACAUAGUCACCUAUGUUAGAGUAUAUUGACUUAGGAGUCAAGUGAGAACACUUGAUCAUAGGUCAUACUCAUCGUUUAAGCUCAAAAUGGGGUUACCAUUUUUCGUUUAAGCAUCUUGAUGUAUUCACAUCUUGUUGAGUUGCUUUGACUCAUGUCUUGGAGUAAAGCUUCUCUAAGAUGGAAUAACAUACCUUGGGUGGUGGUGUGGUUCUUGCUCAUGUAGUUGAACUUGUGUGGGUGCUCAAGGUUGAUGUAGCUCAUCAAGAAUUGGGAGCACCACUUGGAGUUUGAGUUCAUCUACCUACAUGGGUUAGUUCUUGCAAGGAAGAGCACUUGUGUAUCCAAAAAUGACAAUCAUGAAGCUCAACAUAGAAUUUGUCAAAGGAUAUGUUUGAAUGGUUUUGUGCUUCCUUGUCUUCAACCACCAUUGUGUAGAGUCUUGGUGAUGUAGAGAUUGCUCAAGAUGUGAGUGAGUCGCAAUCUCAUGAAAUUAGAUUCAACCAAGCACCUACAUGGGUUAGACAACAUGCAAGGUGCAAAUAUAUCCAAGACAUAAGAUAGUUAUCAUAAGAGAUAUAUCAUGGAUUAGUCAUAAGCUCGUGUCUUGCAUGUAUCCAAUGGAGUUUCUACUCCAAGUUCGAAGCAUCAAUGAUGUUCAAUUCUCCCCUCAACCUGCAAAACACUUUCUCAUCAAGAGGUUUAGUAAAUAUAUCCGCUAAUUGCUUAUCGGUGCGAACAUGCUUAAGAUCAAUGUCACCCUUAGCAACAUGAUCUCGAAUGAAAUGAUGACGAACUUCAAUAUGCUUAGUUCGAGAAUGUUGUAUAGGAUUAUGACCAAUUUUGAUAGCACUUUCAUUGUCACAAAGUAUUGGAACAUGUUUCACAUAGAUCCCAUAAUCUUUAAGAGUUUGGGUCAUCCAAAGUAAUUGAGCACAACAUGAACCAGUGGCAAUGUAUUCCGCUUCGGCGGUGGAUAAGGAUACCGAGUUUUGUUUCUUGGAAGACCAAGACACAAGAGAUCUACCAAGAAAUUGACACGUACCCGAAGUGGACUUUCUAUCAACCUUGUCUCCGGCAUAAUCCCAGUCGGAAUAGCCAACAAGAUCAAAAGAAGACCUCUUAGGAUACCAAAUGCCAAAAUUUGGUGUAUGGAUUAAAUAUCUCACUAUCCUUUUCACAGCCUUAAGAUGACAUUCUUUAGGAGCAGCUUGAUAUCGUGCACACAUGCACACACUUAGCAUAAUAUCGGGACGUGAAGCACAUAGGUAUAACAAUGAACCAAUCAUAGAGCGAUAAACCUUUUGAUCAACCGGUUCACCAUCUUUGGUCAAAUCAUUAUGUCCACUAGUAGGCAUGGGUGUAUACAUACCUUUGCAUUCUUGCAUAUUGAACUUCUUGAAUAAGUCCUUGGUGUACUUCGUUUGAGAGACAAAUGUACCUUCCUUAGUUUGCUUGAUUUGCAAACCGAGAAAGAAUUUGAGUUCACUCAUCAUAGACAUCUCAAACUUCUCUGACAUUGGCUUUCCAAACUUUUCACUAAAGAGAGGGUUAGUUGAACCAAAUAUGAUAUCAUUGACAUAAAUUUGGCAUACAAAUAGUUCUCCAUUAACCCUUUUAGUAGAAAGAGUAGAAUCAAUUUUACCAAUUUCAAAACCACUUGUAAUAAGGAACUUGGUCAAGCAUUUAUACCAUGCUCUAGGAGCUUGUUUAAGACCAUAAAGAGCUUUGUGAAGUUUGUAAACAUGAUUUGGUUUCUUAGGAUUGAUAAAGCCGAGAGGUUGUUUGACAUAAACUUCCUCCUCUAUUUCACCAUUUAGAAAAGCACUUUUAAUGUCCAUUUGGUACAAGGUGAUAUUAUGGUGAUUAGCAUAGGCAAGUAAGAUGCGAAUGGACUCAAGUCUAGCAACGGGAGCAUAUGUCUCACCAUAGUCCAUACCUUCGACUUGUGUGUACCCUUGGGCGACGAGACGUGCUUUGUUGCGAACCACUUGUCCAUCUUCAUCUUACUUGUUGCGAAACACCCAUUUGGUACCAAUGAUGUUGUGGUUGUUGUCGGGCUUCUCAACCAAUGUCCAAACUUGGUUUCUCUCAAAAUUGUGUAGCUCUUCAUGCAUAGCGUUUAUCCAAUCCGGAUCUUCCAAUGCUUCUUCAACCUUCAUAGGUUCAAUGCUAGAGAUGAAUGAAUAGUUUUCACAAAAGUUAGCUAAACGAGUUUUUGAGCGAGUGAUUCUCCCGGUUUGUAUAUCAUUAAGGAUUUACUCGAGGGGAUGAUCUUUGGCAAUUCUUGCUCGAACUCGUGAGAGCUUUUGCUUGGGUCUUCGUUGAACAUCUUCUUCAUCUUGUUCUUCUUCUUGGCCUUCUUCAUUGUUGACGUCGUCGUUCUCUUGUCGUGGUGGAGAAAGAGGUUGUUGAUGUUCGUCUUGAUGUAUUUCCUCAUUUUCUUCAUCUUGGUGUGUCCCACUUGUGGAUGCUUCCAUGUCAAUUCUUGGUUCACUUUGUCGUGAAGUAGAAGCUUCCACUUGGACGGAUGAAGUACUCUCCUUCACCUCCGUUGGAUGAAUUUUGCCAAUGGACAAGUCUUGGAUUGCUUCUGAAGGGUCUUUGUCUCCUACAUCAAUUGGCAAUUGCUCUACUUGCGAGCCAUUAGAUUCAUCAAACUUCACAUCUACCGUCUCUUCAACCUUUCGGGUGAAAUUGUUGUAGACACGGUAAGUGUGAGAGUUUGAUCCAUAACCAAGUAGAAAACCUUCAUGAGAUUUAGGAGCAAACUUUGAACGACGAUGCUUAUCAAGAAUGUAGCACUUUGAGCCGAAUACUCGAAAGUAUCCAACUUGGGGUUUGUUACCGGUGAGAAGCUCGUAUGCCGUCUUGUCGAGUAGCUUGUGAAGAUAUAAGCGAUUUGUUGCGUGACAAGCUGUCUCAACCGCUUUUGCCCAAAAGUGCUUCGGCGUCUUGUAUUCAUCAAGCAUCGUUCUUGCCAUUUCGAUGAGCGUCCGGUUCUUCCUCUCAACAACUCCAUCUUGUUGAGGUGUGUACGUAGCCGAGAACUCGUGUGAAAUCCCUUCUUCGUCAAGAAAGGUGUCCACAUUUGCGUUCUUGAACUCCGUUUCGUUGUCACUCUGAACCUUCUUGAUCUUCACGUCAAACUGAUUUUGGGCCUUCCUAGCGAAGUUUCUGAAGAUCUUCUAGACCUGCGACUUGUCAUUAAGAAAGAACACCCACGUAAAUCUUGAAAAAUCAUCAACUAUAACUAGACCAAAAGAAUUUCCACCGAGACUCUUGUAGGCGUUGGGACCAAAAAGAUCCAUAUGAAGUAGCUCGAGUGGCCUUCUUGUGGUCAUGAUGUUCUUCACGGGAUGCCUUCCUCCAACCUGUUUACCUGCUUGACAAGCACUGCAAAGUCUAUCCUUAUCAAAUAUGACAUCAUUAACUCCAAGGAUAUGAUUUCCUUUAAUAAGCUUGUCAAGGUUUCUCAUGCCAACGUGACCUAGUCGUCUAUGCCACAACCAACCUUUUGAGGAUUUAGCAACAAAGCAAGUUUUAGGUUGUGCCUUUUUAGAGAAAUUGACAAUGUAAAGAUCACCUCUACGCAUACCCGUAAAGACCAUUUUAUGAUUGUCUCGACGAAAUACUUGGCAAUCUACCUCAGUAAAUAGGACAUUCAAACCGAAAUCAGCAAGUCUAGAUACUGAAAGUAAGUUGUAGCCAAGAGAUUCAACGAGCAUGACAUUUUGAAUGGAACUAUCAUGUGAGAUGGCCACUUUUGAAUUAUCACCAAAGGUGACAUAUUUUCGAGGGCCGUCAUUUUCAGCAAGCUCACGGAACAUCUCUUCAUCUCCGGUCAUAUGAUCAGUACAUCCACUAUCAAGAACCCAUUCCUUUCCUCCUGACUCAUAUCCCCGAAGAUUUGCCAUAAGACCAAAAUGUCUCAUUGCAUCAUCAAGAUCGAAGUCACUAUCAUCAUCAUCAUAGUAUCCAUGUUCACCAUGAUCUUGUGACUCAUCAUUUCCUAGAGAGGGUAAUUCAUUAGAUAAAUGAUCAUCAAAGUGGUCACCUUUAUGAAUUCUUAUAGCUUCGAAUAUGAUAUCACUAAUGAUUCCAACAUCUCCUUUAGCUCGCUUGAGAUUGGCAAGCUCAAAUAGAUAAUCACCAAAACUAGGAUCACUAGAGUUCAUCUUACUCAAGGCAAUAGAUUUAUGGAGAAUUUCAUCCAAAUUUUUCAAGGAAUGAUCGGGAAAUCGUUCCUCAAGAAAUUUCCAUAUAGUAUAGGAACAAUUAAGAGUAGGCAAAUUAGCAAUCAAAUUUUUGGGCAAUCCUCUAAUGAUGAGCUCAAUAGUUCUAAGAUUGCGAAUCAUGUCAAUAUCUUCAUCUAGGGUAGGAUGCAAAGGAUCAAUAUGAGGUGCACAAGGGCUAGCAAUAUACUUGUUCAAAUGAUAUUGAUUGAAAAUUACAAGCAUCUCAAUUUUUCACUCAUGAAAAUACUCUCCAUCAACAAUAGGCACUCUAUGUCUAAGACUCCCUAAGGUAGACACAUCCAUCUUCCUCCAAUGGUGAUUAAACCAAGGCAAUGGAGACCAAAGCUUUGAUACCACUUGUAGGAUCUAGAAGUAGAUGUGUCUAGAGGGGGGGGGGUGAUUAGACACUUAGUGCUAAAGUUGCAAUUUUUAGGCCUUUUUGGUUUGAGUGGAGUUUUAGGCACAACUUCAACAUACACAAUACAUAUCAAGCAAGCAUGCAAAGAGUAUAUGAGCAGCGGAAUGUAAAGCAUGCAACUUGCAAGAAUGUAAGGGGAAGGGUUUGGAGAAUUCAAACACAACUGGAGACACGGAUGUUUUUCCCGUGGUUCGGAUAGGUGGUGCUAUCCUACAUCCACGUUGAUGGAGACUUCAACCCACGAAGGGUAACGGUUGCGCGAGUCCACGGAGAGCUCCACCCACGAAGGGUAAUGGUUGCGCGAGUCCAUGGAGGGCUCCACCCAUGAAGGGUCCACGAAGAAGCAACCACCCACGAAGGGUCCACGAAGAAGCAACCUUGUCUAUCCCACCAUGGCCAUCGCCCACGAAGGACUUGCCUCACUAGCGGUAGAUCUUCACGAAGUAGGCGAUCUCCUUGCCCUUACAAACUCCUUGGUUCAACUCCACAAUCUUGUCAGAGGCUCCCAAGUAACACCUAGACAAUCUAGGAGACACCACUCUCCAAGAAGUAACAAAUGGUGUGUAGGUAAUGAACUCCUUGCUCUUGUGCUUCAAAUGAUAGCCUCCCCAACACUUAACUCUCUCUCAUAGGAUUUGGAUCUGGUGGAAAGAAGGUUUGAGUGGAAAGCAACUUGGGGAAAGCUAGAGAUCAAGAUUCAUAUGGUAGGAAUGGAAUAUCUUGGCCUCAACACAUGAGUAGGUAGUUCUCUCUCAGAAAUAGGAUGCUGGAAGUGUAGGCUUAGUCUGAUGGCUCUCUCUACGAAUGAAGAGGAGGUGGAGGGGUAUAUAUAGCCUCCACGCAAAAUCCAACCGUUACACACGAUUUACCAAUCUCGGUGGGACCGAAUCAACAAACUCGGUCAGACCGAAAUAGGAAACCUAGUGACCGUUAGAGAUUUUCGGUGGGACCGACUGGAUCAACUCGGUGGGACCGAUGUGCUAGGGUUAGGGUAAAUCCAAAACUCGGUUUGACCGAUUACUCAAACUCGAUGGGACCGAUUUGGGUAAUAAGUGAAACAGAGAGUUGGCCAAGCAAACUCGGUGGGGCCGAUUGCAUAUCUCGGUGGGACCAAAAAUAUUGCAAUAGGUAACAGAGAGUUUGCAAGCCCAUCUCGGUGAGACCGAGAUCCCAUCGGUUAGACUGAACUGAUUAGGGUUUCUGGCAGUGGCUAUGACAGGUGAAACUCGGUGGCGCCGGAUAGGAAUAAUUCGUAGGUCCGAGUUUGGCUUUGGGUUUAGGUCAUAUGUGGAAGUGGGAAAGUAGCUGAGGAUUUUGGAGCAUAUCAUUAAGCACAUGAAGCAAGAGGCUCAUUAAGCAACACCUCAUCCCUCCUUGAUAGUAUUGGCUUUUCCUAUGGACUCAAUGUGAUCUUGGAUCACUAAAAUGUAAAAUGAAGAGUCUUGAGCUUGAAGCUUUAGCCAAUCCUUUGUCCUUAGCAUCUUGAAGGAGUUCCCACAACCUUUAGUCCAUGCCACUCCAUUGUUGAACUUAUCUGAAACAUGCUAGAUAGAAAUGUUAGUCCAACAAGAGAUAUGUUGUCAUCAAUUAUCAAAACCACCUAGGGAACACUUGUGCUUUCAGCCUCCAAUCACGCCGCGACCAUGACACCGUACACCCGCCGGAAGCAGGCGAACUCGAGGGCCGUGCUCAUGGUGGCCCGAGAGCUGCUGCAGUGCAGACUGCUGGAGGGUGGCCGCGACGUGCUGUUGGAGCGGGUGGCGGAGCUCCUAGGCUUCGCCGCCUCGGGGGCUCACCCCUUCUGCACCCAGCUCCCAUCUCAAGUCCAGGGCGUCCCGCGCGGGGGCUCCACGCGCGCCCGCGGGCUCCAAGGCUACCCCAGCGCCAGCGAAGCUGUCAGCACCGGACCGGUGGCGGCGCUGCCCCCGCUCCCGGUCCGCGAAGAAGGACUCGACACGACCCGUGGCCCCAGUGGGCGCGUCAGGCAGGACCGCGUGGCACGCGGGGCACUACGGCGUGGCCUUCGGGAUGGCGACGUCAGAGGAAUACGUGCCCCUCAUGAUGGACCAAGGACACCCUCACGAGAGCGAACAAGGCUCGCUCCUUAGCCCAAGCUGGGGGGACGAGGCGCCAGAAGCUGAGCCUUUCCGGGAGCCCCGGGACGGACCCACUGGCCACGCUGGAGGCAACGAUUAUCGGGUACCGCUAAUUCUUCAGGAGCAGGCAUACGCUAACCAUGGAUCGCAGGAGGUGCAGGUCGCCACAGCGAGCAGCUGCCCCGCUCCCACAGUCUCCUACCCCUCGGGAGGAGGGCGCAGUGGGCUGCAGGAGAGGGGCCGGGAUCCGACAUCACCACCGCGGUGUUCGGAGCAAGGUGUUCUCAGGAGGUAGGCCCUCCGUUGGGGAGGUGCCUCAGGGCCUGCCCCCGGCGGAGGACCCGUGGUCGUCGGGGGAACCGCUGGCGACCACUCUACCCCAUCGGCGGCGUCCUGGUUUCCGGUCAUCGUUGAUGGCACUAGAUUGUGGCGCAAGGCGGGGCCCUCAUCUGGCGAUAUGAAGCAAGACCAGUACAUGUGAAGAAGACCCAGUGCCUGUGAAGCUCGCCGCCCCGUGACACUCUCACGUAAUAAUGAGUGGGGCUGUACACGCCCCGGAGUCUCAGGGGUGCCGGCCUCAGGCCCUGGGGCUCCCUCCCACGCCCAGUGGCAGCACUUAGCUCCGCGCUGGUGAGAAGACAUCCAAGACUAGACUAGGUGCCAGACGCGGCCUUUUGUUUGCUUUCAUUGCUUUUCCCUUUGGUUGUCGUUUUCCCCCGCUGGAUUCAAGUUGGAUUCGAAUUUGAGAUUUGUGUGUGUUUGGGGAAGGGGUGCUUAGUCUCGUCCGAGCAAUUUCUCGCGUUUUGGUUACCACUUAGCCUCAGCUGCCUCCCCUCGCGAGCCCCUCGCGAGCCGGGUCAGGCCUAGCUUGCGCGCAGCCCAGACUGCCGCCGACGUGUCCUCUCAGGAGGGUGUUUUACCGCAGAUCCUACGAACCCAAUCAGGGAACACUCGAGACACCACAACCUCCCACAGGCUGCCUCAGGGCCAGCACGGGACAAAGGUAAACUAGCCGACCAGCGCGUCGCUUAGGCCAACCACUUGACGCAGGCGCAUGGGCAAUGUAGCGUCUACUAAUACGAUGAACACAAGUUUUACAUAAGGGGCUCCCCCUCUAAAAUGCUCUCACUGCCAUCAGGCCAAAAUCUGAGUUCUAUUCAUGCAGGGUAAGGAAGUAGGAACGAUGCACAAUCAGUCGGAUAAAUACCCCAAUGCAUUCUCAGGAGCACCACCCGAGCCGUUGCUGGCGUCGCUAAACUCGCCAUCGCUGUCCGCGUCGCAGCCAGCGGCGUCAGGGCCGUUCACCACGCCGCCCUCGCUGGCCGCCACGAUCACAUCGUCAUUGUCUGAAGCGAAGGCCCUGAUAAGAGCAUCCACAUUGUUUUCCACCCAGUGCGCCAGAUCGCCUCGGACGGCCUAGGAGACUGGGGCGAUGGCGGCGUCAAAAUUAAAGUGGGGAUCCAUGUUCCGGAGGUGGCUGAAGACGCGAGAAAAGGCGCGCCCGAGCAGGGCGCGGCUCCUCUCCUCCACCAACCUGUCAGCCCUGACCGACCGCGCCUCCAGCUGCGUCACCACGUCAGUGAAGAACUGAAGAUUGCCAGCAUAGUUGACUGUGUGCGGCUCGCCAACAGCCACCUCGCAGAUGUUGCCCAAGGCUGUGUUGGCUCUCUCCCGGAGCGUGGUGAGCAUGGGGCCAUGCUCAUGCUCCAGGAUCCGCCGCUGACGUAUCUCGUCCAUGUUCUGGCCCGCGACGACCUCGGCCUCCUCCACCUGCUGGCGGAGAAGGAGCACCUCGGCAUGGGAGGCGGUUAACUCACCUUGCGUCACCUCAAGAGCGGCCCGGAAAGCGUCGGCCCGCCGCAUCGCCUCCUCCAGCUUGGCCCUCAAGGCAGCAGUCCUGCCUUCAGCUUCGGCCCGGAUCAACCCCAGCUUCUCUUCAAACUCGUGCUCGAGGUUCAAAUGCGCCAAUGCCACUCGACGUCUGACCUCCUCCAAGAUGCGGGCUUCCUGUGCAGCGACAUCAUCCUCCGCCUGCGUCACCAAGCGCUCCCUCGUCUCCAGACGCUCAUACUCACGGAUACGUUCGGCGGCUUCCAGCGUCAGCGCCUCCUCACGCUUCUGGAGCUCUGCUGAGUCGCCGGAGGCCACCUUCAUCGACGUGAGGGCUGCCUCGCGCAGCUCCACCUGCUCCUCCAGUGAGUGGCACCAGGCCAGGAGCUCCCGAGCCCGCUCCUCUGCCAUCGUUCGCCGCCGGUCAGCUUUCCGAGCCUCCUUAGCGGCCCAAGAUCGGGCCUCCCGAGAGGCCACCAGCGACGCCUUGGCCUCUGCGUCGUCAAGAUCGCGCUGAGGCGCGCAAGGGCGAUGGCGCCCUCCAGCUCGCGCCUCUCUGCAGCCAGGCGCAGGUCCUCGGCCUCAAGGCGCGCGUCUUCAUCGGCAAGCUCCUCUCCAAGCAGGCUUACCGCGUCGGCCGCCCUUCGAAGGAAUCCUCGGCGGAGAGCACGACGCUCCCGAGCACGCUCGAGCACGUCUUCCACACCAUCAUCUGCACCAAGCAAGCGCCGGGGGCCAUGAGUCAGCACUCCCCCUCCGGGCUGGGGGCUGGGGGCUGGCACCCUCGCGACGGCCGGGCACGCCGCGUCAGAAGCCCGGCCUGGGGCUAGCCCGUCCCUAGGUGAAGAGCGCAGGAAGCGCCUCAGCCAAUCGCAGUCCACAACUAGGCGAGAAGCCCACGACAGGCUGGCUAUGCCACUAGAAGGCCCGCGAGGUGCGCAGGGCCACGAUACGCCUUGGGGCGGUUCGCCUCGUCGAUCGCCCUCACCAUAAGGGCUCCACUGCUUGGAGCGCUUGAGGACGGUGGAGGGGGCGAAGCCAAGGGGGACGGCUCCUCAGCCGUCUCCGCAAGCUCGGCUGGAAGGGGCCUGCGGAGCAAGGGUCAGUAAGAGCAACAGAAGGAUCGGGAGCUGGGAAAGGAGAAGGCUUACUCAUCAGUGGUGAAGUACUUCCUACACUUUAGCAGGCGACAAGGGUAAUCGUCGCCCAGGGCCUCCCUUCUCUUCCGGAGGGCCUCAAAGUCCAUGCGGAAGCGGCCUAAGAGUUGGGCGCAGGGAUCAACCUGCGACGAAGAUGGAGCGUCAAGGCGAUCUGCGUCAGGGGCGCCUGCCUGAUGUGCGCUGCCAAUUGCCUCGCCAAGAGAAGCCGCCGGAGCCUCAGGGGCCUCGGUCGUAGGGGCAGAGGGCAGCUGCUUGUCACCCUCAGCCUCAGCGGCACGGGCCCCAAUAACUGCUUCCUCGUGAGCAUCGCCCGGCGCUGUCACUCCGCCGGGAGCCCCCUUGGCCUCUGGCGCCUCAUGCCUCCCUGCUCCACCACUUGAGGAAGAGUCGCCUUGGCCGACUGGAAGGGCAGUCACCACCACUGGGUUCUCGCGAGGCCCCUGAAGGCUGGCGGGGCGCGACCCCCACUCAUCAAAAAUAGGCAUCUGCCUCACAAAAUCGCCCCUGCUCUGGCAGAGGUACAACAAGGCCCCUCCCUGCUGGAUGCUACCAGGGUUGGGGUCCCCCGUCAGGGUCAAGAGCGCCGUCCUCAGCACUUCAGGCGUCAGGUCCUCUUCCUGGAGCCUCAUACGAUCAUCGCGCCCGCUGAAGGCCCACAUCCGGCGGGAGUGGCAUUGGAGAGGAGCAACGCGGCGUAGUAGGAACUCCUUCACCACCUUGGGCGCUGUCACGCCCAGUGACCUCAAGAACGCGAAGUGGUGCCAGACGAAGACGAGCCGGGGGCUCUCAAGCGUCUCCUGGCCCCAGCCCGAAUUGGGGACAGCAGGCGAAGUUGGCUCCGACAGCAGGGGGCUGGGCACCCCAGCAUCCACAUACAGCCACCGCUCGCGGAACCCAGCCGCGGGCGGAGGGAGCUUGAAGUCAAUCCCAGAGGCCGCCGUCUCAGACGCGGCAACGAAGCUCGCACACGCCCAGCAUUGGUUAGGGUCAACAAGGCACAUCGAGAAGAAGUGGCGCAGCAAGGCAACCGAAGGAAGGAUGCCCAUCAUAGCCUCGCAAACAAAGGCGAAGACUGAAAGGAGAGUGAUGGAUUCAGGACCCAGAUGCAUCAUGUGGAUCUGAUAGUGGAAAAGCACGACAUUGAAGAAAUCAGAAAAGGGAGGAACCAGACCCGCCCACAGGGCGUUGGCAAAAUACGGGACCUCGGUGACUAUCCUGUCGAUGGAGAAGUGGGACGCGGGCCAGGCCGUCGUCCUCCUGCAUUCGUUGAAGAUGGUGGCCAGAGCCGAGCUGACCUUGCCCAAGCCCUUGGCAGGGGCCGCCAACAGCGGCGGCCAAGGCGGAGACACGGGUUUCUUCCCUCUUCCCUUCUUCGUCGGAGCCAUGGCGAUGGGAAGGGGGGAGGUUCAAGAUUGGGUUGAAAACAGAAACUAGAGUUCGAGCAGAGGAAGGACAGAGGGCGCUCGAGCAACAGAAAGAGGAACGAUUGUGUACGACUACGGGUCCGCCUAGCACGGCACAAAAUAAGGAGGGCGUGGGGGAACAGUGCCGCCCACGUCCAAUCAACCGCCACGCGGCGCCCAAGGCUGCAGGUUGUUAGGGCCCGCGGUGCUUCGCUCUUGCCCUUCGCCUCCCUGCACAGCCAAGUCCGGGCGCGCCUUGGGCCCGGGGGCUACUGUCGGCGUUCUAGGAACGGGGGUCCCCAGACUUGCCUGCCUGCGGCUUGCGGCGUGGCUCAAGGGGGGCCCAACACGGUCCAUCUUCAUCAACACAGACCCAACACCCUUGCGAGGGGCCAAGCCUCGCGGGGCGGACGACACGGAGCUUCCUCAGGCACGGCCUCAUCAGGCUGACUCGCGAGGAGGCGGAGAGAUCAAGGCGGUGAAGGAAAUAUGCCCUAGAGGUAAUAAUGAAGUUAUCAUUUAUUUCCUUAUAUCAUGAUAAAAGUUUAUUAUUCAUGCUAGAAUUGUAUUAACCGAAAACAUAAUACAUGUGUGAAUACAUAGACAAACAGAGUGUCACUAGUAUGCCUCUACUUGACUAGCUCGUUAAUCAAAGAUGGUUAUGUUUCCUAACCAUGGACAAAGAGUUGUUAUUUGAUUAACGGGAUCACAUCAUUAGUUGAAUGAUCUGAUUGACAUGACCCAUUCCAUUAGCUUAGCACCCGAUCGUUUAGUAUGUUGCUAUUGCUUUCUUCAUGACUUAUACAUGUUCCUAUGACUAUGAGAUUAUGCAACUCCCGUUUGCCAGAGGAACACUUUGUGUGCUACCAAACGUCACAACGUAACUUGGUGAUUAUAAAGGAGCUCUACAGGUGUCUCCAAAGGUACAUGUUGGGUUGGCGUAUUUCGGGAUUAGGAUUUGUAACUCCGAUUGUCGGAGAGGUAUCUCUGGGCCCUCUCGGUAAUGCACAUCACUUAAGCCUUGCAAGCAUUGCAACUAAUGAGUUAGUUGCGGGAUGAUGUAUUACAGAACGAGUAAAGAGACUUGCCGGUAACGAGAUUGAACUAGGUAUGGGAUACCGACGAUCGAAUCUCGGGCAAGUAACAUACCGAUGACAAAGGGAAUAAUGUAUGUUGUUAUGCGGUCUGACCGAUAAAAGAUCUUCGUAGAAUAUGUAGGAGCCAAUAUGAGCAUCCAGGUUCCGUUAUUGGUUAUUGACCGAAGACGUGUCUCGGUCAUGUCUACAUUGUUAUCGAACCCGUAGGGUCCGCACGCUUAAGGUUACGAUGACAGUUAUAUUAUGAGUUUAUGCAUUUUGAUGUACCGAAGGUUGUUCGGAGUCCCGGAUGUGAUCACGGACAUGACGAGGAGUCUCGAAAUGGUCUAGACAUAAAGAUUGAUAUAUUGGAAGCCUAUGUUUGGAUAUCGGAAGUGUUCCGGGUGAAAUCGGGAUUUUACCGGAGUACCGGGAGGUUACCGAAACCCCCCGGGAGGUAUAUGGGCCUUAGUGGGCCUUAGUGGAAGAGAGGAGAGGUGGCCAGAGAUGGGCCGCGCGCGCCUCCCCCCUUGGUCCGAAUUGGACAAGGAGAGGGGGCCGGCCCCCCUUCCUCCUCUCUCUNNNNNNNNNNNNNNNNNNNNNNNNNNNNNNNNNNNNNNNNNNNNNNNNNNNNNNNNNNNNNNNNNNNNNNNNNNNNNNNNNNNNNNNNNNNNNNNNNNNNNNNNNNNNNNNNNNNNNNNNNNNNNNNNNNNNNNNNNNNNNNNNNNNNNNNNNNNNNNNNNNNNNNNNNNNNNNNNNNNNNNNNNNNNNNNNNNNNNNNNNNNNNNNNNNNNNNNNNNNNNNNNNNNNNNNNNNNNNNNNNNNNNNNNNNNNNNNNNNNNNNNNNNNNNNNNNNNNNNNNNNNNNNNNGGGUCCUACUCCCAGAGGGAGUAGGACUCCUCCUGGCGUGCCUCUCCUGGCCGGCCGGCCCCCCUCCCUUGAACCUUUAUAUACGGAGGCAGGGGCACCCCCUAGAGACACAAGUUGAUCCACGUGAUCAUAUUCUUAGUCGUGUGCGGUGCCCCCUUCCACCAUAGUCCUCGAUAAUAUUGUAGCGGUGCUUAGGCGAAGCCCUGCGACAGUAGUACAUCAAGAUCGUCACCACGCCGUCGUGCUGAUGGAACUUUUCCCCAACACUUUGCUGGAUCGGAGUCCGGGGAUCGUCAUCAAGCUGAACGUGUGCUAGAACUCGGAGGUGCCGUAGUUUCGGUGCUUGAUCGGUCGGGUCGUGGAGACGUACGACUACAUCAACCAAACGCUUCCGUUGUCGAUCUACAAGGGUACGUAGAUCACACUCUCCCCCUCUCGUUGCUAUGCAUCACCAUGAUCUUGCGUGUGCGUAGGAAUUUUUUUGGAAUUACUACGAAACCCUACAGUGGCAUCCGAGCCUAGGUUUUAUAUGUUGAUGUUAUAUGCACGAGUAGAACACAAGUGAGUUGUGGGCGAUAUAAGUCAUACUGCUUACCAGCAUGUCAUACUUUGGUUCGGCGGUAUUGUUGGAUGAAGCGGCCCGGACCGACAUUAUGCGUACGCUUACGCGAGACCGGUUCUCCCGACGUGCUUUGCACAUAGGUGGCUUGCGGGUGACAGUUUCUCCAAUUUUAGUUGAACCAAGUGUGGCUACGCCCGGUCCUUGUGAAGGUUAAAACAACACCAACUUGACAAACUAUCGUUGUGGUUUUGAUGUGUAGGUAAGAUUGGUUCUUGCUUAAGCCCGUAGCAGCCAUGUAAAACAUGCAACAACAAAGUAGAGGACGUCUAACUUGUUUUUGCAGGGCAUGUUGUGAUGUGAUAUGGUCAAGACAUGAUGCUAAAUUUUAUUGUAUGAGAUGAUCAUGUUUUGUAACCGAGUUAUCGACAACUGACAGGAGCCAUAUGGUUGUCGCUUUAUUGUAUGCAAUGCAAUCGCGCUGUAAUGCUUUACUUUAUCACUAAGCGGUAGCGAUAGUCGUGGAAGCAUAAGAUUGGCGAGACGACAACGAUGCUACGAUGGAGAUCAAGGUGUCGCGCCGGUGACGAUGGUGAUCAUGACGGUGCUUCGGAGAUGGAGAUCACAAGCACAAGAUGAUGAUGGCCAUAUCAUAUCACUUAUAUUGAUUGCAUGUGAUGUUUAUCUUUUAUGCAUCUUAUCUUGCUUUGAUUGACGGUAGCAUUAUAAGAUGAUCUCUCACUAAAUUAUCAAGAAGUGUUCUCCCUGAGUAUGCACCGUUGUGAAAGUUCUUCGUGCUGAGACACCACGUGAUGAUCGGGUGUGAUAGGCUCUACGUUCAAAUACAACGGGUGCAAAAUAGUUGCACACGCGGAAUACUCAGGUUAUACUUGACGAGCCAAGCAUAUACAGAUAUGGCCUCGGAACACGGAGACCGAAAGGUCGAGCGUGAAUCAUAUAGUAGAUAUGAUCAACAUAGUGAUGUUCACCAAUGAAACUACUCCAUCUCACGUGAUGAUCGGACAUGGUUUAGUUGAUUUGGAUCACGUAAUCACUUAGAGGAUUAGAGGGAUGUCUAUCUAAGUGGGAGUUCUUUAAGUAAUAUGAUUAAUUGAACCUAAAUUUAUCAUGAACUUAGUACCUGAUAGUAUCUUGCUUGUUUAUGUAUGAUUGUAGAUAAAUGGCCCGUGCUGUUGUUCCGUUGAAUUUUAAUGCGUUCCUUGAGAAAGCAAAGUUGAAAGAUGAUGGUAGCAAUUACACGAACUGGAUCCGUAACUUGAGGAUUAUCCUCAUUGCUGCACAGAAGAAUUACGUCCUGGAAGCACCGCUGGGUGCCAGGCCUGCUGCUGGAGCAACACCAGAUGUUAUGAACGUCUGGCAGAGCAAAGCUGAUGACUACUCGAUAGUUCAGUGUGCCAUGCUUUAUGGCUUAGAACCGGGACUUCAACGACGUUUUGAACGUCAUGGAGCGUAUGAUAUGUUCCAGGAGUUGAAGUUAAUAUUUCAAGCAAAUGCCCGGAUUGAGAGAUAUGAAGUCUCCAAUAAGUUCUAUAGCUGCAAGAUGGAGGAGAACAGUUCUGUCAGUGAGCAUAUACUCAAAAUGUCUGGGUAUAAUAAUCACUUGAUUCAAAUGGGAGUUAAUCUUCCAGAUGAUUGCGUCAUUGACAGAAUUCUCCAAUCACUGCCACCAAGCUACAAGAGCUUCGUGAUGAACUAUAAUAUGCAAGGGAUGAAUAAGACUAUUCCCGAGCUCUUCGCAAUGCUGAAAGCUGCGGAGGUAGAAAUCAAAAAGGAGCAUUAAGUGUUGAUGGUCAACAAGACCACUAGUUUCAAGAAAAAGGGCAAAGGGAAGAAGAAAGGGAACUUCAAGAAGAACAACAAGCAAGUUGCUGCUCAAGAGAAGAAACCCAAGUCUGGACCUAAGCCUGAAACUGAGUGCUUCUACUGCAAGUAGACUGGUCACUGGAAGCGGAACUGCCCCAAGUAUUUGGCGGAUAAGAAGGAUGGCAAGGUAAACAAAGGUAUAUGUGAUAUACAUGUUAUUGAUGUGUACCUUACUAAUGCUCGCAGUAGCACCUGGGUAUUUGAUAGUGGUUCUGUUGUUAAUAUUUGCAACCCAAAACAGGGACUACGGAUUAAGCGAAGAUUGGCUAAGGACGAGGUGACGAUGCGCGUGGGAAACGGUUCCAAAGUCGAUGUGAUCGCAGUCGGCACGCUACCUCUACAUCUACCUUCGGGAUUAAUAUUAGACCUAAAUAAUUGUUAUUUGGUGCCAGCGUUAAGCAUGAACAUUAUAUCUGGAUAUGUUUGAUGCGAGACGAUUAUUCAUUUAAAUCAGAGAAUAAUGGUUGUUCUAUUUAUAUGAGUAAUAUCUUUUAUGGUCAUGCACCCUUGAAGAGUGGUCUAUUCUUAUUGAAUCUCGAUAGUAGUAACACACAUAUUCAUAAUGUUGAAGCCAAAAGAUGCAGAGUUGAUAAUGAUAGUGCAACCUAUUUAUGGCACUGCCGUUUAGGUCAUAUCGGUGUAAAGCGCAUGAAGAAACUCCAUACUGAUGGACUUUUGGAACCACUUGAUUAUGAAUCACUUGGUACUUGCGAACCGUGCCUCAUGGGCAAGAUGACUAAAACGCCAUUCUCCGGUACUAUGGAGAGAGCAACAGAUUUGUUGGAAAUCAUACAUACAGAUGUAUGUGGUCCGAUGAAUAUUGAGGCUCGUGGCGGAUAUCGUUAUUUUAUCACCUUCACAGAUGACUUAAGCAGAUAUGGGUAUAUCUACUUAAUGAAACAUAAGUCUGAAACGUUUAAAAAGUUCAAAGAAUUUCAGAGUGAAGUUGAAAAUCAUCGUAACAAGAAAAUAAAGUUUCUACGAUCUGAUCGUGGAGGAGAAUAUUUGAGUUACGAGUUUGGUGUACAUUUGAAACAAUGCGGAAUAGUUUCGCAACUCACGCCACCCGGAACACCACAGCGUAAUGGUGUGUCCGAACGUCGUAAUCGUACUUUACUAGAUAUGGUGCGAUCUAUGAUGUCUCUUACUGAUUUACCGCUAUUGUUUUGGGGAUACGCUCUAGAGACGGCCGCAUUCACAUUAAAUAGGGCACCAUCAAAAUCCGUUGAGACGACGCCUUAUGAACUAUGGUUUGGCAAGAAACCAAAGUUGUUGUUUCUGAAAAUUUGGGGCUGCGAUGCUUAUGCGAAAAAGCUUCAACCUGAUAAGCUCGAACCCAAAUCAGGAGAAAUGUGUCUUCAUAGGAUAUCCAAAGGAGACUAUUGGAUACACCUUCUAUCACAGAUCCGAAGGCAAGACUUUUGUUGCUAAGUUCGGAAACUUUCUGGAGAAGGAGUUUCUCUCGAAAGAAGUGAGUGGGAGGAAAGUAGAACUUGACGAGGUAACUGUACCUGCUCCCUUAUUGGAAAGUAGUGCAUCACAGAAAACUGUUUCUGUGACACCUACACCAAUUAGUGAGGAAGCUAAUGAUAAUGAUCAUGAAACUUCAGAACAAGAUACUACUGAACCUCGUAGAUCAACCAGAGUGAGAUCCGCACCAGAGUGGUACGGUAAUCCUGUUCUGGAAGUCAUGCUACUAGAUCAUGAUGAACCUACGAACUAUGAAGAAGCGAUGGUGAGCCCAGAUUCCGCAAAAUGGCUUGAAGCCAUGAAAUCUGAGAUGGGAUCCAUGUAUGAGAACAAAGUAUGGACUUUGGUUGACUUGCCCGAUGAUCGGCAAGCAAUUGAGAAUAAAUGGAUCUUCAAGAAGAAGACUGACGCCGACGGUAAUAUUACUGUCUACAAAGCUCGACUUGUCGCAAAAGGGUUUCGGCAAGUUCAAGGGGUUGACUACGAUGAGACCUUCUCACCCGUAGCGAUGCUUAAGUAUGUCCGAAUCAUGUUAGCAAUUGCUGCAUUUUAUGAUUAUGAAAUUUGGCAGAUGGAUGUCAAAACUGCAUUCCUGAAUGGAUUUCUGGAAGAAGAGUUGUAUAUGAUGCAACCGGAAGGUUUUGUCGAUCCAAAGGGAGCUAACAAAGUGUGCAAGCUCCAGCGAUCCAUUUAUGGACUGGUGCAAGCCUCUCGGAGUUAGAAUAAACGCUUUGAUAGAGUGAUCAAAGCAUUUGGUUUUAUACAAACUUUUGGAGAAGUCUGUAUUUACAAGAAAGUGAGUGGGAGCUCUGUAGCAUUUCUGAUAUUAUAUGUGGAUGACAUAUUACUGAUCGGAAAUGAUAUAGAAUUUCUGGAUAGCAUAAAGGGAUACUUGAAUAAGAGUUUUUCAAUGAAAGACCUCGGUGAAGCUGCUUACAUAUUAGGCAUAAAGAUCUAUAGAGAUAGAUCAAGACGUUUAAUUGGACUUUCACAAAGCACAUACCUUGACAAGAUUUUGAAGAAGUUCAAAAUGGAUCAAGCAAAGAAAGGGUUCUUGCCUGUGUUACAAGGUGUGAAGUUGAGUCAGACUCAAUGCCCGACCACUGUAGAAGAUAGAGAGAAAAUAAAAGAUGUUCCCUAUGCUUCAGCCAUAGGCUCUAUCAUGUAUGCAAUGAUGUGUACCAGACCUGAUGUGUGCCUUGCUAUAAGUCUAGCAGGGAGGUACCAAAGUAAUCCAGGAGUGGAUCACUGGACAGCGGUCAAGAACAUCCUGAAGUACCUGAAAAGGACUAAGGAUAUGUUUCUCAUAUAUGGAGGUGACAAAGAGCUAAUCGUAAAUGGUUAUGUUGAUGCAAGCUUUGACACUGAUCCGGACGAUUCUAAAUCGCAAACCGGAUACGUGUUUACAUUAAAUGGUGGAGCUGUCAGUUGGUGCAGUUCUAAACAGAGCGUCGUGGCGGGAUCUACGUGUGAAGCGGAAUACAUAGCUGCUUCGGAAGCAGCGAAUGAAGGAGUCUGGAUGAAGGAGUUCAUAUCCGAUCUAGGUGUCAUACCUAGUGCAUCGGGUCCAAUGCAAAUCUUUUGUGACAAUACUGGUGCAAUUGCCUUGGCGAAGGAAUCCAGAUUUCACAAGAGAACCAAGCACAUCAAGAGACGCUUCAAUUCUAUCCGGGAUCUAGUCCAGGUGGGAGACAUAGAGAUUUGCAAGAUACAUACGGAUCUGAAUGUUACAGACCCGUUGACUAAGCCUCUUCCACAAGCAAAACAUCAUCAACACCAAGGCUCCAUGGGUGUUAGAAUCAUUACUGUGUAAUCUAGAUUAUUGACUCUAGUGUAAGUGGGAGACUGAAGGAAAUAUGCCCUAGAGGCAAUAAUAAAGUUAUUAUUUAUUUCCUUAUAUCAUGAUAAAAGUUUAUUAUUCAUGCUAGAAUUGUAUUAACCGGAAACAUAAUACAUGUGUGAAUACAUAGACAAACAGAUGUCACUAGUAUGCCUCUACUUGACUAGCUCGUUAAUCAAAGAUGGUUAUGUUUCCUAACCAUGGACAAAGAGUUGUUAUUUGAUUAACGGGAUCACAUCAUUAGUUGAAUGAUCUGAUUGACAUGACCCAUUCCAUUAGCUUAGCACCCGAUCAUUUAGUAUGUUGCUAUUGCUUUCUUCAUGACUUAUACAUGUUCCUAUGACUAUGAGAUUAUGCAACUCCCGUUUGCCAGAGGAACACUUUGUGUGCUACCAAACGUCACAACGUAACUGGGUGAUUAUAAAGGAGCUCUACAGGUGUCUCCAAAGGUACAUGUUGGGUUGGCGUAUUUCGAGAUUAGGAUUUGUCACUCCGAUUGUCGGAGAGGUAUCUCUGGGCCCUCUCGGUAAUGCACAUCACUUAAGCCUUGCAAGCAUUGCAACUAAUGAGUUAGUUGCGGGAUGAUGUAUUACAGAACGAGUAAAGAGACUUGCCGGUAACGAGAUUGAACUAGGUAUGGGAUACCGACGAUCGAAUCUCGGGCAAGUAACAUACCGAUGACAAAGGGAACAACGUAUGUUGUUAUGCGGUCUGACCGAUAAAAGAUCUUCGUAGAAUAUGUAGGAGCCAAUAUGAGCAUCCAGGGUCCGCUAUUGGUUAUUGACCGAAGACGUGUCUCGGUCAUGUCUACAUUGUUCUCAAACCCGUAGGGUCUGCACGCUUAAGGUUACGAUGACAAUUAUAUUAUGAGUUUAUGCAUUUUGAUGUACCGAAGGUUGUUCGGAGUCCCGGAUGUGAUCACGGACAUGACGAGGAGUCUCGAAAUGGUCGAGACAUAAAGAUUGAUAUAUUGGAAGCCUAUGUUUGGAUAUCGGAAGUGUUCCGGGUGAAAUCGGGAUUUUACCGGAGUACCGGGAGGUUACCGGAACCCCCCGGGAGGUAUAUGGGCCUUAGUGGGCCUUAGUGGAAGAGAGGAGAGGUGGCCAGAGAUGGGCCGCGCACCCCUUCCCCCUUGGUCCGAAUUGGACAAGGAGAGGGGGCCGGCCCCCCUUCCUCCUCUCUCUCCUCUUCCCCCCCUCCACGAAUCCUAUUCCAACUAGGAAAGGGGGCGGGAGUCCUACUCCCAGAGGGAGUAGGACUCCUCAUGGCGCGCCUCUCCUGGCCGGCCGCCCCCCUCCCUUGAACCUUUAUAUACGGAGGCAGGGGCACCCCCUAGAGACACAAGUUGAUCCACGUGAUCAUAUUCUUAGCCGUGUGCGGUGCCCCCUUCCACCAUAGUCCUCGAUAAUAUUGUAGCGGUGCUUAGGCGAAGCCCUGCGACAAUAGUACAUCAAGAUCGUCACCACGCCGUCGUGCUGAUGGAACUUUUCCCCGACACUUUGCUGGAUCGGAGUCCGGGGAUCGUCAUCAAGCUGAACGUGUGCUAGAACUCGGAGGUGCCGUAGUUUCGGUGCUUGAUCGGUCGGGCCGUGGAGACGUACGACUACAUCAACCAAACGCUUCCGUUGUCGAUCUACAAGGGUACGUAGAUCACACUCUCCCCCUCUCGUUGCUAUGCAUCACCAUGAUCUUGCGUGUGCAUAGGAAUUUUUUUGAAAUUACUACGAAACCCUCCAGGCGGGGUACCUCACGAGGUGCCCGUGACGCAAGCCAUGACGACCAAGGGCGCCAGGCGGGUGCCAGCCCGCGCAGUGUCCUCCUUUCCUCUUUGGUGCAAAGGGGGCAAGCGCAGCCGCGGAGUACCGAGGCAUCAGGCAAAGGUUGCCAUUUCAGUGCAACGAGACCAGGAGCAGGAAGACUGCAAGACGGAGGUCAUCGUGGAGCCCAGGACGGCGUCACCACCAGAGCUUUGUGCAGGCGAAGACUACUUUUGUCAGGGUAGCUAGUACUAGUUGCCCCCCUUCAAAUUAGCCCGCCAUUGUUGGCUCCCUUCCCGCUCGAUAUUUGGGAAGAGGACCAGGGCCUCUAUAAAUAGGACCAGCCACCCACAGAAGAGAGGGGGGCGGAGGGGUUAAGAGGAGAGGUUCGAUAGGAGGUUGAAUCAGAGAAAGACAAUGAGAGAGAGACAAGGGUGGCUGAACUCCUCCCAGCAGUUCAUUGCCCCAGCCAAGAACAGACCCUUGCGAGGCUGUUCCUCCUUGUAUCAUUCAUCAUCAUCAGCCCAAGAGGCAAUCCACCACGCCACAAACUGGAGUAGGGUAUUAAACCACAACGGUGGCCCGAACCAGUAUAAACCCUGUGUCUCUUGUGUUGUUUUUUCCAUAGCUUAGAUCUUAGCGAGGCGGAGGGGUGCAGGUAGGUAGGAAGCGAGAUCUCCGCGCGCACCCCAGUGUUCGAACCUCAAGGGUCUGCCGGAACCCGAAAUCCGACAGACUCGGCGCCUGAUGAGCGGAGAUGGACUCACGUAGGAGGGUGACGCUGCCUGGCGUCGGCGGCAGCUAGACUGUGCAAGGUUGAUGCAGCAGUACAGCUCUGGUUUAGUGGCAGGUGGCUGCGGCGGCCUCAUACCCGGGAGACGUCCUGGUUGAGGAGCACGCCGGACUGGUGGGUGCCCAUACCCGGUAGACGUCCUGGUUGGGACCUCAUGUCUUAGAUGUUAGGUUUGGCUGCGAGGUAUGUUUGGUAUUAGGCCCAGACUUUCAGCGCCCCUUCAUCAACUGGAUAGAAAUAGCGAUAUAUGUUGCUUAGUCGGUGGCUUUAGUCUUACUGUUGUAUGACUUUGUAAGAUUUUGUGUGAAUAAUUAAUAAAAUGGCCGUAUGCAUUGUCCAGAUGCAGAGGCUGGGGUCAUCCUACUUUUCUAAAAAAAGGAAAGACAAGAAAAGUUUUGAUUUUUAUCUUACGUUUUGGUCACAACGUAUCAAGUUUGACUUUAGUGGGCAAUAACUGCGAUGAGCAAUGUCAUUGGGCUGGCAUGCCUUGACUACCUAGCGACUGCUGUAGUUAUAAUUCACGGUGACUGGUAUGGUCGGGGUGGGGUAGCCGAUCUUAGUUCAAGAAGAUGGGGAAAAACCUACGAUUUUUAAAUCGCCCGUGAAAUCGCCACGAUCACGUCACUAUUGCCACCAGGGAGCCUCGACGUCAUGAUAGGAUAACCAACGCAAAGUCGUCUAAAAGUCCUGCUAAACGUGCCAAAUUCAAUAACAACCUUAAAAUCCUCUAUCUCAACUAAAGAAUUGCCGUUCGUGCAAAUUUGAGAAAACUAAAGAAUUGCCGCCGUCACCGAUAUUGCAAGCUAGUAUGACUGUUGAGAGCCGCCCACGAAAUCCUCCCGCGUUUUUGGUCUCGUCGUGGUCUUGUGGAUGAUGAUGCUUUGCAGCAAGAUAAAAGUUUCUUUUUGGAAAUAAAUAAAAGUUGGUACAGUAGACCCGCAAAAAAGAAAGAAAAAAGAAACGAUUGUAAUUGGGGUAGACUAUAAAUUUGAACUAUACGAAGGACCUGGGCGCACACCGCCACAUUAAUCCGUAACCUGAUUUCUUCUUCUUCUGCUGACAAAGACCCAAAUCUGCUCCCCGACCCCGUCCUCUCUCCUCAGUCUCGGAGCCAGGGGCGAUCCGUCGACCUCGCCUCUCCGCCGCCGUAAUCUCCUUCUUCUCCGGUGCGCCUCUCUUCCCACCUCUCCUCCACUUCGUUCCGCGAGACGUAGGUCCGUUCCUGCCCCGUGGGUUUCCGCGCCAGGGAAUUCAGCCUCUUCCUUGGAGCAAUUCGAGAUUUAGGCCCUCCAAGAAGAUGGCUUGACGCGCCGUCAGAUUUGGAAUUGCUCGAUGAUUUGAAAAUCGCGACGCGAUUUUAUCCUGAUUAGUUCUUUUAUAUCAUGUCCAUCCAGAGCCGAACCCUACUGUCCCGUGUACCUUUGCUUCCUCUUCCGCCUGAAUCCUGUGACCUACCUUAGCGUUAUCGCCGACGCCUCGAUCCGGUCGCCGUUUCCGUUUUUCCUCGCCGGGGACACCGCGUUCCUGCCGUCUCCAUUGCCAUGUGUUUUACUUUUCUCUCUCUUUGUUUUACUGUAGAUAGACGAGUAAUAAUUAUAACAACAUGCUGCUACUGUUCUUCAUGCCUUAGAUGUUGAAGUACUAAUCGAGUAACUUUUACCAUUGUUUUACUAGUUACUACCGUGAGCUGAGUGAGAUCGAUAAAGAGUGGAGGUCGCCAGUUCAGCCUCAAGAGUGAGGGGAGAGUCUCAGGCUUGGGAACCUUUUCCUUUGGACACAUAGCUUGAUAAAAGCAACACCCGGGUGUCGCUGAAGAAGCAUAGAUCGGGGAGUUUUCUUGGCCUGAGAAGUACAGGAGAGGAGAGUAGUGAUAGCAUGGCUUCAAAGCUUGUGGUUAGUUACUAAUCCUUUUUUUAUUUCACGAGAUCUAUUUUAGGGAUGCCUUCCUCCAGGAGUAACAAGGGUGAGCACUUCAUGCGCUUAGGUUCUUGGAAUCCCUUGGGAUGUGGAUACAGAAGGAUUAAAAGAGUACAUGAGCAAGUUUGGCCCCCUGGAUGAUUGCAUUGUUAUGAAGGUUUGUGACAAUUCAACAUCCGCAAUCAAUUUGAUGAAGCAUAGUCUUUCUUGUGUUGUUCCUAAGUUUUUCAGCGCUGAUGUUUUAAAUAAUUUUAUACUUAAUAUUCAUCGUUCUUUAAGCAAUGUUGAAAACUGAACUGUCUCUUGUCUAAUUGAUGGUCUGCCCUCGAUCUCGCAAAGGCACACAUGGAUAUUGUUCUUGCAAUCAAAACAAGUUUGAUUUUGUGUUUUUUAUCUUUCUCUAUUAUGUCAUUUGUUUCGUCAAGGGACGACCGAAUUUUGUUUUCCUAUCUUUGGGCUACAUCAUUUUUUUACUCAAAUCAUGUUUUAUUGCUCAUUUCCAAUCCAAUAAUUUACCAACAUGUUUUGUACCUUUACAAAAUGUCAGGAUCGCUCAUCUGGUCGAUCUCGUGGUUUUGGAUACGUGACGUUUUCGUCAGUAGAGGAUGCAAAGGUAAUAAACGGGAAUCCCUUCAGUUUAUUAGGACUUUAGUUGUAUCUUAUCUGAGGCCAGUGGCAAAUGGUAAUGCUUACUCUCUAUUGUUUACGUUUCAUUCCUUGACAAUGUACAUAACUAACCUCUACAUUGCCUUUUGCGACAAAGAUCUUUUUGUUUUUACCUCUCUUGUGGUUGUAUACUGUACAUCUAGUUGAUCCCCACUGAGUGUGAGGUUCUCCUCAGUUUUAACGUCCUGUAAUGGCAUCUUGCUUGUUUAUCAACCAUUUAAAGAAAAUGGGCAACUAGUAGUCACUUAAUACAUGCUAUUGCUUCGCUCAAACCAAUCAUAUUGAACAUUAUCUAAAGUAUAACAGUAAAUGUUAAACUAACAAAAAUUUGUUAGGUCUAGAUGGGUACUUUAUCAGUGUUCUAGCCAUCAACAAUACUCCCUUCGUUCCAAAAUAUAAGGUGUAUUAAUUUUCUGAUAGUCAAAUUUCUUUAUGUUUGACCAAGUUUAUAGAGAAAAAUAUCAAUAACCACAUUACCAGAUCAUUAUCAUUAGAUCCAUCAUAAAAUUUAUUUUCAUAUUUCAUUUAUUUGUUAUUGUAGAUGUGGAUAUAAACAUUGGUCAGAUAUAGAAAAGUUUGACUUUUAGAAAAAGCUAUAUACCUUGUAUUUUGGAAUGGAGGGAGUGUGCCGGAAGUACAGACAUUUCUAAGCAAACCAAUACAUUUUCCUUUGUCUUGGUAAUGCUUUAGUCAACUGAAUGAAGAAAGUUUUGAGAAGUGAUUAGGAUAUGAUUUGAUGGCAUCUUUUGACUAGUUUAGUUAUAUAUGAUUCUCUCCUGUCGCCUCUAUUAACUCCGCUUGUCUGUGUACUAUUUUUUAGAAUGUCGUUAACUCUGAGCAUAUUCUUGGAGACCGAACUCUGGAAGUGAAGAUAGCGACUCCCAAGGUAAAUAUUAGCAAAAAGUGGGAAAUCUCAUCUACCAUAUGCAGCAUACGACAGAUCUUCAGUGCCAGACCUUUGCUUGCCUUUUUUGGUAACGAUGUGAUGAGUUCUAAACACAGGAAGAAAUGCGAGCUCCAGGAAACAAGAAAGCUACUAGGAUAUUUGUUGCUCGGAUUCCACAGUCUGUGGAUGAGUCAAUGUUUCGCAGGUGAGCUCCAGCACAAUGUUUUGCCAUUGUUGAUCUAUGCAAUCUUCAAUAUAUGAACUUGUCUAAGCAUUGAGAUUGUUUGAACAGGCAUUUUCAAACUUUUGGAGAAAUAACAGAUCUUUAUAUGCCCAAGGUGAGGAAAUUAAGCUGAUACGAGAUAUAUAAUAUUCUAGAUCGAAGUGCUGUCAUCUAGUUUUGUUCAUGUUAGUGUAUUUAUUACUAAAACUCUGGUAAUAUACAAACAACAAAAACAGUUGCUGAUUGGCAUCAAUUUUCUGUAUGCUAAUAUCUGCAACCUUCUCUUUUUUGAUAGUACAUUGAAGAUAUAUUUCCAGCCAACGUUUGCACUGUUUUAGUGGAAGUUAUUUUUCACGUUAAAGAUCACCAAAUUACUGAUUUAAAGACUUUACACCUUUCCUGGCCAUUCACAAUCACUCAAGGAGGCAAAUACCAGAGAAUGUUCUAGUUUUCUUUUGACUGACAAUUAAAAUUGAUGCUGUUCAAGCAUCUUUAGGACAUAUUUCAAUAUAAUUGAACGCAUAAACCUGUUAUAUAGCCUACCUUAACUUGUUUGGGACUAAAGGCUUUAUUGUUGUUGUUGUUGCAUAAACCUGUUAUACUAUGGUCAAGCUACUUCCCUGACACGUGUUCGAUUGGUUUUGAAAACCUGACAAGACACAAUGCCUUGAUUUGUCAAGUGUGUACUGUUGAAGAGAGAUUCGUCCAGUAUAACCUAAGAAUCUUUGAGACAACUUUCCUUAGAAGUUAGAAUGAUUUUUCAUCUAGUCUUUGGAGCUUCCAUAUCUAAUAAACCCAGAUUAUUGUGAUGGACAUAGAUGAGGGUUCAAGCUUACAGACUUGUUUACCGCUAGACACCUGUGGAAGCAUACAACCUGUUGAGGAGUCUGGUCAGCUCGCUUGCAUCACUUUAGUUAGAAUAGACAAGACAGGUGGAAUUGGAUUUUCACAUGCCCAAUUUCCUUUAUUUUCUAGUCCCUGUAAUAUCUUUUUUAUUUGCUGGCCACCUGUUUGAUGCAACCAUUCCAUGAUUAUGUCCAAAAUAUUCUACAGAGAAAUUGCAGUUUGAGUCAAGAUGCUUCUGCUAACAUGGGUUUUGUUCUCCCACUGAUCUCGUGCAGGAACUGGGUUCAAAAGAACAUCGUGGAAUUGGGUUUGUCACUUUCCGAAGUGCAGGUACGCGUAUAGAAUCUUCUAAGAGACGUUUAAAUAAUUAAUACAUUGGUAGGUCAGUUGAACUAAAUAGAGGAAUAAUGUUACUCCCUCCGAUCCGAAAUUAAUUUGUAUGUACAUUGUAUAGAGGCCGUGUCAAUUAAUUUGGAUCAGGGGAGUAUAACUUCGGUCUUCCAUGUGAUGCAAAAACAUUGCCUUUGUACUAUAGCAAUAUAAUGGUGGGACUGGUGCUUGUAGUGCCGCCGUAGUACAGCAAGACCCCCUAUGAAUUUCACCAUCACCCAUAACCUUAAAUUCACGCAGUAGGGUUGUAGCAGCAAUGCCCGCACUAGCUUACAUUUUUAACUGAUUAUUGUCUGUUUUGUAACUAGAGUUUUGACUCAGAUCUACGAUCUUACAUUCUUCUGCCUAAGUGCUUAUUUGUUCUCAUCUACUUCACUUGUGCAUGAGGCAUGAGCUAGGAUUUGACUUUAAUUUGGAAGCUGCAUUCCUAAAUUAUUCUUGGAACUUCCAUUUGCUUCACCAUUUACCACGAGUAAUAUAGUGCUCCUCAACAACCUGUUUAGCUUUAGUUUGUAACUUUCAACUGUAAUUUGUAGAAUGCGUGGACAAUGUCAUGCAAGAAAAUCAUGAGAUUGAUGGUUCAACAGUUGUUGUUGAUCGUGCAACUCCGAAGGUACAUUUCGCAAUUCACUUAGCUCAGUGUUUGAACUUGGAAUACAUGUAUUAUUCUGUGUGCCCCAUCUCUAAUACUUAAACUAGAACUAACACUCAGGGUUGACGACUUGACACUAUCGUUUAGUCUAGGAAGUAGGAAGGAUUGUUUUGGGGUUGAACUGGUCCGGGUUGUAAUAUCUAAUCAUACCAUGAUCCUACCAAUUUACUCCUUCUAGUGCUUGCAAAGUAGUGGAUUGUUUUGCGGUUGAACUGGUCCGGGUCAUGAUAUCCAAUCGUACCAUGAUCCUACCAAUUUACUCCUUCUAGUGCUUGAAAAGGGGUUAUAUUGGACAUGGGCAUGAUCCCCAAAAUGCAACUUUGAUUACUUAUUCCUAUUGCAAUGUAUGUAUAAAGUUGAACAAAACUUUAUUGUGAUUUUUGUCAAGAUAAACCUAUAUGUAUGAUUAUCAUGUGUCCAAUCUGAACAUUUUUGAAGAUACAUAUGCAGUCAGAGUUUUUGAAGUUUGACUUUGCUAUGUCCACAACGACCAAUUUUAUGAAUUUUGAGGGAGUAAUAAUACAUACAAUACAAUUCAUUAUAACUAUGUACCCUUUUUAUCUUUAUUUAUGUAUUAAUGUGUUACUUAAGAAGUUGGAAGGUCAUAGCAAAUGUAUAUGCUUUUCUUGUUUGAUGAACCUGUACAAACAAAUGUUUCUAUACAGGUUGAAAAUUGUUGUAAUGGUAGAAUUAAUGAAGAACUGUAGCAUCUAACAGUAAUAAAUGAUACAUUUUCAAUGUACUGGAAAAUGGAGGCAGUAUGAAAGCAUAUAAAGAACAUAAACACAGACUAAAUGCUAAAUUCUGCUUACAAAUGUAGGUCCGCAGGAUCAUGAUCCUAAAGAUGCUACAAUUAGCAUUCGGAUGCGACCAUGAUCCUAUAAAGGGCUUCUUUGGAACGAAGAAAUCGAAACACUCAGGGGUGUGAAAAGCAACAUGAUUAUACUCAGGGAUGUGAAAAGCAAUAUGAUUAUACUCAGGGAUGUGAAAAGCACAUGAUUAUAGUGUUAUGGCUUGGUGAUCCCAUAUGAGACAACCACAAUAAUUGCUCAACAGAGCUGUUUGAAUACUGCACAGACAUGCACACAUUUUGAGAUUAGGUUUUACCUGAUUAAAGAGAGAUAAAGAGAUCAAGGACAACGGCUUUGGUAGCCUCACACUCGUGCUCUAGUUAUCCACUUACGAUAUUGCUUUCCCUCCUACAUAGCAGGAUGAAGAAGUCAGGCACCCUCCAAGGAGGGGGGGAGGAGCACAGGGCGAGGGUGGUUAUGGCUCGUAUAAUGCAUACAUUACAGCUGCUACCAGAUAUGCAGCUCUGGGCGUACCAACACUGUAUGAUCAUCCUGGACCAGCUUAUGGAAGUAAGUCUUGAGCUCUACACUUUGCCUGAUAUUUUGACUUGGAAACAAUUGAUUGUUACUGAAUGUUGCAUCAAAAUUGGCUAGGAGGUUACUUGAAUGAGCCCCCUGUAUCAAGCAAAAAGAUUUUUAUUGGUAGACUCCCACAAGAAGCAAAUACUGAUGAUUUAUGGGAUUAUUUUGGCCGAUUUGGCAGAAUUGUGGAUGCAUACAUUCCAAAGGUUUGGCUCUGCCCAUCAUUAUUGGUAGUGUUUAGUCUUUUGACAACUUACAAACCCUAGUGCUAUCGUAGGAUCCUAAAAAGAGCGGCCACCGUGGUUUUGGUUUUGUUACUUUUGCUGAGGAUGGUGUAGCAGAUCGUGUAGCGCGAAGAAGUCAUGAAAUUUUGGGACAGGAGGUGAGAAAACAAGAGCCACUGCCUCAGCUCAGCCUGCCAAAAAUGUCAGUGUGGAGAUUAAUUCAUUGAUCUGCCUUGUGUUUUCUCCCCAGGUUGCUGUAGACUCAGCUGCACCUGUUGAGGGUGGCCCCAGUCGAGGCGGUUACAUGGAACCACCUGCGCCACAUGGAGCUUACAGCCCGAUGAUGUCUUAUGGCCAGUUCUCUGGCAGUCUUGGUUAUGAUGUAAGUAGAGAGCAGUAACUAAAGCUACUACUGUUUUCAUCUUCUUCAUAUAUAUUUUUGUGAAGCGGCAUAGGCUUUAAAUUAGUUUCCCACUCGCUCUUCGACUUUCUUGAUUAUCACUUGUGAGUUGCGAGACGUUGGCUAACAAAUCUUUCUCACGUUUCAGUAUGGUUAUGGUCCCAGUGGAAGUAGCAGCAGAUCAAGAGUACAGCCACGGUACAAACCGUACUGAGGCAUUUUCUUGGAGCAUCUAUGCGACGUGAUAGCGAAGGAGAUGCUAGUAUGACCAUGAUAGUGAAAAAAAGGAUGUUCCGUUGUCAGGAUUCUAUGGUACCGUGUAUACUUAUGUUUGUUUUUGUCCAGGAUAUGCGUAACCCUUUUUGUUCAUGACGAUUUUUCUGUAUUCAUGUGCCACCGGAAAUUUGAUCAUAUGGUGCGGCAGACUCUGAACAUCACCGAUUAUGCUAGCUGGCACUGGCAGAUGGGUUAGCUGUGCAGUUAUUUUUUUUUCCGUGUGGUGGUUAGCUGUGCAGUUUUAUU